GGUGGUUUGCAAGCUAGCUAAGUUAAUCCAAAAACAAUACUCUAGACAAAGAUGAGCAAAUUGAAGGCGACAAAUGCAAAUUGGAUUUCCAUGAAUAAUUGUUAGGCUGGUGGAGAUAUUCUUAAAAGGGCAUUAAGCUAUCUUAUGGAAUUGGAAAGUUAUUAUUGCUUGAAAGCAAGCAGCAUCUUCGUUGCGAAGGCUUUCCCCACCUGAUAAAAUGCUGAGAUUGUUACCGGCCCCUUAAUUAUUUAUUAACUCAGGUAUUUAUUAUCAAUACAUCAUCUUAUUCACCAUUUUGGCUAUAUAUAAAGAUUAAAAUUUCUAACAGUUGUUUCGGAUUCUUGUGUACUCAGGUUAAUAGGGCAAAUAUCAGAAUGAAGAUUGCUCAGUGCAACCGAUAGAGCAAGGAUGAUAGUUGUGAGAAAGAUUGUUGGCAAGACAAAUAGAGUCCUCCAUUUGGAGAAAUAUCAUCCUCAAAUUUGAAUUGUCGAGCAUGUGAGGUGAAGCUAAAGCCUUAAUAAUGAGACCUUCCUGUGGAAGUUUCAUUUGAAUGAAUUGAACGUUCUUAGUGAGUGAGAAAUUAAGUAUAUAUCAGCGAUUUUGGUCGUCUGUGAAUGUUUCCCUUCAAUAUUAAUACACUGGCAUUUCUUAGUAAAUUCGCUUCACGUCACUUCCUCCUUGUUGGUGGGACUAGUAAACAAAUGUCAUUUCUUAGUACAUUUUGAGAAUUUUGAUUCCCAAAUAAGCCUGCAGAACGGUGUAUGGUGGGAUUAGCUGCAGGAUUCUUUGCCAAAAUUCCUUUUUAUUCCUUUGUUCACUUAUUCGUUAUAAAUAAAGUAAAAUUAGAAUAUUGUUCCGUUUACUGUCUAAGCUGGUCUAACAUUUGUUUAAUUUGGGCAAUUUUUAAUGCCUAACAGGUUAUCUGUGACAAACCCAUCGGUCACUAACAAUUUUGAAGUUAUUGGAGUAGCACGGCUUUGAGGUCUCUCCCUCCCUCUUUUACGUAUUUGUCUAUCGAUCGACAUGUCUAUAUAUACAUUGAUAGACCAACUUACUCUUGUUUUAAUGUUUUGUUUGUUAAACUUGACUGGGGAAUGUUUAUUUGUCUCAUAUGAUGUCAAUGUGGUUCCAAUUGAAGUGUAUAGAUCUGUCACCUCAAAGUCUGAUUUCAAUUUUCCUUUACUUCAUCAACUAGCAUCCUUUCCAAGUCCAGAUACUUACCAAUAGUGAGACUUUGCUACGGAAGUACAAUUUCUCUUGUUUUACAGUUAAUUAUGUAAGAAUAGUUUUAAAUUUACAGAAUUUUGAAAUAGCUCUCUUAAGGAAAUGCGAGUGGUGAAUAUGGUUCCAACUUUUAAUAGGCUUAAUAGGCCCAUUUGUUAAGCCACAGUGAUUGCGGUCUAAAUUCUUCUUUACUGUCUAUAUGUGUUGGAGUUUGUCUAUUGUCCAACUUCUCAAAUCGAUUCCAUGCAGGGUUUUGAAUGUCUAAUUAGGAGAAAGAUUAACGGAUGACCUUUUGAAGAAGGCUUACACAACAGGCCAUCUCAGGAUGUCAUGGCUCAGCUCAAAAGUCCCCAGGUGGUUAAUGACAAUGUGCCAUUGUUUCUGGGCUUGGUCUCCUUGGCAUCAAACAAGAUAAUGUUGACUCUAUUAAAGGGGAAAUAAGGGCGACUAAAGCGCGAAGAAAGAGGAUAGUCCGGAGGAAGGUGACUGCAUAAAUUUGUUGGAGUUAAUGUAGUCAAUUGCCUAAUUUUGCUGCCUGUCGAAGAGACACAUCAUGGAAGUCCUCAUCAAACUCUGAGACACCUAAGAAAUAGUAUGAGGUGGUGGUAUUCCCCUGGUGUUAAUUUCCUGGCAAGUGUGGUUCACAGAUAGAGGGAUUCUUUUCUUGAUGUCUAAAUACCGUAUGUGAUACAACGUCGUAUAUUCUAAUUUUCCUUGAGUUAAAUUCUAGUCAGUUAGGAAAGUUAAUUUUGUUUUCGCUAUGGAUUGUUUCCUAGAUAAAAAUAGUUUCCAUGUUUCUUUGGGGUCUUAUUAACUCUCUGUAACCCAGUUCAAGUUUGCAAAUUCUAUUUCAGAUUUCUCAUAUAGUGUGCCUUUGUCACUUCUGUGAUACACUUUUGAUCACAAGUUUCCAUUUGAAGUAACCAAUAUUCUUUAUAGACUAAUUAUCUAAGGAUUAUUUUAUACAAAAAAUCAAAACUUUAAUUAAUUGAUCAUACUUAACUUGGCUUUUGUUUGAUAUUACUAGCUGUUGUGAGAACCAAAAAAAUAGCAGAAAGUUGACAAUGUGCAGUAAAUGUAUGACUUUUAAAUAAUAAUUUAAUAAAAUUAAUAAAGAUAUUAUAAAUUUUUUAAUAAUAAAGUAUGAGAUCAAAUCAAAUUAAUUUUUAAGUCAAAAUUGUUUAAUUAUGUAGUUUAAAAGUAUAGUAUCCAACCUCAACACAAUAGAGAGAUUUCUAUUUACCAAACUCUACCCAACUUUGGUUGUACUGACUCGAUCAUGCAAGUCCAUACUCGACGCGUUGACCAUACAAGAUGUUACUCAACUUUAACAAAUCUUACUCAAACUUUGCACGUUUAGCAUGCCGAAUGGAAUAUGAUAGUAGAUGAUGUGAUAGAUAUUAUAGGAAUAGUCGUAACAAAAUUAUAUUUAGUACUUUUUUAUAUUUUAUGUGAUGAACAGAUGUAGUAUAUGAAUGGAUUAUAUUACAAAUUUUAGUGUUAUCAUAAUUAAAAAAUUGAAUUAUUUUUUAUUAUUGAAAAACUGUAAUAUGUUAAAUAACAGUUAUUUUUAUUAAUUUUUUUUAAUGAAUUAUACUUUUAAAUUAUAAUCGAAAAUUCUUAUUACUGAACUAAUAAAAAAUUAAUUAGCUCAAGAGAUAAAUUCACUUAGUGUAGAACGAAAUGGUGUGUUAUUUUUAUGUGGGAUCCACAUCCUUUCCACAUCAACCUCAACAUCCAAACAUGAAAUUGGACUAAAAAUAGUUCUUUCCCAUGUAUUUACGUAACCUCCUCCCACUAAACGCAAAUAUUUAUUCUUGAUUUUACUAACAUAAUUUUCUCCCAUUUCCAUAUUGUCCGCGUUGAGUGCAUGUAAUCCACAAGUUUAAUUAAUUUUUUUUUUUUUGAGAGAGGUAUGUUAAAAUGAAUAUAUCACAUUUUUUUCUUUUUUCCUUUUUUUUGCGUGAGUGAUGGCUUCGUUGAAUGACAGUUGGCUGAUAAUAAGUUAUCUUUUAAUUUUGUUUUUGAUUUAAUAGAAACUAUUAAUUUUUGUAGUUUCGGUAGAUGAAAUUUCGAAUCAAAUAUUAAUAUUGUUAAAGUACGCAACCCAAUAUUUACUUAAAUUACAAAAAAGAUUAAUUGCUUUGCAUAAAAAAGAAGUGAUCACUUGAUUUAACUUCCUUUACUAAAUUUACGAUUUAAAAUCCAAAAUAAAAAAAAGAGUUUAUUAUUGAUUAUCUUUUUCCCAAAUUUAAGCUAAGACAGUAAUAUGUCCAAAAUACCCUCCACGUUAUCCUAAAACUUUAUGAAUUCCCCCGUUCCUCUCAACAUCAUCUCUUCCAAAUCUUUCUUCCCCAAAAAACCAGCCAUGGCUUCAUAUUUAGUUACCUCAACACUCCAAUAUUGGCUUGUAAACAGCAGCGGUUCAACCUCUAGGCAACUUAGGUGGUUGCAUAGGACUCCGCUUUAUAUGAAAGCCCUACAAGAUGAUUAUUUUGUAUAUAAAAGAGGAAAAUGAAUUUAAAAGUCAUUAUUAUUCAUUUAAUUUAUUAUUAUUUUGUAAUUAUCUUUUUCUAAAUAAACUAUCAAAUUCUUAUCAAGUUUAUUUAAUGUAGUACUUAAUUGUUUUAAUUUCUACAAAACCAAUAAAUUAAUAGUUUCAAUCCUAAAAAUUCUCUAUUUCAUUGUUAGAAUUAAUAAGUUAUAUUUCAAAAGUUUUAUAUUUAUUUUAAACCUCUAUAAAAACCCCACAUUUUAUUACUUAUCCAUUAAAUUUUUCGUUCAACAAUCAAGACAUCUUGGUGUUUGAGAGAAAGAAAGAGAGAGGGAAAAAAAUCUUGCUUCCUCUACUUUCUACUCUAGAAGAAAAAGAAAAAAUCAAAUAUUUUUCUCUAUUUUCUAUGACUAUUGGUUGCUACUCAAAUUUUCAAACAACAGCCUUAAUAUAAACAUAAGUUAAUUUAUGAUUUCAUCUCAAAUUUCUGAUUUUAUCUUUUUAUUAUUCUCUUAAUUAAUUGUGUUGUUAUUUGUUCUUAUUUCUUUUUAUAUAUUCUUUUCUUCAUCUACUUUUUUUGUGCUUGUUUUAUCUAUUUUGAAAUAAAACUAUAUCAAAAAAUUUUAGACAAUAGGAGAAUAAAAAAAUUAGAUUAAUUUAAAAAAAUAGUAAAAAAGAUAUAAUUUAACUUAAAAAAAAGUGAAAAUGUUAUAAUUGAAUUAAAAUUUUAUGACUUAACAACAAUAGAAUAAAUUUGUAUUUAAUAAUUUUAUAUUUUAAAGUAUUUAAAGAAUUAAUUUUUAAUAAAUAAUAUUAAUAUAUAUAUAUAUAUAUAUAUAUAUAUAUAUAAGUUACUUAUCUCUCCAUCCGCACUUACCUCUCCCUCACAUUCAUCCUCAACCACACAUCAACAUCAACAUCAACAUCACCUCUCAUUGGACCCCACAUCCUCAAGCCCAUCACAGCCGUCCAUAACCUCACCCUCCUCCUCCUCUCCCUCAUCAUGGCCGUUGUUUGCCCUCUCUCCAUCAUCCUCCAUUUACCGCACCUCCGUUACACCCUCUGUUUCCUCCUUACCAUUUCUCCGUCUGGCACGGCCUAAUUCCGACGGAAUCAACGACGGUCGUGAUGGGUUUUGGCUGCGACUAUUCGCGCUUCAAACGGCGGCGUUUCGGUUGGUUUUUGGCGACAGUGACGGUGGGAAAGUGAUGGCUGGCUCAGGAGCUUUCGUUGCUACCAUCCAUGGCCGGUGAGGUGGCCGAAAAUCGGAUAUAUGUCUGCGUCGGGUUCGCAGUUUUGGGUCGGGUUUUCCGGGUCAGUUUGACAGCUUCCUCUAUCCCUCUCCCCCAUAAAACAUUACCCAGCUUCCUCUUAUUAUUAUUUUUUUUUUCACAUACGUUACAGAACAUUAAUGAGAGAUGUUUAGUAGUAAGGACUAUUUUGAUAUUUCGAUGAGUAGUAAAAACUAAUGUUAAAAUUUUAUAGACGAAUGUAGAGUAAGAUGCUCAAAGUACUAGAACAUAUAUAAAUAAUCCCAGCUCUUAUAAAAUUUUGCCACAUAAUGAGUUUUAUCCCUUAAGCAAAACAUAUCGAUAAAGUAUACAAAAGCACAAUGCAUGAAUGAUGGUCUUACAAAGUUCGAAUAUAAAGUUUAUAAUCUAAAAUUAAUGAUGUGACAAUUAACCUAAUGGAGUAAGAAGGCCCAAAUAGAUUAUAUUUUGCUAAAGAAGUAAAUUCUACCAAGAAUACCUCUUUCUAUUGAAUUUAAAUGAUGAUUAUUUGUUUAUAUCAUAAAAACUAAAAUAACUGUGUGAGUAAUUUGAUUCUUUUACAGUAUAAAAAUAAAUUCAGAAAAUGUUAGGGCAUGUUCUGUGUUUUAUUUUUAAAUUUAUAUUAUGAGAAUGAAAAUGGUGUUUUCAAGUUGAUAAAUUUUCAAUUGAAAUAUGUGUUUGUUAUUAUUUCAUUUAUCCUAUAUUUUCAAAAUGAAAAUAACCGAUAGAUAAAGUUAAAAAUGAUAAAAUAAUGGAUAUAUUAAGCAAUUUUACUACAUGCAAAUUAUUUUCUGUGUUUAAAGUUCAUAUAAAGCUUGUUUAUUUUUCAACAUACCAACUUACAACAAUAAUAAUAAAAUUUUUGUGAUAUCCAAUAUUAACUUUUUAAAGUAAUUAUUUUUUGUUAAUGUGUCCGCUGUUCAAUCGAUCUUCCUACUUUCUAUGCUUGAGAUUAGAUCAUUUGCUUCAAAGAUUCGAACUGGACUUAUAGUAGGAAAAAGAAUUUUCUUCAAUAUGAACUCUAAUUCUCUUUUAUAUAUAUAUAUAAAAAAAUCUAAUUCUCCUUUCAACAUUUUAACAUUUUGAUGAAAUAAAAAAUUAUUGGCGAAAGAUUACAUGCUUCCUUACUUUAGAGAACCAAAUACUCAGAUAGGUAGUGUAAAUCUCUACUGAUCGUUGGUGAUUUUAUCAAAAUAAAAUUCAAUAAAAUGUAUAAGAACACUUAAAUCCGUCCAAAAAAAAAAAUGACCCAGCAAAUAAAGAAAAGUACUGUGAAGUAAAAAUUGAACAAACCUAGAAAGAAGAGAAGAAGAAGAAUGGAAGAAGGAGAUUCGGUUCAUAAAUCAUGGAGGGAGAUGAGACUUAAGAGAUAGGGUUAGUGAGACAGACGAGGUCCUAGAGUCUUAAAGAUGAAGACUAUCUAUUAUUAGUUACUUAUUAUAAUGAUGUUUAUUAUUAUAAUUUAUUUUACAAUUUUUUUUUAUGAAACAAGUAAAACAUGUUUAAGUUGUUUUGUAAUUUAUAACUGUUAGAGGCAAGUCAGAUUCUGUGUUUUACAAUUAAAUUUUAUGAGGACUACUGAACGCUUAUUUUACUUAGAUUUAUAAAACGAAAAUGAGAAUGGCCAGUAAAAAACAAUACCGAAUGCCCACUUACUUCAUCUCAUACUCUUAGGUCACAAAAAUAGCAAUAACUCUAACAAAUUUAUUAUUGAAUGUGAAUGGUUAUAUAUCGAUCAUUUGAUACGUAUUUUUCAAGACAGAACCUCAAUUCAAUGGACAAAAGCUCCUCUUAAUUUUUCUUUUCUAUUUAAAUAAAAGAACAAAAGAAAUUGAUUACAGAGCCAUUACUUUUCCAAGAAUUAAUAAACGAAAAGGCCCAUAAUUUUUGUAAACCCACCCCACUCUCAAGAAAUAAUUACAAUAAGUUCAAAUUAUUUUUUAAAAAUUGAAAUAAAGAAGAUGUAAUUACAAUAAUUUGGAGAUUGAAUCAAAUAAAAUAAAAGGGUUAUUUUUACAUACCUCCCCUGAGGUUUCACCUAAUAUCAGUUUAAUAGAAAGUAUCUCCGUAUUUUUACAUCCCUCCCCUACAGUUAGUAUAAAGUUAUGUAUAUCAUCAGUACACAAGGCUAAAAUCGUAAAAGCUCAUUUAAAAUUCGUUUUAAUCGUAUCAAGUGGCAUCGUAAUCAAAGCCAAUAAACCACCAGCCAUGGCUGCACUCACUCCCUGAAACGCCAUCACAGUUUUUGAAUCCGGCCUAAUCAUCAUCAUAUCACCCUCACGGUCACCAUAUUUCCUGCGCAAGAAACACCCAACUCCACCCCAAACAAGCCUUUGAGCAACGGAAUAAGACGCCCACCAAACUGCAUUUGAUGGUGCAUUUGUCAAGAUUGAAAUCCCGGAGCCCAUAUACAAUCCUCUAACCCCAUCAUUUCUAACAAUCUUCCUAAACAUAUCAACCCCAUUUACGUAUCUAGCAUCGGCCCCAUUAGCCACCAUAAGCCUCUGAGUCAAAACAUCAACUGGGGUCCAGACAAGCUGAGCAGCCAUGGCAGCACUCAAUCCACCAACAGCACUAGCGACCGCCGCCGCCGCAGUAAACCCUAAGUCACUAACAGCAAAGCUGCCAACUUUAGUUAAAUAAAAUUAAUUUAUUUGCUUUGAUUACGAUUAACAGAUGCAUAUCUUUGUGAAAACUUUGACCGGCAAGACCAUCACUCUCGAGGUGGAGAGCUCCGACACGAUCGACAAUGUCAAGGCUAAGAUCCAGGACAAGGAAGGGAUUCCACCGGACCAGCAGCGGCUGAUCUUCGCCGGAAAGCUCAUCUUUUAAUAAACUUUAGGAAAAGACCCCAUCACCAUCAUCGUGACCAUCUGCUUCCCUCCUUGUUUGUUGUUCCUUCAUUUUCUUUUUAUUUCUUCUUCGUGGAAUCGGUCUUAUUUUCUUCUUCUCUCACUAUUGUAGGUUGUUGUUGGCAGAGGGACGAAUUGUGUUUAUUUGCUUUUAGAAUUGGCUAAUUUAAUUGAUAUAAAUUGUUUUGGUUGUGCCGCGGACAUAAAUUGAAGUUUAGUCGACGGUGCUUUCAUAGCAACAUUUGGUGCUGUUAUUAUGGAUACCAAGCUAAAGUAAGAUGACGUUGGACAUGUUAUGAGGUUUAGUUUUUUUGAAUUGAUUUUUUAUUUGAAUUUUUGGGGAAAAAUAUCAAAAAUGGAAAGCUUGAUUUUAAGAAAACAAGGAUGUGGUUUUGUUGGCGAGGUGGUACAGGGGAUUUUAGUUUUUGUUGGAUGAAAGAAGACUGUCAACCUUGAAAGGGUAUUUUCAUCCUCUUGUUAGUCCACUAACGGUCAACUGACGGAAAUACUAACUGCAGGGGAGGGAUGUAAAAAUACGGAGAUACUUUCUAUUAAACUGAUAUUAGGUGAAACCUCAGGGGAGGUAUGUAAAAAUAACCCUAAAAUAAAAUACCCAAACUAUUAUAUACAAGAACUCUUGAUUUUUGGGGUAUUUUAGUCAUUUUAUAUUAUCAUGGUAAAUUAGUCAAAUAAAACUUAUCUUAAAGCAACCUAAACGGUCAAAGACACCUAAGUUAAAAAAAAAAUUAUACGAAUGAUUUAAUUUAUUGAUUGUCUAUACGUUUUAUUGAUUUAUAUAUUUUAAAAAUAGUAUGAACGUAUUACAAUUAUUUUCUGACAGCAAGGUAGAUUUGUAAAAUAAGUGGGUAGAAAAUAUCCCCGUCCUCAAACAAAUAAAUGAAUUAUCGGUGAUGCAUGCUUUUUUCCAACUUUUUUUUUUUUUCUUUUGGUUUUUUGUUUUUGUUUUAAAUGGCACUGGCCCGACCACUACAAAUUAAUUAGAGAAUAUUUACAAUUAUGUAUCACAGCUGUGGAGUAGAAUUGGGGAAAUUAAAAAUGCUAAAAUUAUUGACACGUAGGGUGGGCGACAAUAACCACAAACAUUUUUCGUGUAGUGUAAGAAGAAUGCAACAACUCGUUUCUUUCAGUAUUUUCGCAACAAAAGCACGUUGAACAACUUAUGAAAUUAUUUCUCUUUUUCUUUGCCAGAAUGGAUGUGAUCGCUUCCCCUCUCCCGGAGCAGCUGAACUCCUUUGCUGCUUGUGACUUACCAUAAAUCUUCAAGCCAUUCAAGCUGUGCUUGAAGAUGCAGAGAAGGCAAGUUGAUAUAAGAUUGUUGCAUGGAAUAAGCAGGGCAUCUUCCGAGGCUAGAAGUUGGGCUACGAGUAUUCGUUUUGGACAUAUAAUAUAGUUUCCAAGCUUGCGAUGAGUCGAACCAAAUGCAGAACAACCUAGGCUGUUAUGCUCUGCGAUUGAACUAAAAAUUUCACUUCUUUUAUAGUCGUUUUUUAGUUUUAAGAUAUUUUUCUAUUUUUCUUGAUUCUUCUAGGAUUUUUAUCAUUUUUUCUAGAUGUUGGAUUUAAGUGCCAUCUGUUUUCUUUCUCUUAUUUAGAUUCGAAGAAUUUUAUUAUCAUAUAAUAUUUUGAAUUUGCUUAGUUUGUUAAAUUUGCUAUAUUUAGGCUCCUAUAAAUGGGAUUAAAAACCCUAAUUUUGUUCAUUCAAAUUAUUCUCAAUAAAACUUAUUAUUCAAAUACUAGUUUAUAUUAUCUAAUAGCUUUUUAGUGUUUCUGCAUCAUCAGCUGGUAUCAGAGCAAGUUCACUUGUCAUCAUGGUGCGACCACACAAUCAAAGGAGCAACCAUCCCGGAGACGAUGUUCAAAUAUUAGGUUAUCUCUUGUAAGCCAUAUUCAUAAAUGUAUUGAAGGAAAGAUACUUUUUUCUUGUCUUAAAUGAUGUGUGGGAUGGACGUUACAAUUAAUGGGAACCAUUCUUUUGUUGUUUAAAGAAUAGUCUCUACGAUAGUCAAAUUUUGAUUACUACACGUAAUCAGUUAGUAGCAAGCAUGAUGAGAUCAACAAAUCUUACCUUUCUUAAGGAAUUAAUUGAAGAAGAAUGUUGGUCAUUGUUUAAGCAGGUAGCAUUUUUGGGUCAAUUCUUCAAGGAUCGUGAUCAAUCGAUCAAAAAAUUGCAUUUAAGUGCAAAGGCUUGCCUUUUGUUGCAAAGAUAAUAGGGAAAUUCUUACACUAUAAAUGACCAAUAGAAGAAUAGAAAAUAAUUUUAGAUAGUGGAAUGUGGAAGGUAGAAGAGUUUGGGAAAGGUCUUCUGGCUCCUUUGUCGUUAAGUUAUAAUGAUUUGUCGUCCAUAGUAAAACAAUAUUUCUCACAUUGUGCUAUCUUUUCAAAAGGUUACAAUAUGUGUAAAGAGGAACUAAUUACACUAUGGAUGGCUCAAAAUUACCUUAAAUGUAGAAAAAGGAAGAGAUGGAGAUCCAAUCCAAUCUGAUAGUAGUAGAUUAUUUUAAUUUUUAUUAAUUUGAUUUCAUAGGAGUAGUUUUCAUUGUUUUGUUGAAAGUUGGUAAAAAAAAAACUGAAAUGAGAUGAUUACUUUAAAACAAUCUUCAAGAACUAAAAUAAUUAAAAAAACUCAAAAUAAACAAAAAGGCUUAAAAAUAACCGUAAUCCGAACAUUGUUUGAAUCCAUCCUAACUAGCCCGAAUAUGAUUUUAACCCAAACCCAACCUAACUCGCUUAUAAUUAUAACCCAAUGCGAUCCAAAUUCAACUUGAAUAUUUGAUCCGAUCUAAUCCAAUUUGAAUAUUUUAACCCUAUCAACCAGAAACCCAAUUAGGUUGAUCUGAACCCACGUUUGUCCACUCCCAGAGGGGAUCAUGACCCCACAAGCUUUGAAAGUUUUUUGGAAUUUCUAAGUGAAUAUUAAAAAUUAUGUAUAAAAAGACUGAUUUGACCCCUAAACACUUGAUAUAGAAACUUUAUACAUACAAUAGAAAUUUAAUUUUAUAUUUUGUGAAAUAAAGUCAAAGUAACUGAAUUUUUUUUUAUUUUGUUAAUUAUUUUUCUACUAUGACAAAAUGACAAAUAGCCUUGUGCCUAGCUCUUUGACUUUUAUUUUGCUAAUUAUUUUUUUCAUUUCUCUUGCAACAGUAACUUCAAUUAUCAAUCAAAGUCGCCAAAUCAAAAUCUCUGCAGCCUGCAGCUACAAGCAAACUUCUCAAAUUUCGAAAUUCCUUAUGACUACAUAAUAGCUAUAAAUAGAAAAAGCGUCUAAAAUAACUAUGUUUUUCUAAGUUUGAGCUUGAACCCCCUGAAGAUUUACUCCAUACGUAACAAAAUAUUAGUUUUGCUAGUAAAAUUGCUAACUAUGUUUUUCUUUGUAUUUCCGCUCAAGGAUAAAGAAAUUUCCCUAGACUUUUGUGGUGAAUAUCUUACGAACAUAUGACAAUUUAAUCUUUGGCUGAGACUUGUUUAACAUAAGAGAUGACACUUUAAAGCAAUAGGAGAGAGAGAUAAUAAGCUUUGUUCCCCAAAAAAAUCUAUCAGAUAUAUUAUGCCCCCGGUUGCUAUUUCUAAAAAUAGUCAUAAUUACUAAAAAAUAAGUAAUUCUUUUUUCAUAUAUUAAAAUGGUAAACUGGUGGAUAAAAUUUAAAAUAACUUUUUAUCUGUUUUGACAUUCGAAUUUUAAGCUCGAGAAGUCAAGCAAUAAAUAAACCUUUUUGAGAGGCUAACUAAAUUCUUAGUAAUUUCAUAUAAUUUCAUUUCAUCAGAACAGUUUUAUCAAAAGCAAUUUUCUAAAUCUUUGUGGAAAGCUUUAAUCCUUAAUUAUCUUUCACAUAUUUUCUUUGUAAUAUGAGGUAAGCCAUGGACCAUAGUAUGGUAUUUAUUGUAAAUAAAAUCACUAUGAAACUGAUUUUAUUAUUAUUUUUUUCACAAACAAAGUAUCUAGCUAACUGCAGAUGUAAUGAAUUACUAAUUACCAUUAUUUGAUUCGCUCUCUAAAAUAGUGUUGUGUGUUGAUUCUGUUAUGCAUCUAGGAAUUUCAAAUGUUAUGACAUAAGUUGCAUUGGAUAUAUGUAUAUCAUAGAUUACAUUAUGAAGAAGACAAGAAAUGGAUCCAUACGUUAAAGCAAAAUUGAAAAAAAAAAAUUGCUAGGAGAUGAUUUUAUCUGAAAUUUCACCUGCACGGUAUUGGCCACAUAUAAAUUUGUGAUGAAAUUCAUAACGGAUUAAUAUAAUUGAACGAAAUUACUCUAUACAAUUUCAUAAGUAUGUAUUAUACAAUUAAAAAUCUAUUGAUAUUUUCAAUAAAAUAAUAUCUCUACUAUAAGUGAUGGGAUAUAUAUUUGUGGGGAAUGACAAAUGUAGAAAAUUGCAGUAAUAAAGGUGGAAGUGGAACUUUGUAAUAAUUAAUUAAUGUGUUUACAAUUCUGUAAGUAUAAUAAAAUAAUAGUAAUAGGUAAAUUGUAGAAAAUUAAUGUGUACUUUAAGGCACAUUACAAAUGUCUCUUUCCUAAAGAUAUUAUUUUUCCCACCAAUUCAGUGAUGCAUAUAGGCUAAACAAAUAUACCUCCGGGAUACAACGAAUCACUUAUUUGUUUGCUUGUGUUUUUCAUCGAUGAAAGCAAACUUGAAUACUUUUGAAUGUUGCAAGCUUGCCGAGAAUCAAUAUAUUAUUCCCGUAGUAAACAAUAUAUUAGAUAUUUGAUGCAUAUAGUAUAGAUGUUAUACAAUAAAAUUUGUUUCAGCAAAGAGGGUUGAGAAGAGAGUGAUGUAGUAUCAUUAUUUCCAUGUUUAAAAAUUAAUUCUAAAUUAACUACAACAUGCAAUCUUUUAAUAUUCACAUGUCCUAAAUGAAUAUGCUACAAAAAUAAUGAGUCAAUCAUGUAAGCAGAAGAAACAUUAAUUUUAUUAAUAUUGGGCUUGAACAUUCCCAAAUACAUGUAUCCUUUCCCAAUAAAGGUACCACCCUUAGACAAUGCAAAUUUGCUUUGACUCAAAUAAGGUACCACCCUAAUAUAGAUACAAGAUUUUUCCUACCUUUAGAUACAUGAUAAACAUCAAUAUGAGUUAAAGUUUUUCCACAAGUGAACUCUAGUUGCACAUUCCCUCUAAUUGUUGCAAUGGAGGAAUUUCCCAUCUAAAGAACACUUCAAUCAUCCAUUGCUUUGUAAGAUGUGAAAAGGCUACGAUUCUUGUACACAUACUUGAUUGCACCGGAAUCUAUUCACCAUGCAUUAUCAUGUUCAAGAAUAUUAAUUUAAGAUAUUAUGGCCAUAAAUUUUGUCCACAAAAUUUGUGUUCGAACACUUCUUUUCUUUCUUAAGAAGUUGAUAGUCUUUUUUAAAGUGGCUAGGCUUUUCACAUUGGUCACAUGUACACUUUUUUUUUUUUUGUUGGUUUGAUUUUAUUUGGAAUCAAAGUUUUGCUUUGACAGUCUUUUUAAAGUGGCUAGGCUUUUCACAUUGGUCACAUGUACACUUCUUUUUUUUAUUUUGUUGGUUUGAUUUUAUUUGGAAUCAAACUUUGGCUUUUGGUUAUUAAUGUGGUCAUUAGACUGCUUAAGCUUCUUCUCCUCCUCCACAACAUUAAUUUCACAGGACAUAGCAGUCUGUUCCUCAAGACUAUUAAGUCUAAGUUUCUAUUCAAUAUGAAGACUUUGCCAAGCCUUCCAGGCUAAUUUCCUCUUUGUUAUAUUUAAGACUUUUUUCAUAGUCUUUUCAAGAGGGGGGAAGUUUAUCAAUAAUUGAAGAAAUAAUAGUAAACUUAUUACUUUUCAUGUUGUGUUGGUUGAAUUGAUCAAGAAUGCAAAAAUUCUCAUUAUAUUGUUCAAUCACAAGUCUAUUAUCAAUCUUUUUAUAACUAAAAAAAAUUAGAAGUCAAGAAUUUCUUACUUGUGGUGUCUUCCAUUAGGGGUGGGCAAAAUCGGGUUCGGGUCGGGUUCGGGUCAAUCCGAUCGGGUUUCGGGUUGUUCGGGUUAGACAAAAAUUAAUCCGAACGUAACCCGAAUUAUGAACCCGACCCGAACUGACCCGAACUAAGUUCGGGUCAGGUCAAUUGUUAAAUGGAAUUGGAAUUCGUAUAUUUAAUCAAAAACUCCAAAUUAGAACCGUUAGAGAACCGAACUGAAAAAACUUGAAAAGAAUGAAUCUGGCUAUAUUUGUGAACCAGAAACAAGCCAGCGUUAUGCUUACGCCAUUUCAUUCUAUCCUGUCACCCAUAGACAAAAUGAAUCUAGAUGCAUUAUGGCUUUUCUCCUUAAACCUCAAGAGCAUUUUCGUCCUCUCAGUCAAGCGUGAAACUGCAUGUACGAACUGCUUCGCUUUCACGCACCGGUAGCUACAGCGGCAAGAGCAUUUUCGUCCUCUCAGUCAAGGGUGAAACUGCAUGUACGAACUGCUUCGCUUUCACGCACCGGUAGCUACAGCGGAAGACCCAGGCCGAGAUAAUUUAUUUCUUCCAACCACAAACUAUGUUUUGUUCACGAAUUACAAACUGUGCAGCUUGUGAUUUCUGCCGUUCUGCGUAUGUGAGUGCAGCAGCGAUAUGUGUAGUGUUAGGCUGUUAGCUUAGGUUUUUUUUUUUUUGGGAACCCGAUCAGGUAUUCGGAUCGGGUCGGGUUUGAUCCGAACCGAUCACAACCCGAUCGGGUUUGUAAAUUUCAAUCCGAUCGGGUUUCAAUCCCAACCCGAUCCGACCCGAACCCGAAAUUUAUCGGGUCGGGUCGGGUCGGAUCGGGUAAAAUGCCCACCCCUAUCUUCCAUCAUGUACUUAGACUCCAAUAAGUCCUAUAUUUCUUUUGCUGUGGAUUUUGUUGUGGUACUUAUCAAAACAAAGUACUAGACAUGGCAUUGUAAAUGUGUCCUAUGCACACGUAGACAUCUUGCUUCCACUUUUGCCACACUCGAGUUUCUCAUCCUCACGUUCUUCAGGCUUUGAUAUUGUAAGAACAUAAACAACAUUGAGGCUUGUCAACAAGAAAUGUAAUAUUUUUUGCCAACGUAUAAAAGUUGUGACCAUCAACUGCUCUAAUUUGAUAAAAUCUACCAUUGAAUUGCGGAUGAGAUGAGCACAGUGUCAUUGUUACAGAAAGAAUGUCUUAAGAAUGUUGGGAAUAUAUAUUUUUAGGGAAUGACAAACGUAAUAAUGGCAAAUGUAGAGAGUUGCAGUAAUAAUGAUUAUGCCACAAAGAUAAUGAGUCAAUCAUGUAAUAAUGGCAAACAUAGAGGGUUGCAGUAAUAAUGGUGGAAUUUUAUUCUAAUAAAAUAAUGAGUUUACUACUCUAUAGGUACAACGAAAAAAAUAGUAAUAAGUAAAUUGUAGAAAUUAAUGUGUAUUUCAAGGCACUUUACAAAUAUUACUUUCCUUAGACGUUAUUCGCCCCCACUAAUUGAGUGAUGAAUAUGGGUUAAACAAAUACGCAUCGACGAUACAAUGAAGUACUUAUUUGUUUGUUUGCAUUGUGUAUCGACGAAAGCAAACCUAAACACUCUUAAAUGUUGCAAGCUUGUCAAGAAUCAAUAUAUUAUUUGCUGAUAUAUUGUUCCCGCAGUAAACAAUAUGUUGGAUAUUUAAUGCAUAAAAUAUAGAUGUUAUAUGAUAAAAUUCGUUUUAGAAAGGAGAGUUUAGAAACGAUUGUUAUAGGAAUGUUAUGUUCAUGUCUAAAUGGCCUAAACAUGGCCUCUAUUUAUAAAUAUACUUGUGCCCUCCAUUUGGAUUGUCAUUUUUCAUGAUACCCAUUCAUUUAUGGUCAUUGGAUCAAGAUAUGAUUUUAAUCAAUUGUCUAAAUUGGUCCAUCACCAUUUCAAGUGAAAUUACAAUAUGAAAUGAUACAUUCUUAAGUGGAAAGAUACCUUUUAUAUGGGACAAUUACUUGGACAUGUUUUUAUAAUAAAACAUCAUUUAUUUUGAAAUUGUUACAGCACUAAGAUUAUUCUAGGUUAAGUUAAUCUAUUAUAUAUAACUUCAGAAGGUUCAUCGGUAGAUUGUUUUAAGUUUUUGUCGUAGUUUACAAAGAUUUUGUUACUUGUAAUGUAAGAAAUUUUAGAAAUGUUGGUGCUGAGUAAUCUGCAAAAUUAUUAUGAAUCAGAGAAACAGGGCAGAUGUUGUACAAUUAUUGUUGUGGUGGAGCGGAAAGGUAGCCCGAGAUGGUGACUGCUAUUGGGAUUUCUUUAAUUUGCAGCAUAAAAGCAUUUACAUUGACAUCGACUCAAGGGUAAAAAUUAAAUAUCUCAUGUAGCAUAAGAAGAAUGCAAAAAUGCUUGAAUGAGCAUUCUGACUCAAUACACAAAAGCUACUUUCCCUUGAGCACUUUCGCAACAAAAGCAAAUGUAAAAUUUAGCAUUUAAAUCUAACAUCAAAUGGCUGAUGCCAUCGUUUCCAUCCCUUGGGGAAACUGAAUUCCUCUACAUGAUAUUACAGUCUGGAGCGGCUCUUACCUUAGGCAACUUAGGAUAAUUUAGGCGGUUGCUCAGGACCCCACAUUUAACCUAGGACCCCAUUAUAAAUGAAGGUUUCUAAUUUAAUUCCUAAAUUAUAGUUAUUAAUUAUUGAUUUAUAUUUAUUAUUUAUAACUAUAUUUUCCAUAAACAAACUACUAGAUUCUUACAAAAUCCCCUUUUAACAUUAUAAUUAACAAUUUUAAUCCACUUAUUUCCUCCAUAUAUUUCAUUUAAAACUCUAUAAAGGCCACACCUUUUUUAAAUUAUUAUCCAUUAAUAUCUUUUUCCAAUAAAAAAAAACACAAAACCUUCAUUACUUUGGUGAAAAAACUACUUUCUCUACCUUACUUUUUGCAUAAGGAAGAAAAGAAAAUCAAUUGUUUUACUUUCUUUUGAUCAUUGUUGCUCAAAGUCUCAAUCCAUCAAAGUUAAAUUUCUCAAAUUUUCAAGUUUUAUCUUCCGAUUCUCUUAUUAAUUAAUUGUGUUAUUUAGGUGUUUUUGUUUCUUUGUAAAAAUAUUAUUCUGCUCAUAGGUUGUUUUCUUUUAAUUAUCUAGCAUAAUUGUUUGCAUGAUUACUCUUGUUUCCUUAGAAAAAAAAUGUCUACUAAAAACUAUGCAUCAUGAUACAAAAAACUUCAUAAAAGGAGAAGAAUACAAAAGUUAGCUUAAUCUAAAAACGUGCUAUUGAUAAAAAAUUAUUUAAGAUCAACCAUGUCAUAGGAAAGAUUAAAUAGGUUAACUAUAUUAUCUAUUGAGAAAGAUAUAUUAGCAAAAUUAGAAUAUAAAAAGUUGAUUAAUAAUUUUGCAUCUCAGAAAGUUAGAGAAAUUUAUUUUAAAUAAAUAAAACUUUAAUAAAAUUAAUACACAUAUUUCACCUCAAAUUUUUUGAAAGGUCUAAUUAAAUCAAUUUAUUUAAGACCUAAAAUAUGAUUGAGCCGCCUUGAAAUUGCAGUAAGAUAGAAAUGUGAAAUAGACAGAACACUUGCUCAUACGUUAAAGAUGCGACGAAUUUGAGAAUAUUUAUGUUUAUGUGCCAAAUUCCUAAUGUAUGGGAAUUUAAAAAUGUUAGUGCAGAACAUGUGUUCAUCGGUGGAGUAGAAUCAGGGAAAUUAAAGAUAAGCAUAAUUUUUGCAUCCAAUGCCAAAUUCCCCCAGGUAGAAAGUGGGGACUCCUUUGCAUAAAAGUUGAUAAAAGUUUGACUAAGAUCUUAUUAGAAAUUAAUAUAUUCUCUCUCCACAUAUUUCUGCACGAAAUAACAUGCAGAUAUAGUAUUUUAGGUUAUUGUUAAUAGUUUUACAAUAAUAAAAAUCAUUUUGUUAGAUCUUAAAAUGUACUCACACUCUAUUUUGUGCAAAAGUCUGCGAGAAAGGAUUUCAGAUUUACCUAACGGUGAAGUUGGGAACUUGCUUUUUUACCUAGGCUAAAAAUAUUUCAAUAAAUUCUGAUCGUGGAGACUAACAAGAGUUUUUUUAGUCAUAUAUAUAUUUAUUUUUUAGGGACUAAUAUGAAUAUUACUAAUUUCAUCGAGAUUAUUAAAAAAACAAUGUGCUAAUUUGCCAAUAUGAUUUCUCCAAUCUUUUUUCUUUUCGUCAUUUAUUCCUUUGUGAAUUUGAGUUAAUGCUUGAUAUUAUUUUUCUGCUCAUUUUUUAAAGUAGAAGAUUAAGAAGUCUACUGCUGUUUAGCUUGGUAGGCUAUAAAUAAAGAGGCGCAUAUAUAGAAGGCUUAGAAAUAACUCUCAUUCUCAUCAUUGCAAAAUGGCUUCUCUUCGUUUUCUCCUUGCAGCUGCUCUUGUAGUUGCAUUUGUGCUUGAGGGAUCAUAACCAGAUCAAGCUCAACUUUCUCCCUCUUUUUAUUCUUCCACAUGCCCUAAUGUAACCAACAUAAUUCGGGAGGUGCUUCAGAAUGCUUUCUUGUCCGAUAUUCGCAUCGGUGCCAGCCUCGUCAGGCUUCAUUUCCAUGACUGUUUUGUUAAUGGCUGUGAUGCAUCGAUUUUUCUGGACAAUACUACUACCAUAGAAAGCGAGAAAUUUGCUGGGCCAAAUAAUAAUUCAGCGAGGGGUUUUGAAGUUGUUGAUGACAUGAAAGCUGCCGUUGAAAGGGCCUGUCCAGGCGUUGUUUCCUGUGCUGAUAUUCUUACUAUUGCAGCUGAACAAUCUGUUGCUCUGUCAGGGGGUCCUUCAUGGACAAAUCUAUUGGGAAGAAGAGACAGCAGAACAGCAAACAGGACUCUUGCAAAUGAAAAUCUUCCAGUACCGAACAAUAGUCUUGAGAGGCUCAAAGAUAGAUUCAGAAAUGUUGGCCUCAACGAUAAUUUUGAUCUUGUUGCACUCUCCGGAGCUCACACAUUUGGAAGGGCUCAGUGCCGAACUUUUAGCGAUAGAUUAUUCAAUUUCAACAACACUGGCAAUCCAGACCCAACACUUAACACAACCCUCUUACAGCAACUUAGGCAACUAUGCCCACAAGGUGGAAACGGCAGCGUUCUAACUAAUCUUGAUGUCACAACACCUGAUGUGUUUGACAACAAAUACUUCUUCAAUCUUCAAAUACACAAGGGCCUUCUGCAGAGUGAUCAAGAGUUGUUUUCGACUCCCGGUGCCGAUACCGCUGCCAUUGUCAAUAACUUUGGCAGGAACCAGACUGCUUUCUUUGUAAACUUUGUGACUUCAAUGAUUAGAAUGGGCAAUUUGAAACCACUGACGGGAAAUCAAGGGGAGAUUAGAUUGAACUGCAGGAGGGUCAACGGAAACAGCAAUAUCGCAACAAGAUCAUCAUCAUCGGAGGGUGAUUUGAUCAGCUCUUUCUGAAUAAGCUAGUUUGCAGCUAACGCGAGAGAAAGAGUUUGUGGGUAACAAACUCAUGAAUUUACUCCUAUGUUUUGCCUGAAACAUGCUUUGUAUUUUCAAUAAACUAAAGUUGUGGUUGUGUAUUCACGUCCUGCUUUCUAUGUAUCAGAAAUCCUUGUCAUAUUGUAUGUGUUUCUUUUUCUUUUCUUUUUUUUCUCCCAAAGUCAUCGAUAUGUAUUUUCAUUUGAGUCACAAGUUUUUAAUACCCCACUUUAUCCUCUAGCUUUUAAAAAAAAAAAAGUAGAAGAUUAUGAAAAAGUGAACACACAAAAAGCAUAAAAAUCAUUAUUAGAUCCAAAUUUGUGCUAUUUUCAUACAUAACUUGAGAAUAUUUAUAAUUACGCAUCAGAACUAGUGGAGUAGAAUCAGGGAAAUUAAACAUUCUACAAUCAUUGACGUGUGGGGUUGGGAUAAGCAUAAGCUUUUUCUAUGCAGUAUAAAAGAAUGCAAUAACUCCUUUUCUUUCAGUAUCAUCGCAACAAAAGCACAUCUAAUAACUCUUCAGAAUUCUCGUCUUCUUUGUCAGAAUGGUUGAUGCGAUCGUUUCCUCUCUCCUGGAGCAGCUGAUCUCUGUUGCGGCUGAUGAAGCGAAACAACAGGUGAGGCUUGUGACUAGUGUCCGAGAAGAAGUGAAAAAGCUUACCAGCAAUCUUCAAGCCAUUCGAGCUGUGCUGGAGGAUGCCGAGCAAAGGCAAAUGCAGCAAGACAAAGUUGUUACUUUUUGGCUGGAUCAGCUCAAAGACGCGUCCUACGACAUGGAAGAUGUGUUGGACGAGUGGGUCUUUACAAGGCUCAAAUUGCAAAUUGAGGGCGUUGAUGAUGACAAUGCUUUUUCCCUUGCUCCUCACAAGAAGAAGGUACGUUCCUUCUUUCGUGCUGUAUCAAACUGCUUUGGUAGUUUCAAACAACUCGGUCUUCGUCAGGACAUUGCUGUCAAGAUUAGGGAAAUCAAUGAAAAGCCAGAUGAUAUUGCCUCCCAAAAAGAUAGGUUUAAAUUUGUUGAGAAUGUGAGUAACCAUGUUAAAAAACCGAAACAAGCGCGAACCACCUCCUUGAUUGAUGAGGGAGAGGUCUGCGGUAGAGUUGACGAGAAAAACGAGCUCUUAAGCAAGUUGUUGUUUGAAAGUAGUGAACAACAAAAAGGCCUUCAUGUCAUCUCACUAGUUGGGUUAGGGGGCAUGGGUAAAACACUCUUGCACAACUGGCCUAUAAUAAUGAUGAGGUGAAAAGAAAUUUUGAAAAAGUUAUAUGGGUGUGUGUAUCAGACACUUUUGAGGAGAUUAGGGUUGCCAAUGCAAUUAUUGAAGGUCUAGGUGAGUCAGCUUCUAGUUUAAGCGAAUUCCAAUCUCUUCUAAGCCAUAUCCAUAGAUCAAUUGAAGGAAAAAAAAAAUUUCUUGUCUUAGAUGAUGUAUGGGAUGGGGAUUAUAAUAAAUGGGAACCAUUCUUCCAUUGUCUAAAGCAUGGUCUCCACGGAAGUAAAAUUUUGCUUACCACACGUAAUGAGUCAGUUGCAUGUAUGAUGGGAUCAACAAAUAUUAUCUUCAUUGAGCAAUUGACUGAAGAGGAAUGUUGGUUGUUGUUCUAGCAGUUAGCAUUUUCCGGUCGCUCUUUCGAGGAUUGUGAAAAAUUAGAACCAAUCGGGCGAAAAAUUGCACGCAAGUGCAAAGGCCUGCCUCUUGCUGCAAAGGCAACAUGGAAUCUCUUACGCUCUAAAAGUACAAUAAAAGAGUGGCAAAAAACUUUAGAUAGUGAAAUGUGGAAAGUAGAAGAGAUUGGGCAAGGCCUUUUUGCUCCAUUGUUGUUGAGUUAUAAUGAUUUGCCCUCCAAUUCUAUGGUAAAACGAUGUUUUUCAUAUUGUGCUGUCUUUCCGAAAGAGUACAAUAUAAAAAAAAAGGAACUAAUUUCACUAUGGAUGGUUCAAGGUUACCUUAAUGCAGAAGAAGAUGAAGAGAUAGAGAUGACUGGGGAAGAGUAUUUCAACAUUAGCAGCACGCUCUUUCUUUCAAGAGUUUAAAAAAGAUGAUGAUGAUGAUGAUAUUAUGAGCUGUAAGAUGCAUGACAUAGUACAUGAUUUUGCCCAAUUUGUAAGUAGAAAAGAAUGUUGGUGGGUAGAAAUUAAUGGUACCAAAGAAUCAGUCAUAAACUCUUUUGGUGAUAAAGUCCGUCACUUAGGGUUAAAUUUUGAAGGAGGAGCUUCAUUUCCUAUGUCCAUUCAUGGACUUAAUAGAUUGCGGACCCUCCUAAUUUAUUUCCAAAGUCCUUCCAAUCCGUCUCUUAAUAGUAGCAUCCUUUCGGAGUUAUUUAGUAAAUUGGCGUGUUUCAGGGCAUUAGUUAUAGGGCAACAGAACUUUAUAUUUGAUCCUUACCCAAAUUUGAUUAGAGAAAUUCCAGAAAAUGUCAGAAAAUUAAUACAUUUAAAAUAUCUUAAUUUGUCUGAAUUAUGUAUAGAGAGACUGCCUAAGACUUUGUGUGAAUUAUAUAAUUUACAAAAGCUAGAUAUUAGGUGGUGCGAAGAUCUUAGAGAAUUGCCGGCGGGGAUUGGGAAGUUAAAGAACAUGAGGAGUUUACUGAAUGGUGGCACUCCUUCGCUGAAGUACAUGCCAAUAGGGAUUUCCAAAUUAACCAGUCUUCGAACAUUAGAAAAGUUUGCUAUGGGCGGAGGUGUUAAUGAUAUCAGUACGUGUAGGCUUGAAUCUCUAAAAAAUCUUCAGCUCCUUCGAGAAUGUGGAAUAGAAGGGCUGAGUAAUGUGUCACAUUUAGAUGAGGAUGAGAGAUUAGGACUUCACAAUAUGAAAAACCUCCUUCGUUUAUCUCUUGAGUUUGAUGAGGAAGGUGAAGAAGGGAGGAGGAAGAAUCAACAACUUCUGGAAGCCUUACAACCGCCUUUGAAUGUAAAAGAAUUAGGGAUUGUAUCCCACGGAGGCAACAUAUUUCCCAAAUGGUUGACUUCACUAACCAAUCUAAGGGAUUUAAGACUUAAAUCGUGCGUUAUCUGUGAGCAUUUUCCUCCCUUGGGAAAAUUACCGUUGGAAAAACUCACCCUUUAUGGCCUGUACGGUGUGAAAAGAGUGGGUAAUGAGUUUUUGGGAAUCGAAGGAAGCAGUGAGGAUGACCCAUCUUCAUCUUCAUCAUCAUCAUCAGUCAUUGCCUUCCCCAAAUUGAAAUCACUCCACAUUGGGGCAAUGGAAGAAUUGGAAGAGUGGAAUUAUAGGAUUACAAGAAAGGAAAACAUCUCCAUCAUGCCGCGUCUUUCUUCCUUGACGAUUUGGUAUUGCCCCAGAUUAAGGGUGUUGCUGGAUUACCUUUUUCAAUCGACGACAUUGCAGAAAUUGAGUAUUUCUUAUUGUCCAAUUAUGGAAGAACUGCGCAUUCUAGAAGAUCACAGGACAACAGACAUACCACGUCUUUCUUCCUUGGAAAUUGAGUAUUGCCCCAAAUUAAAGGUGCUGCCGGAUUACCUUCUUCGGCGACGACGCUGCAGCAAUUGAGUAUUCAGGGAUGUCCUCUUCUGGAAAACCGUUAUAGAGUGGAGAAAGGAGAAGACUAGCAUAAGAUAUCUCACAUUCCCUACAUCGAGUCCGAGUGGUAAAUUCUCGAAUGGUUGCAAUUACUAUCACCCACCGGUAAUUUCUCUCCCCUAUUUUACUUUGUUGUUACUUCAAACAACGACACUGCAAACAUUGACAAUUUGGGGUUACAGAGAAGGGGAAGGAGAAGACUGGCAUAAGAUAUCUCACCCUCCCCACAUCAUGCGGUCGGCGUAAGAUAUCACUCGCCGGUAAUUUCUCCUCCUCCUCUGAUUUACUCUGUUGUUGCUUGCAAUAAAAUUAAUAAAAAUAAUUAUAUUUUGAAUUAAAAUUCUAUAUAUUGCCCAAUGUCUGACAGGAAUAUACAAUAUUUUCUAAUAUUUUGAUUUGCAUAUCGAAUUUAACUAUUUACUUCAACCAUUAAUUUAUUGGGUCACUUUAUGAUGCUAUUAUAAAAAUUACAGAAUCAAUCAUAGUAUAAAUAUGUAGUGUUAAAUUUAAUCAAUAGUUCAUAAAGGUUAGUAAGAAUAAUACUUUAAUUUUAAUUAUUUAAAAUUUAAACUUCCUAGUCAUCAAAUUUGUUAAACUUGUUUUCUAAAGCUAAAAUAAUAAUAAAAUAAAGUAAAAAAAACAAGUGCAGUCUGUUGAAAUUUCUAUAAUUUCUUUUAAAAAAUAUGUAGUCUUUUGUAAAAUUUCAUACAACAUCAUAGAAAUAAUUUAUGUGUAAGUUCCUGAGAGACAAAAUCUCUGUGAUACAUUUGCAGUAAUGUUGAAAACUAACUUAUCAAUGUUAUCUUGUAUAAUGAUAAUCGUAUUUUUUUAUAUAUAAUUUAUGUGACAUUAAUUCUUUAAAGUAAUUGUGUGAUUGUUUUUAGUAGUACAUGAGCCCACUUUGUUUUAUUUCAUACGAGUUUAAUUAUGUUCACCAGGGAUUCGAGGAAAUGUCAGAACUACACUAGCAAUUCGCAGGUCCACGCUAAUUUGGUUCUAAUGAUGCACGCAGGAGAGCAAGAUUAUGAAAAUGAAUAGUUUAGCCAAAGGAUUGCUAAAAUGUUUUGCUGGUAAUUCACUUGCUUUUUUUUAUAGAAUUUCAUUUCCAUCUUCUUCUAUUGAUAUCUUGUUGUGAAUAAACAAGAACAGAGAAGUAACUAUAUAUAUAAAAAGUCCCUAUUAUGAUGAUGUUAAAGCAAGCUCAAGCUCAAACAUUGCAUUUUUAUUUUAUUUUAUUUAUAGAAUUUUCAUUUCUACCUGGAUUGCAUUUCUAUUUCAUUUUCAGGUUGACUUUGAAAACUCUAUGGAGCACAUUGGGGGGGUAACCAAGGAUUAUCAUUGUGGUUAUUGUGCAACGUUUGGUUGCUGGACUUUGAAGAAGGAAGUGAUGGCCGGGUCUGCUCUGUUUCAAUUGAGGAUGGAUAGCUGCCUGAAAGACAUGAUGAUUAUUAUUGCAUGAUGUUUAGGUGCUAAGAUCAUCAUUUCUGUCUUGUUUCAUUCUUUGAUCGGUUUAUCCUAUAUAAACAUAUGGAAUUAUGCUAAUAUUAUCAAUUUUUUCACCUAAUUUUCACUGUUGUUGUGAAAACAAUUUCAGGCUCUCAAAAGCUACAAAGCAAAGCAUUUGUAGGCUGAUCAUAUGUUUCAAUUGAGGAAGGAGCUUGGUGUUGGCAAUAUUGUCCAGGUAACCACAGCUGAUAAUUUCCACAAAUUUGCAUUAAACUUAGUUGUCACCAUCUCCUGCAAUUUCUCAUUCAUUCAAGAGUACUUCAAAAUUAGAUUUUCAGGGUUUGAAUGUUUAGUUGCGAUCAAAAUAUUUAGUCACUCAUUCGUAAUCUUUUCCGAUUUUCAAGUUCUUUAGGGCCAUAAACAGUUUUCCAACUCAUUCUUAAUUUUUAGGUUGAUUUCGAGUACCCUGUUGAGGACAUUCCUGAGACUAAGGAUUAGGCUGGCGAAGGAACUACUACCUCUGUUGUUAUUGUGCAAGGUUUGAUCAUUGGACCUUGAAUAAGAAUCCCUUACACGCAUUCUGUACUUCAAGCAUUCUCUAAAGGAAAAGAGCAGUAGAAGGGAUAGUGAUGGCCGGAUCCGCUCUAUUUUAGUUGAAGAUCUCUGUGAUGUCGAUGAACUUAAAGCAGUUGAUACUUCUUGAAAAUUGUUGUUACGGAUGAAUUGAUUCCUGAAGAUGGGUAUCCAAAGGCAUAUUUUCAUAAACUUCCUUUUUUUAACAAAUGCUCCAAUGCUUGCUGUAGUAACAAUUUCAUAGCUUGCAUCUCUCGGGUGCAUCAUGUUCACGGGUUGGAAAAAGCAUUUGUGGUAAACCUUCAAAGCUUGUAAAAUGGCUGUGAAAAGGCACAUUCAAUUCGGUAUGCUUUGGUGCGGUCUCCUAAUGCUAAUAUUAUGUUUCAAUGCUGGCUGUAGUAACAAUUUCAUAUCUUGCAUCUCUUGGGUGCAUCAUGUUCAAGGGUUUGAAAAAGCAUUUGUGGUAAUGCUUCAAAGCUUGUACAACGGCUGUGAAAAGGCACAUUCAAUUAGGUACGUUUUGGUGCGGUCUCCCAAUGCUAAUAUCAUAUUUUGUAUAGCAAUUAAAAUUUAGCUAUACAAUCUUAAUAUGCAAUAAAUCAUUGUAUACAAAGUUUUCUAUUGAUUAUAUGGUGACUGAAAUUUUAAUUAUCAUAUCAAUUUAAAGUUUUGGCUGAUAUGUCUAAUUCGUAGAAAUUCACUUCCAUCGGUUUCCAUUGGCUUUAGCACAAACAGAAACAGAGCUCUGGGGAAAAGUUUUACUUCUUGUGGUAUUAUGCCUUUGUUUCUUCAUUCAUCAUAUUUUUCGAAUUCAUGCUCUCAUUCAGAGGGUAAAGCCUUUUCCAGGCUGCUUUGUAGCCAAACUUUGACGCCUUUGAUGCAUGACUGUCAUUUAGAUUUCCCAAAUAACUGUUAGAUUGGAGAAGAAUAAAAAGAUACUGUUAAAAGGGUAUUUAAUUAGCGCCCUCUGAAUUUCUUGGAGUUAAUGUAGUCAAUUGCCCAAUUUUGCUGCCUGUCGAAGAUACACAGCAUGGAAGUCCUCAUCAAACUCUGAGACACCUAAUAAAUAGUAGGAUAGUAGGAGGGGGUGGUAUUCGCCUGGUGUUAAUUUCCUGGCAAGUAUAGUUCACAGAUAGAGGGGUUCUUUUCUUGAUGUCUAAAUACCGUAUGAGAUACAACAUCGUGUAUUCCAAUUUUUCUCUAGUUAAAUUUUAAUAAGUUAGAAAAGUUAAUUUUGUUUUAGCAAUGAAUUGUUUUCUUAAUAAUAAUAAUUGCCAUGUUCCUCUGAAGUCUUAUUAAUGCCAGACCAACAACUACUAGGUUCAUCUCUCGUUCACUUCCUCAGGGAAUCUCGAGGGCAUUCAUUGGCAGGUAGCCUUUCUUGUUGAGCUCCUGGAAUUACUUUUAAUUUAUCAUUUGUUGGGUUUUGCUUUUUGAUUGCUUUGGGAUUUGUGUUAUUAUCGCUUUGUCACUCAUUAAUCUUGGCUGUUUUGAAUCUGUGUUGGAUUUAGAAGUUUGGAGUUGAAAACAGUUAAAGCUUAGACUAGUAGAAGAGAUUUAUACAUUCAUUUAUCUUGGACAAAGUUUUUGGGGGAAAAAAAAAUUAUAAGUAUACACUUUCCAAUGGUUCGGUGAUGUUUGAUUGGUUUAAAGAUGUUGGAUCUCUCAUCAGAUUUCUUAUGUAUCGACUGUUGUUGCCACAGGAUGCUCGCAGAUCCUGCUUUUUUGUAUAAACUUCUACUAGAGCAGGCUGCAACAAUUGGUUGCACUGUUUUGUGGGAGUUGGAGAAUCAUAAGGAGAGGUGUGUUUUUUCUCUCAUAACAAAGGAACUCUCCCCUUCCUUUUUAUUUUCAUCUUAUAUAUUAAGCUAAUAAAUGUUUGUUUCUGUCGUGAUGGGAUAAAGCAAGAAUGGGAUCAGCUUGGUUUUGGUGCUUUCCUCGGACUAUAUGCAAACAUGAGAUAUCAACUAUUGUGUGGAUUUGAUAGAGCGGUCAUCAACCAUUUUGAUGUUACCAGGUUAUCUCUCCCUCUCCCUCUUCUACGUAUUUGUUUAUUGAUCUACAUCUCUAUAUAUAUUGAUAGACUAUUCUGGACGUACCAAAUUACCCUUGUUUUAAUGUUUUGUUUGUUAAACUUUGACUGGGGAAUCUGUUUAUUUGGCUGAUAAGAGGUUAGUGUGGUUUCUAUUGAAGUGUGUAGAUCUAUCACCAAGUAUUAUUUCAAUUUUUCUUUACUGAAUCAACUUGCAUCCUUUCCAAGUCCAGAUCCUUAACAAUAGUGCGACAUUGCUACCGAAGUACAAUUUCUCUAGUUUGACAGUUAAAUACGUAAGAAUGGUUUUAAAUUAACUGAACUCUGAGAUAGUUCUCUAAGGAAGUACAAGUGGUGAAUACGGUUCCAACUUUUAAGUGCCUUAAUAUAUCCAUUUGUUCAGCCCUGUGCAUAAAAAAUCAGUAAUUGCCGUCCAAAUUCUUCUUUACUGCCUAUAUGUGUUGGACUUUGUCUAUUCUUCAACUUCUCAAAUGGAUUUUUUGAAUGUCCAAUUAGGAGAAAGAUCAAGGCUUGCUUGGCUAGGAGUGGAAGCGGAUCCGCUACUUCAAUCAUAUGACCUUUUGAAGAAGGCUUACAACGGGGCGGCUCAGGAUGUCAAUGGCUCAACUCAAAAGUCCCCAAAGUGGUUGAUAUCAAAGAAUGCCAUUGUCUCUGGGCUUGGGCUCCUUGGGAUCAAACAAGGGAAUGCGACUCUGUUGAAGGGGAAGCACGGGCCCCUAAAGUGCGAAGAAAGAGGAUAGUCCGGAAGAAGGUGACCGCAUAAAUUUCUUGGGAGUUAAUCCUAGUCAAUAGCCCAAUUUUGCUGCCUGUCGAAGAGAUACAACACGGAAGUCCUCAUCAAACUCUUUGGGACAUCUAAGAACUAGUAGGGAGGUGGUGGUAUUCACUGUGUUUCCUGGCAAGUAUAGUUCACUGAUGGAUGGAUUCUUUUCUUGAUGUCUAAAUAUCAUAUGUGAUACAACGUCGUAUAUUCCAAUUUUUCUCCAGUAAAAUUCUAGUAAGUUAGAAAAGUUAAUUUUGUUCUAGCGAUGAAUUGUUUUCUUAGUAAUAAUAAUGGCCUGUUGCUUUGGAAUCUUAUUCACUCUCUGUAACCCAAUUAAAUUGUGCAAAUUCUACUGCGGAUUUGUCAAACAGAGCGUCUUUGUGAUUUCUUUGAUAGACUUUUGAUCGCUAGUUUAAGUUUGAAUCAUCUUGUAAUGCCAAAACAGAGCGCUUUUAAUUACUAGAUCGUACUCGAGUUUUUAUUCAGCUUUUAAUUACGAGAUCAGCUUUUAGUAUUAGCGAUAAUUAUAAUAUAAACGUUAAUUAUGAAACUCUUACCAAACAAGAUGUUACUCAAUUUUACUUAAUCUCACUCGUCUUUGAUUUGUAAAUUUUAUGCCUAAAUUUUUGUCAACAAAUUGGUCCCAGUUCCACGUUGAGUGCACGAGAUCCACAAGUUUGAUUGGGCAGAACGCAGAAGCAGCUAAAAAAAACUGAUGAAACCCACGUCCAAAGAUGCUGUUGUCGCGGAGGCCUAGACACGACUCCCCAUCCCCUUUUACCAUAUUUUAUAAUUGAAGAGGCCAUUAUUGAAUUGAAAAAUUAUGAUUCAACCGUUGGAAACCAACUCGGAAUUUUAAGUUGAUAUGAGAAAAGAUUUUUUCAUCAUCAUCAUCAUCAUUAUUAUUUCUUUUUAACAAAAAUUUAAGCUAAGACAACAAUAUAUGCCCAAAAUACCCCUCACAUUAUCCCAAACUUUCUAAACUCCCCCAUUCCUCUCAACAUCAUCUCUUCCAAAUCUUUCUUCCUCCAAAAAGCAGCCAUGGCUUCAAAUUCAAUCACCUCAACACUCCAAUAUUGGCUUGUAAACCACCCCCAAAUCCUCAACUUCACAUGGACUCAAAACCAAACCCCAGCUUCCUCCCCACACUUCCUCAUUCUCUCCAUCCUCACUUACCUCUCCCUCACAUUCAUCCUCUACCACAAAUUAACGCCAACGUCACCAUCAUCAUCACCUCUCAUUGGACCCCACAUCCUCAAGCCCAUCACAACCGUCCAUAACCUCACCCUCCUCCUCCUCUCCCUCGUCAUGGCCUUUGGUUGCACUCUCUCCAUCGUCCUCCAUUCACCCGACCUCCGUCACACCCUCUGUUUCCCCCCCACCAUUUCUGCCUCCGGUCCCCUCUUCUUCUACGCUUACAUCUUCUACCUCUCCAAAAUACUCGAAUUCCUAGACACCCUUUCGAUCAUUUUGUCAAACUCCAUCCAACGGCUUACAUUCCUCCACGUCUACCACCAUGCAACCGUCGUCGUAAUGUGCUACCUUUGGUUACAGACGAAGCAGUCUUUGUUUCCUAUCGCACUUGUCACCAAUGCAAGUGUGCACGUGAUCAUGUACGGGUACUAUCUAUUGUGUGUGAUGGGGUUGCGGCCAAAGUGGAAGAGAUUGGUCACUGACUGUCAGAUUGUUCAGUUCGUGUUUAGUUUUGUUGUUUCAGUUUUGAUGCUGUAUUAUCAUUUUGCGGGAUUUGGAUGCUCUGGGAUCUUGGGUUGGUGCUUCAAUGCUGUGUUUAAUGCUUCCCUCUUGACACUUUUUAUUAAUUUUCAUUCCAAGAGCUAUGCUAAGAAAAAGCAGGGAUGAUCAAAACAAAUCGUCGUUGUGAUUGUUCUCUGUGUGUGUGUGUUUUUUUUUUUUUGGUUAAUUAUGAAGGGUUGUGAUCGGUUCAUUGCAUUUGACAGAGAUGUUGAAGGGUUAUGUACUGGAAAAUAGAAAUUAAACCAACAUUAUCACUAUAACUGGUACAUUAUUACCAUCACAGAUCAAGAUCUGAAUGGACGCAUAGCAGCCAUCCUCAAAACCAAAGGAGGAGAAAAUUGAAAUAGAACAACCACCUUAAGGUGAAUAAGGCCAGAACAAGACACACAUCCUCAAAUCAUAAGGAAGAGGUGGGUGCAACCGAAAAAAAAAAGAAAAAAAGAAAUCAAGAAUCCACUGGAGAAGGCAAGAAAGAUAUUUGCCUCCGAAGAUUUGGUGAGGAAGAGAUGAGGAGUUAGAAAAGUUUUCGGAGAGAUCUACAGAUUAGCUUUAAAAGUGUGUUUUAAAGAAAAAGUUGUUGAGAACUUGAGAGGAUACAUGCGCAAUCAAUCCUUUACUCUUCAUGUUUGUGGAAUGUUUAUCCACUGAGUGUAAUCGUAAUCACACGGUUGAUAUUAGUUGGUUCUAUGUUGGAGUUGAUCCAUCAUAGCCGGAGCCUUUAAAUAAAAAACAUUACAACUAGAGAUGGCAAUGGGGCGGGGUGGGAGUGGGGAUGCCUACCUCAUUCCCCACCCCAUUAAAAAUUUUUGUCUCCAUUCCCCACCCUAUUCCCCAAUAAAUUUAGUGGGUUGAGGAUGAGGAAUCCCUACGUGGGGAAUGAUUCUCCCAUUCCCACCUCAUUCCCCAUUUACUUAUUUUAUAGUAGAUAUAAAAAUAUAAUUUUAGUAAAUUUAAAAUUAAAGACUUAAAAUAAAAACAUCAACAUAUUAUAAAGUAUUUAAAUUUUUUUGAAAAUCUCUAAAAGUUUGAAAUAAUAUCUUAAACUGAUAUUAAAAGUGAAAAAUAUUUAAAGAUAUUUAAAGAGAGCAGCACCUUAAAAGAGAAAAGAAAAUAUAAUAAUAUUUUUAAGUUAAAAAAUAUUGUAGGGUUUUCUUUUACUUAUAUCAUAUUUAUAUUACAUAAAAAUUAAAAAAUUAUUAAUUGACAUUAUAGUCGAUAAAAUAAAAAUUAAAAACAUAUUUAUAUAUAAUGGGGAUUGGGGUGGGGAUGGGGCGGGGAGUGCAAUACCAAACCCAACCCCAUUAACAAUUUGGGGAUUACUUUUCCCCCAAAAUUAUUAAAAAUUUUUUUCAUUUAGGGUGGGGCUCCAUGGGGCCCCAAACCCGUGGAGAAUUUUGUCAUCCCUAAUUACUUUGUCAUCCCUAAUUACAACUCAUGCAUCUAAGUACUUAAAGUUGGCUUGAGUGCAUGGGUUAUUGUCAGUUUUCUUCCUAAUUAAAUUAGGUUGGGAUAAAAUUAUCUCUUUAUUAAUAAGAAUAAAGUAGAUAUCUCUCUCGAUUUUCCUCUUAAUUAAACUGGAUAGGAGUAAAAUUAUCUUUUGAUUAAUAAGGAUGUAAUAUAUAUCUCUCUAAUAUUAUGUGAUGGUAGAAAUUUGGGUUGUACCGUAAUAGAAUUAUCAAGGAUAGUCUUGAUAGAAUUAAUGUAAAGAAUUAAGAUAAAGCCUCAAAGAUGGAACAGAGGUUAAAAAAAAAAAAGAGUACAAGACAAAGAAAUAAGGAAACAAAAGAAGACCAAGAAUAAAAGAAAAAAUAAUUUGGAAAACAAAAAAAUGGAUUGCAAUUUUAAAUUUUGAUUAAGGAUAAAUUGUAGUGGAUGCCAUUGUUGGUAAUUUAUUAUAUUUCAAAGCUCAAAUAAGGAAUAAAAUUAUUAUUAUUAUUAUUAUUAUUUUGCAAUAACUCGUUUCAAAUUUUAAAAGAUUAUAACUUUUUGUUUUUUAACAUUUUAAUCAUAAAUUAAAAAGGAGUUACUAUUCAAGAUUCCUAAGAAUACUGAAAAAAAUGAUAAAUAUUAUUCUAAGAAAAUGAUAUAUAUUGGAUAUACUAAAUAUUAUAAAUUAUUAAAUAUUUUACUAUUUUACCCCUUAGUUUGAUGUUUGGGGAAAAAAAAUACUAAAAUGGCUUUCAAUAAAAAGAAUUAUUAUUAAAAAAAUAAGAUUAAAAUUAUAACAAAUGAUAUUAAUAAGAAAGAAACUGAUAAAAAUUUGGGAUUAGAAAUAGGGGUUAAGGCUUCAGUCCUUGAAUUUCUCUAAAUUUUAUAUAUUUUUAAUUUUUAACCCGUCAAAUUACAUUAUUAAUGGAAUGUCAAUAAAUUUUGUGCGUUAAUUUUUGUUUUAGAUACUUUGAAAGGUAAAAUGGUAUUUUGGAUGGUAAAAGUCAACUAAUUAAUUAAAUAUUUAUAUUCUUCGCUCACCGGAUUUCUUAAAAAGUUUUCUGAACCUCCUAGCCAGCAUAUCCAUCUCUUCCUCAUCCAGCUCGCUUUCCUCAUCACUUUCAUGUUUCGAGGCUUUGAGAGCAAUGUUUUUCUUCUUCUCCUCAUUGCCUCUUUCGGCUUCUAAGUCUUCCUCAUAAGAAAUAAGAGAGCCAAUUAAAUCAUCAAUAGGUAAGAUAUUUAAAUCCUUGGCUUCUUCAAUGACAGUCCUUUUUGGUCUCCAUUCCUUAGGUAGCGACCUAAUAGUUUUCUUAACUUUCUCGCUAUUUGAAAAAGUAUUUCCUAGGGCUCCUAGAGUGUUCACUAUGUCCGUAAAUCUAGUAUACAUAGCAUACACACUCUCAUUUUGUUCCAUUUGGAACAAUUCAUAUUGCCGAGUGUACCUACUAAUUUUAGACUCUUUCACUUGAUUUGUGGCUUCAUAAACAACUUCAAGUUUGUGCCAAAUUUCAUUAGCACUCUCACAACUAGAUACUCUAUGGAAUUCUUUCUUAUCUAGUGCACAAAAUAAGGCAUUCAUAGCUUUGGAAUUUAGAGUAGCUUUUCUCUUUUCCAAUUCAUUCCAUUCCCGUGAAGGUUUUGGAAUAUCUUCCCCGACUUCGUUUCUAGUCAAAGGCAUAAAUGGACCAUCACAAACAAUUUCCCAAAUUUCAUAAUCUAAAGCUUGUAAAUAAAUUCUCAUCCUAGUUUUCCAAUAUGGGUAGUCAUUACCGUCAAAGAACGGUGGUCUAAUUGUGGAUUGUCCUUCCCUAAAGGUUGAAUCACUAUAGGUUGCCAUGGAUCUUUAACUCUACACGGUUAAGUCUACACAAGAGCACCUCGCUCUGAUACCAAAUGAAAUACUAACUAGGCAACCUAAGAGGGGGAGUGAAUUGGGUUUUUAAAAUUUAAGCUAAACAAACCACACAACAAUUUAAUCUAUUACCUUGAUCAAAUUGAAAACAAUAAAUUCAAUCAUGCACAAUAUUAAAAGAGUAAGGGAAGAGAAAACAAACACAAUGAUUUUUAUGUGGUUCGGCAAUCCCCGCUUACGUCCACGCUUCCAAGCUCACCGGGCUUGAGGAUUUCACUAAGCUAGCCUCCCAAGGCUUCAAAAGCUUACAAUUGACUUCCAAGGUGUCAAUGGACCUUUACAACAAGAGAUUAUCCCCAAUCUCUUAACCCAAGUGUAUCCCAACACUUACAAUCUUUUAACUUGAUUUUACAAAAAAAAGAUUACAAAUGAAUCUCUCUCACACAAUAUGUUUGAUCACAAGUGAAAGCUCAAUGUGUGAAUGAAUGAGAUGAAUACAAGAAUUUAAAGCUCAAUGAAAGUUGUAUUCUCAAUAUUUUGCUCAAUGAUGAUUGUUGGAAUCCUUCUUGUUUGAAUUGGAUUGAGCUUAUUUAUAGUUGGAGCUGAAAAACUAGCCGUUACAAACUGUCUGCCCGAAAACGGCUCGCCGUUAACCAUUAACGGUUAACCGUUUACGCUGGUCAAAAGUUACCGUUGGGCCAAAUUUCAAACAAACGGUUAACCGUUUAGGCUUACCCUUUUGCCGUUAAAUUCCAGAGACCAGCAAAACAAAUUUGAUUUAACCGUUCUUACUAAACGGUUCAAGGUUAGCAAUCUAGAAAUAAUCAGUUAACCGUUUUCAGUAAACGGUUCACCGUUAUUUUCCAGAAUCAUCAUUUUAACAAUACUUUGCAGAACAUGCUUUCUGGAAAUUAUCGGUUAGCCGUUUGCUACAGUGUAAUUACUACAGUGAAAUUAUUUUCCAAAAUUACAAUUUGACCCCAAAACUUUAUAAACUAUAGUAUGGCCCAACACGUUAUGAAACAUUGCACAUAGGUCCAAUUUCAUAAUUUCUAAGUAAUGCUUUGUUAAUCCCAAAACUUUUUGAAAUUAUGGUAUAGCCCAAAAUGCUAUGACACUUUUCAAAUAAGUCAUUCUCCAAAAUUUCAAGCAAUAUUUGUUUAUUUCAAAGUUUUCAAAAUUCUUUCAAUUAAACCAUAAACUUUGAAAAACAACCAAUUUCAUAAAAUCAUUUUUCCAUUAAAUAUGAAACAUUUAUAAUGUGAAAAUAAUGAUUUAUUUAAAAAGAAUAAAAACAAUCAAUUUCUUGAAAUCAUUUUUCCAUUAAAUAUAAAACCUUUAUAAUGUAAAAGUAAUGAUUUAUUUUAAAAUGUAUAAAAAAUAAUUUGAUCUUAAAAGAUUAAUCAUUCUUAAUCUUGUUUGUUAUCAUCAAAAUCAAUAUUAUGGAAACAUAUAUGUUAACAACAUAUACAUCCUUUACUUUAUAAUCUUUUACUUUUGCUCUUAAGCUAAAGCAUUAAAAGGCCCCAUAUCCACUCUUUAUAUAUAUAUAUAGGGAGAAUGACAAUUUUCUCCCAUACUGUAAUCAAUAUAUAUCAUUUACGUCCUACUUUUUUAUAAUAACCAAUAAUCCUUGGAUAGCAUAAUUUAACAAUAUUAUUUUUGGUUUAUUUUAAUUUUUGUUCAUUUGAUUUCAUAGUAGUAGUUUUCAUUUUUUUAGUUUAAAAUUUGUAAAAAUGAACUAAAAUGAGAUAAUUUUGAAUAAGAAUCAAAACAAAAAAAGGCCCAAAAUUACCCCUAUUCCGAACAUUAUCUGAAUCCAUCAUAAUUGACCCAAAUUCAAAUUUAACUCAAACCCAACCUCGGCCUCAUAUAAUUAUAACCUGAUCCGAUCUAGACUCAACCCCAAAGUUUUGAUUUGAUCUAAUCAAAUUCGAAUAUUCCAAGCCAAUCAACCUAAAACCCAAUCAAGUUCAUCCAAACCCAAAUUUGCGUACUCCUAGAGGGGACCAUCACCCUAUAAGCUUUGAAUUUUUUUUUGAGGUUUUUAAAUGAAAUAUUCAAAAUUAGGUAUAAAAUGACUGAUUUGCCCUUGAAUACUUGAUACAUAAACUUGAUACAUAUAAUGAAACUUUAAUUGUAUAUUUUGUGAAAUAAAAUCAAUUAAACCUGAUUUUUUUUAUUUGUUAAUUAUUUUUCAUAGCCUUUUUUAAAAGUUUGUAAGUUUGGGCCUACCUCUUUGAUUGUAUGUUGUUCAUUUUGCUUUCUCUUGCAACAAUAGUUUCAAAUAUCAGUCACAAAAUUCUCAAAUUUUGGAAUACCCUACAUACUAGCUAUAAAUAGAAAAAACUGAAUAAAAUUAAUCCCCAACUAACACUUGAAAUUUGAACUUGGGCCUCAUGAAGAUUUACUCUGAGCUCCGCCCCUGAUAUGCAAUAAAAUAUUAGUUUUGCUAGUGAAAUUUUCAAUUAUGUUUUUUUUUUUGUAUUUUCCGCUUAGGGAAGAAGAAAUUUCCUACAACUAUUGUGGUGAAUAUCUUGUGAAUUUAUGACAGUUUAAUCUUUAGUUUGCCACUUGCUUAAAAUGAAAAAGGGAAAAGGGUAUUUAUAUCUCUAAGGUUUGGAGAAAUAGUCACCAACACUACAAGUUUUCUAAAAAGGACAUCAAGACUCCUUUUUUACCAUAAUACCCUUUACUUUUAGUACCUCGAAAAAUUUAACUUGCAAAUGAAUAAAUACAAAUAUUAUAUAAAUAAUGUAAUCUACUUUGUAGAUUAAUAAUAUAAUCUACUUUGUAGAUUAAUAAUAUUUAAAUAUUUAAAUAAAUUUAAAUAUGUAAAUUAAUAAAUUUAUUUAAUAAUAUAUUUGUAUUUAUUGCAUUUUACAAUUAAAAAAGUCUCACAUACUAAUAAUGUUAAAAUUAUUAUUUUACAUAAUAAUUUAAAUUUUAAUACAUUUAUUUUAAUAUUAUGUUUACAUUUAUCAUAAAAUUUACUUUAACAUAAUAAAAUAUAUUAAUAGAUUGUAAAAUAUUAAAAUAUUUUUAAAUAUUGAAAUUAUUUUAAAAUGUAUAAAUUAUUACAUUUAUUUUAAUAUUAUAUUUCUCUUUACUAUAAAAAAUUAAAGUUAAUUUUUGGGAUAAUAAAGGUAAAGGGUAUUGCAGUAAGAAAGAAGUUUUAGUAUCUUUUAUUGAAAACUUAGGAGCAUUGGUAACCAUUUCUCCAAACUUUGGGGAUAUAAGUGUCUUUUUCCUAACAAAAAAUGACAUUUUUAAUAGGAGAUAUAAUAAGCUUUGUUCUAUAGAAAAAUCCAUCAGAUAUAUUAUGCCCCCGGUUGCUAUGUUAAAAAUAAGUAAUUCUUCUUUUUGUAUAUUAAAAUAGUAAAAGGGUGGAUAAUAUUUAAAUUUUCUUUUAACCUUUUAUCUUUUUUGACAUUCGAAUUUUAAACUCGAGAAAUAGACUUCCUGAGAGGUUAACUAAAUUCUUAGUAAUUUGAUAUAAUUUCAUAACCGUUCUCCAAAAGCAUUACGAUAUUUAUUAAAAUCAUUAUGGGACUGAUUUUAUUCUCUUUUUUUUUCUCAACAAAAUAUCCGACUGCAGAUGUAAUAAAUUACUCAUUACAAUUAUUUGAGUCCCCACUCUAAAUUAGAUUUUGAAGUUUGUCCUGACAUAAUAAAGUUACAUUUUCAAAUGACCAAAUCAAUUAAUGAGUCUGACAAAAAGAUGUUGUCGGCCAAGUUGAAAAAUAUAAUAAAUAAAUUGUCAGGAGAUGAUUUUUUCUGAAAUUUCAUUUUCAAGGUCCAGAACACAUUCAAAUUUCCGCUGAAAUUCAUAAUGGAUUCAUAUGAUCGGGCGAAAUUACACUAUACAAUUUCAUCAAUACCUAUUAAACGAUAAAAAGUUUAUUGAUUAUUUAUAAUUAAAAAAAAUCUAUCUACUAAGACUAUUCUAGAUCAAUAAUUAAUAUAUUAUAUAUAACUUCAGAAGGUUCAUCGGCGUAUUGAUCUAAGCCUUUUGUAGUAGUUUAUAAAUAUUUUGUUGCUUAUAAUGUAAGAAAUUUUACAGGAGUUGAUGCUGAGUAGUCUGAAUAAGAAAAUUAAUUAUAUUGUAAGUUAUUGGGUAUUUAUAAUAAAAUAAACAAUAAAAAAUGAAUAAAAAUUUAAAUACUUAAUUAAUUUUUAUCAAAUUCUUAUCAAAUAUUUAAAAUAUAUAUAAAAUCAAUUAAUUGAUGAUGUUGUUAAUUUUCAUGAUAUUUUUAAUAUUAUAUUAGUGAUUAUUAAAUUUAAUACAAUCAAUAAUGCUAUAAAUUAUUAAAUGGUUAAUUUUAUUGACAAAUUAUCAAAUAUGCAAAUAAUGAAAAAUUAAUCUCAAGAGUUGGUAGAAGUAAAGUUCCAAUUUAAUCAGAUAAUAAAUAAAAAUAAUUUUUAAGUAAAUUAUAAAUAAAAAAUAAUUAAUAUUAAGUAUAAAUAAACAAUAAUGAUAGAAAUUAAAGUCUCAUAAGAGCAUCUCCAAAAGACUCUUCAAAUAAGAUUCUACUUCUUAUUUGAAGAGCCAUGUCAAUAUUUUACACUCCAAAAGACACGUUAAUUUAAAUUCUUCAAAUAAAAUUUAUUUUUCACUCUUCAAUAUUGCCGAGUGAGUUUCUCCCUCUUCUAUUAAUAUUUUAUUAUUAUUUAUUGAAAAGAUAAGACUGCAAUAAUUAUUAUUUAUGUUUCUUUUAAAAAAUAUAAUAACAAUACAAUUUGAUAGUGGAAAAAUUUGAUUAAAAUAAUAUUAAUUUAUUCUUAUUUGGUGAGUCUUUUGGAGGGGAUUAUAUUUUUUUAUACACUUAUUUGCCACAUCAGUAAGCAAAUUGAAAUUUAAAGAGUAAAAUUUAAAGAUCCUUUUGGAGAUACUCUAAAUAGAUAACUUUUUUUCUUUAAUUUUAUCCCAACUAAAAUCAUGUGUAAAUUACAAUGAUUAAUCCCAUAAUUUUAGGAUGAAACUUAAAUUUAGUCCCCGAGUCCAAUUCAAUUAAUUUAACAAACAGGAGAUAAAUAUUUAAUAACAAAAUUAGUCCAAUUUCGUACUUAAUACUAGUAUAUGAACAUGGCCUGAUAAAAUAAUUUAGGUAAUAUGCUUCUAUGACUCACAAUUUAAAUAAAUUUGAGAAUUUAUAUAAGGGAUGGAAAAUUCAUAAUAAUCAUAACAUGUGCUAUCUUUUCUUCCUUUUCUUAAUUAAAUAAAAGAAAAAUAUUAAUCACAGAACCACUGCUGUUUAAAAUGACCCGAUGAUCGAUGAAGUCGCAUUCGCCUAUCUAAUAUUGCGCAAUCAGAUAAAUUCUCAAAUUUUAAAUGAAUUUAAUCUGCAAUUAGAUCAAUAACUACACAAUAAAGAUUAAAAAAUUUCAAAUUAUACUUGAGUUAAAAUUUGAUUCUUUUUUAUUAUUUAAAGUGAUUUAUUUAUAAUUAUUUUAACCCAAUUAGAUUUUUUUUUUUAAUGCUUGGUCUAUGACAGAAUUGAUCCUCAAAGUUUAAUUAAGCCUGAGAUGGAUACUCUCAGCAAUUUAUUAGAAUCUAACAGGAAAAGAGAGUUGCGAUUUGUAUGUGUAGAAAGAAAAUGUCAAAACGAAAUGUUAAUGUCACUUGUAGAGAGAGAGUUGGGACUGAUGAUCUGCAAUUUAGUCAUGAAAAAUUAGUGAUUAAAUACAACUAAAUUUCAGUUCUUUCUUUGGGAUCCAGAAAAAAAAUAAAAUUCCCCCUCAAUUUUCUGUUUGCAAGGGGGUAACUGUAAGCACAGUCUGAUUUUAUUUUCAGGGAAUAAUAUCGGUGAACCACCGUCGGGGAAAAUUUGAAGUCUAAACAGGUCAUUCACAGAUAAGGCCAAAGAGUAAAACAGGUCGUUCAUCGUGCAUUUGGAUUCCUUUCAUCUGGUUAAUUAUUGAAGACAAGAUGAAAACGCAACUAAUGUCAAUAUUUUAAUUUGGAAUGGGGGCCGUGUAUGGUGUAUAAAAUAGCAUUAAUUGUUGUCUGUGUUUGUUGUUUAAUAUAUAUAUAUAUAUAUAUAGGUCUAAACAGGUCAUUCACAGAUAAGUCUAAACAGGUCAUUCACAAACAGGUCAUCUUAUGAAUUAUUGAAGACAAGUAGCUGUUCGACGCCAGCACUUUUCAAAUCUGAAGAGCAAUUAGACAAUAUUUCUAUUUCAAAUUGGGGCCACACUCCAAAAAAAUUGCAAUAAUUCUCUGUUUUAUACCAAAUAUUGCGCAAUCAGAUAAAAAAAGGGUCGGCUGCAUGAUUUUUCCAACUUUUGUUUUAUUUUUUCUCUUUUCCACGGGCAUGUUAUAUUUAACAAUUCUCUUUUUGUCGUGACAUAAUGGACUAAAACGGAAUCACAACUUUUUCAAAUGACCAAAUGGCUUCGCCCUACCUGAUAAUAAAAGGCCAUAUAGAUGAGAAAUGGAUCCAUACGUUAAAGCUAUAUUAAAACAUAUAAUAAAUAAAUAGUCAGGAGAUGAUUUUUAUCAAAAAUUUCACUCGCACGGUCCCGACCAAAUACAAAUUUGUGAUGAUAUUCAUAAUGAAUUUAUACAAUUAGGCGAAAUUACUCUAUAUAGUUCCAUCGAUAUAUAUUAUACCAUUAAAAAUAUACUAAUAUUUAUAAUAAAAAAAAUUUAUGACUAUUCUAAAUCGACUGUAUUAUAUGUGAACUCACAAGAUUCAUCGAUAGAUUGCACUGAGCUUUUUGUUGCAGUUUACAAAUAUUUUGUUACUAAUUAUCUUAAGAGCGGCAAGUAACUAAAUACAAAUGUAAGAAAUUUUACAAGUGCUGAUGCUGUGUACUCCGCAGAAAGCUAGCCCACGACGGUGACUCCUGUUGGGACUCCUUCAAUUUGCAGCACAAAAGAACGUUCACAUUGACAUUGACUUGAGGGUAAAAAUUAAAAUAUCUCCAAUUAGUAUAAGAAGAAUCCAAACAUGCUUGAAUGAACAUUCUCUCAGAAUACAUAAAAGCUACUUUCCUCUGAGCAUUUUAGCAGCACGAAAAGCAAUUGCAGCAUUUACCAUUUGAUCUAAUAUCAGAAUGGCUCAUGCGAUCGUUUCCUCUCUCCUGGACCAGCUGAAUUCCAUUGCUCAAGAUCAGGUGAAAGAAAAGUGGAGGCUUGUGACGGGUGUCGAACAAGAAGUGGGAAAGCUUACCACCAAUCUUCAAGCCAUUCAAUCUGUGCUGGAAGAUGCAGAGCAGAGGCAAAUGAAGCAGGACAAAGCUGUUACUUUUUGGCUGGAUCAGCUCAGAGACACAUCCUACGACAUGGAAGAUGUGUUGGAAGAGUGGUUCACUGAAACACGGAAAUUGCAGCUUGAUGAGGGACGCGAUGAUGAUGAUGAUGAUAACGACGGUGCUUUUGUUACUUUUUUGACGAAGGUAUGUUCCUUCUUUCCUGCUGCCUCAAACUGCUUCGGUGGUUUCAAACAACUCAGUCUUCGUCAUCAUAUUGCUGUCAAGAUUAGAGAAAUCAGUGAAAAGCUAGAUGAUAUUGCCACUCGAAAAGAUAGGUUUAAUUUUGUUGAGAAUGUGAGUAACAAUGUUAGGAAUCCAGAGCGAGUGCGAACCAUCUCCUUGAUUGAUGAGGGAGAGGUUUGCGGUAGAGUUGAUGAGAAAAGUGAGCUCUUAAGCAAGUUGUUGGGUGAAAGUAGUGAACAACAAGAAGGCCUUCAUAUCAUCUCACUAGUUGGGUUAGGGGGUAUAGGUAAAACCACUCUUGCACAACUAGCCUAUAAUAAUGAUGAGGUGAAAAGAAAUUUUGACAAAGUUAUAUGGGUAUGUGUAUCAGACACUUUUGAGGAGAUUAGGGUCGCCAAAGCAAUCAUUGAAGGUUUAGGUGUGUCAGCUUCUGGUUUAAGCGAAUUCGAAUCUCUUAUGAAACAGAUUCAGGAAUAUAUUACAGGGAAGAAAUUUUUUCUUGUUUUAGAUGAUGUGUGGGAUGGAGAUUACAAAAAAUGGGACCUAUUCUUUUCUUGUCUAAAGAAUGGCCACCAUGAAAGUAAAAUUCUAAUUACCACACGUGAUAGGUCAGUUGCACUACAGUUGGGAUCAAUAGAUAUUAUCCCUGUCAAGGAGUUGGGUGAAGGGGAAUGUUGGUUACUGUUUAAGCAUAUAGCAUUUCUACGUAGGUCCUUUGAGGAUUGUGAAAAAUUAGAACCAAUCGGGAGAAAAAUAGCAUGUAAGUGCAAAGGCCUGCCUCUUGCUGCAAAGGUAAUAGGGAAUCUCUUGCGCUCUAAAAGUACAGAAAAAGAGUGGCAAAGAAUUUUAGAUAGUGAAAUGUGGAAAGUAGAAGAGAUUGGGCAAGGUCUUUUAGCUCCUUUGUUGUUGAGUUAUAACGAUUUGCCCUCCAAUUCUAUGGUAAAACGGUGUUUCUCAUAUUGUGCUGUCUUUCCAAAAGACUACGAGAUGGAUAAAGAGGAGUUGAUUGAUCUGUGGAUGGCUCAAGGUUACCUUAAUGCAGAAGAAGACGAAGAAAUGGAGAUGAUUGGAGAAGAGUAUUUCAACAUCUUAGCAACACGCUCUUUCUUUCAAGAGUUUAAAAUAUAUGAUGACGAUGAUGAUUUUACGAGUUGUAAGAUGCAUGACAUAGUACAUGAUUUUGCCCAAUUUGUAAGUAGCAAAGAAUGUUUGUGGCUAGAAAUUAAUGGUACCAAGGAAUCAGUCAUAAACUUUUUUGGUGACAAAGUCCGUCACUUAGGGUUAAAUUUUGGAGGAGGAGCUUCAUUUCCUAUGACCAUUUAUGGACUUAAUAGAUUGCGUACCCUCCUAAUUUAUGACCAAAGUUUUGUCAAUUUAUCUCUUAACAGUAGCAUCCUUCGGGAGUUAUUUAGUAAAUUGGCAUGUUUAAGGGCAUUAGUUAUAAGGCAAUCGACCAAGCUUUUGUAUGAAGACACAAAUUGGAUUACGGAAAUUCCAGAUAAUGUUGGAAAAUUGAUACAUUUAAAAUAUCUUAAGUUGUCUAAAUUGUAUAUAGCGAGACUACCUGAGACUUUGUGUGAAUUAUAUAAUUUACAAAAACUAGAUAUUAGGCGGUGCAAAUAUCUUAGAGAAUUGCCUGCGGGGAUUGGGAAGUUAAAGAACAUGAGGAGUUUACUGAAUGAUCAAACUGAAAAGCUGAAGUACCUGCCAAUAGGGAUUUCCAGAUUGACCAGCCUUCGAACAUUAGAAAAGUUUGUUGUGGGUGGAGGUGUUGAUGGUGGCAGCACGUGUAGGCUUGAAUCUCUGAAAAAUCUUCAACUCCUUCGAGAAUGUGGAAUAGAAGGGCUGAGUAAUGUAUCGCAUGUAGAUGAGGCUGAGAGGUUACAACUUUACAAUAAGAAAAACCUCCUUCGUUUGCGUCUUGAGUUUGGUGUAGUCGUAGAUGGGGAAGGCGAAGAAAGGAGGAGGAAGAACGAGAAAGAUAAACAACUUCUUGAAGCCUUACAACCGCCUUUGAAUGUAGAGGAAUUAUGGAUUGAAUCCUAUGGAGGCGUCAUUUUUCCCAAAUGGUUGACUUCACUAACCAAUCUAAGGAAUUUAUAUCUUUCCUUGUGUUUUAACUGUGAGCAUUUGCCUCCUUUGGGAAAAUUGCCUCUGGAAAAACUCAUCCUAUGCAAUUUGAUUGGUGUAAAAAGAGUGGGUAAUGAGUUUUUAGGAAUAGAAGAAAGCAGUUAUUGGGACGACCCAUCUUCAUCUUCAUCGUCAUCAUCAGUUAUUGCCUUCCCCAAAUUGAAAUCUCUCAAAAUUUGGUUCUUGGAUGAAUUGGAAGAGUGGAAUUACAGGAUUACGAGGAAGGAAAACAUCUCCAUCAUGCCACGUCUUUCUUCCUUGAAAAUUAAGCAUUGCCCCAAAUUAAAGGUGCUGCCGGAUUACCUUCUUCAAACGACGACGCUGCAGCACUUGAGUAUUCAGGGAUGUCCUCUUCUGGAAAACCGUUAUCGAGAGGGGAAAGGAGAAGACUGGCAUAAGAUAUCUCACAUUCCCCACAUCAAGUGGCGGUAAAUUCUCGAAUGGUUGCAAUUACUAUCACCCACCGGUAAUUGCUCUCCUCUAUUUUACUUUGUUGUUACUUCAAACAACGACACUGCAAACAUUGACAAUUUUAUAGAACGCAUUAGUACAUGUCAAUAACAAGACCAAUUAGAUUAUGGCAUUGCUUUAUUUUAUUUAUUUAUUUUUUUGAUUCUUUUGAAAUAAGAUCAAUUAAUUAGAUCAUGCUAGAAGUUAAUUUUUUUUUUUCAAAUGAAAAAGGAGCAGUCAUACAAAGUUUGAAUAUAAAAUUUAUAAUCUAAAACUAAUGAUGUGACAAUUAACAUGUUAUUAACCUAGCUAAUAGAGUUGGAAGUCCCAAAUACAUCAUAUUCUGCUCCAGAAAUCAAUUCCACCUAGAAUACUUCUUUCUAUUGAAAUUAAUGAUGAUUUGUUUGUUUGCAUCAUGAAAGUCAAAAAUAAUUUUAUGAGUAAUUUGAUUCUUUACGGUACAAAAAAUAAAUUUGGAAAGUACUAAUUUCUCUCAUACUUUUUGGGCUAAAAAAUAAAUGUAAGUCUAACAUAUUUAUUAUAUAAUGGUUCUAUAUAGAAUCAAUCAUGGUAUAAAUAUGUAAAACUUCCUAGUUAUCAAUUUUGUCUUGCAUAAUGAUAAUCGUUUUUUUUUAUAUAUAAUUUAUGUAACAUUAAUUCUUUAAAGUAAUUGUGGAAUUGUUUUUACUACAUUAGCCCUCUUUGUUUUAUUUCAUACGAGUUUAAUUAUGUUCACCAGGGAUUCGAGGAAAUGUCAGAACUACACUAGCAAUUCACAGGUCCAAUCUAAUUUGGUUUUAAUGAUGCAUGCAGGAGAGCAAGAUUAUGAAAAUGAAAAGUUUAGCCAAAGGAUUGCUAAACUGUUCUGCUGGUAAUUCACUUGCUUUAUUUUAUAGAAUUUCAUUUCCAUCUUCUUCUAUUGAUAUCUUGUUGUGAAUAAACAAGCACAGAGAAGUAAAUGAUUGAACCACGGAGAAGUAAAGAUAUAUCCAAAUUCGAUUAUUAUGAUGAUUAAAGCAAGCUCAAGCUCAAGCACUGCAUUUUUUUAUUUUAUUUAGUUUAUAGAAUUUUCAUUUCCACCUGCAUUGCAUUUUUACUUCAUUUUUAGGUUGACGUUGAAGACUCUUAUGGAGAACAUUGGGGUAACCAAGGAUUAUCACUGUGGUUAUUGUGCAACGUUUGGUUGCUGGACUUUGAAGAAGGAAGUGAUGGCCGGGUCUGCUCUGUUUCAAUUGAGGAUGGAUAGCUGCCUGAAAGAUAUGAUGAUUAUUAUUGCAUGAUAUUAAGGUGCUAAGAUCAUCAUUUCUAUCUUGUUUCAUUCUUGGAAUCAUUUAUCCUAUAUAAACAUAUUGAAUUGUGCUAAUAUUAUCAUAUGCGUCAAUGGAGGCAGGAAUUUGGUGUUGACACUAUUAUGCAGGUAACCACACUUCAUAGUUUGCACAAAUUUGCGUUGUCAGAAUAUCCUUUAAUAUUCAUUGUGUUUCUGUGUGUUAUCAGGUUAUCAUCUCCAAGGGUUUGAAAGAGCCUUUGCAGUAAAGUCAGUUUUCACCAGCUCGUGCAAUUGCAAAUUCAUUCAGAGUACUUCAAUAUUGGGUUUUCAAGUUUUGUAUGUUUAGUCGAUUAAAAUGUUUAGUCACUCAUUCUUAAUCAUUUCUGAUUUUCAAGUUCUUUAGGGCCAUAAACAGUUUUUCAAACUCAUUCUUAUUUUUUAGGUUGAUUUCCUACUCGUGGAGAACGUUGGGAAGUCCAAGGAUUAGGCUGGCGAUGGAACUACUACCUCUGUUGUUAUUGUACAAGGUUUGAUCGCUGGACCUUGAACAAGAAAGCCUUACACGCAUUCUGUAAUUGAAGCGUUCUCUAAAGCAAAAGAGCAGUAGAAGGAAUAGUGUUGGCCGGAUCUGUUCUAUCUUAAUUGAAGAUCUCUGUGAUGUUGAGGAGCUAAUGAUUGUUAAGGCAUAUUUUCAUGAACUUCCUUUCUUAACAAAUGUUUCAAUGCUGGCUGUAGUAACAAUUUCAUAUCUUGCAUCUCUCGGGUGCAUCAUGUUCUCGGGUUUGAAAAAGCAUUUGUGGUAAUGCUUCAAAGCUUGUACAAUGGCUGUGAAAAGGCACAUUCAAUUAGGUACGUUUUGGUGCGGUCUCUCAAUGCUAAUAUUAUAUUUUGUAUAGCAAUUAAAAUUUAGCUAUACAAUCUUAAUAUGCAAUAAAUCAUUGUAUACAAAGUUUUCCAUUAAUUAUGUGGUGACAGAAAUUUUAAUUAUCAUAUAUCAAUUUAAAUUUUUUUGUAACUCUCUCUUACUUUGCUUGUACAGAGUACCUGUUUUGGCUGAUAUGUCUAAUUCGUAGAAAUUCAUUUCCAUCGGUUUCCAUUGGCUUUAGCACAAACCGAAACAGAUCUCUGGGGAAAAGUUUUACUUCUUGUGAUAUUAUGCCUCUGUUUCUUCAUUCAUCAUAUUUUUCGAAUUCAUGCUCUCAUUCAGAGGGUAAAGCCUUUUCCAGGCUUCUUUGUAGCCAAACUUUGACGCCUUUGAUGCAUGACUGUCAUUUAGAUUUUCCAAAUAACUGUUAGAUUGGAGAAGAAUAAGAAGAUACUGUUAAAAGGGUAUUUAAUUAAUGUAGUCAAUUACCCUCUGAAUUUCUUGGAGUUAAUGUAGUCAAUUACCCAAUCUUGCUUCAAACUCUGACAUACCUAAUAAAUAGUAGGAGGGGGUGGUAUUCGCCUGGUGUUAAUUUCCUGGCAAGUAUAGUUCACAGAUAGAGGGGUUCUUUUCUUGAUGUCUAAAUACCGUAUGUGAUACAACAUCGUGUAUUCCAAUUUUUCUCCAGUUAAAUUUUAAUACGUUAGUAAAGUUAAUUUUGUUUUAGCGAUGAAUUGUUUUCUUAAUAAUAAUAAUUGCCAUGUUCCUCUGAAGUCUUAUUAAUGCCACGUCAUCGAUCCGUCUAUGCGAACAGUGUCGUGAACAGUACCAUACAUGUGAAUAGUACCGUACAUGUGAAUAGUGCCAUUUUUCCGUUUAUGCUCCUCCUAAGGUUUUCGACCGUCUUGAGUUCAAAAGUGAUGUCCGUUUUGCCGUCUGAUCUCUCGUUUAUUGUGAAAUGACCAUGAUACCCCUAAAAUACAUAAAAUACUUAAUUAAAAAUCAAACACACAUAAUUAAAUUGCAAGAAGCUUAAAUACAUAAAAGUAAGGGUUGUUAGUAAAACUUGAAAUGUAAAAUGAUGAUUUUCUCCUUUAUAAAUAUACAUUUUCUAACACUCAACACCGGCUUCUUAAUUAUUUGUUAAAUCAGGUUUUUCUUAUCAAGUACAUCAUCUUAUUCACCAUUUUGGCUAUAUCAGAAUUUGCUAUUACCAUGAUGUCAAAGCAAGCUCAAGCACUAGAUCCCUAAUAAUAAUGCAUUGCAUUUUCAUUUUAUUUUUAGGUUGGUUUGAAGACCCUAUGGAGAACAUUGGGGUAAUCAAGGAUUAGGCUGGUGAUCGAACUACUUCCACUGUGGUGUUGUGUGCAACGUUCAGUUGCUGGACUUUGAAGAAGAAAGUGAUGGCCAGGUCUGCUCUGUUUCAAUUGAGGAUGGAUAGCUGCCUGGAAGGCAUGAUGAUUUUUGUUGCAUGAUAUUAAGGUACUAAGAUCAUCAUUUCUAUCUUGUUUUUUUCUUUGAUUGGUUUAUCCUCUAUAAGCAAAUUCAAUUAUGGUAAUAUUACCAUUUUUUCACCCAAUUUUCACCGUUGGUUGUAAUAACAAUUUCACGUACUCAAAAGCUACAGAGCAAAGCACAUGUGGGCUGAUCAUAUGCUUCCAUGGAGGAAGGAAUUCGGUAUUAACACUAUUAUGCAGGUAACCACAGUUGUUAAUUUGCACAAAUUUUGCAUUGUCAGAAUGCCCUUUAAUAUUCACAGUGUUUCUUUUUGUUAUUCAGGUUACCAUGGCAUGUAGAGUAUCAUCUUUGAGGGUUUGUGAGAGCCUUUGCAGUAAAGUUACCGGCUCGAACAAUUGCACAUUCAUCGAGAACAAUUUUAGAUUUGCAAGGUUGCGAUUAGCAGGCUUAGUCACUCAUUCCUAAUCUUUUUUGAUUUUCAAGUUAUUUAGGUCCAUUAACCGUUUUCGCACAUGUUUCAAUGCUAGUUGUAAUAACAAUUUCUUAUCCUGCAUCUCUAAGGUGCAUCACGUUUGAAACAGCUUUUGCGGCAAAGUUUCAAUGCUUGUACAAUGGCCGUGAAGAGGUACAUUCAAUUCGGUACAUGUUGGUGCAGUCUUCUAAUGCUAAUAUCAUGUUGUGUAUAUUUAAUUUGCAAUUAAAACAUAGGUAUACAUUCUUAAUCUCCAAUAAAUCAUUGUGUACAAAGUUUUCUAUUAAUUAUAUGGUGACUAAAAGUUUAAUUAUCUUAAAAUUUUUUGUAACUCUCUUUUACUUUGCUUGUACAGAGUACCUGUUUUGGCUGACAUGUCUAAUUCGUAGAAAUUCAUUUCCAUCAGUUUCCAUUGGUGCUAGCACAUACAGAAACAGAGCUCUACUUCUUAUGGUAUUAUGCCUUUGUUUCUUCAUUCACCAUAUUUGUUCGUGUAAAAAACACAGAUUAGAAUGAAUAAUUUCUAUAUUUUAUUGAUGAUAAUUACUCCUCUUUAAAUAGAUUACAGGGGCAUAAAUCAAAUCCCACAAAAUCAGAGCUAUGACAUCUAGAAAUCUAAUUCUAAGGAAACAAAUCAAUAAACCUAUUUAAGGAAACAAAUCUUGCCAAAUAACAUAGAUCCUAAUAUAUACAAUUCUAAUUAUGUAUAAUUUUGAUUUCAUCCACACUCCCCCUCAAGCUUGGCUAUAGAUGUUGAUGAGACCAAGCCUGCCUUCAAGAAACUCAUGAGUAUGUUCUCAGAGUCCUUUGGUGAGGAUAUCAGCCAGUUGGUGAGAUGUAGGCACAUAUUCAAGCUUGAUAAUGUUUCCAUCAAGCUUUUCUUUAAUAAAAUGUCGAUCAACCUCCACAUGUUUAGUCUUAUCAUGAUGAACAGGAUUGUGAGAUAUACUAAUUGCUGACUUAUUAUCACAAUAGAGCAGCAUAGGUUCUUCAAAUCCAAUCUUUAAUUCCUUCAACACCCUUCUUAUCCAGAUAAACUCACACACUCCAUGUGCCAUUGCUCUAAACUCAGCUUCCGCACUACUUCUAGCAACCACUGACUGUUUUUUGCUACGCCAAGUCACCAGAUUUCCCCAUAGCAACGUGCAAUAACCAGAUGUUGAUUUAUGAUCAUUAAUUGAUCUAGCCCAAUCAGCAUCUGUGAAUGCUUUCACCUUUCGAUCAUUGGUCUUUGCAAAAAUAAGCCUUUUUCGGGUGUUCGCUUCAAGUAUCUCAGGAUUCUAUCUACUGCAUUCAAAUGACCUUGACAUGGUGCAUGCAUAUGUUGACUUACUAAACUCACUGCAAAGGCAAUAUCCGGUCUUGUAUGUGAGAGAUAGAUGAGCUUUCCAACUACAGGUGAUAAGAUGUUGCUUGAAUUCAGCAUCUUGUAUUGCGAUGAUUUUGCCCACAUGAGGUUCUGUGAUUCUUGACAUCAGGAUAACUCAGGUCAAUUUUUUGUAUCAGCAUAUAUCAUCUUGUUUACUGUUUUGCCUUCAAAGAAUAAACUUUAGUGAAGUUGUUUUUGUUUGUGUAAGUUAUCAGGUUAAGGAUACUAAGCAGCUUAUUAAGGCAAAUGUCAUAAUGAAGAUUGUUCACCACACCUGGCAUUUAUGAUGGCAAGGAAGAUUAAUUGUUCACAAGCCAAUUUGAUGAGUGUUAGAUUUUUGGCUUUAUAUAUUAUUAGAGCUCUCCCUUCUGAGAGAUAUCUCAUUAAAUUGAGUAGAGCUCUCCCAAUAAUCGCAAGCUUUCAUUUGUUUGUAAAAUCAUCUUCUUAUAUUGAUUGUGUUUCCUUGUGUUAUCAAGUAGAGUAUCAUCUUCAAGGGUUUAAAAAAGUCUUUGCAGUAAAGUUUCAACCAGUUGCUGUGAAGAGGCAUAUUCAUUUGAGUAAUUCAGUUUCAGAUUUUCAGGGCAUGUAUGUUUAAUUAGUUUUGAUUAUGCUCUAAAUCUAACAAAAGUAUAUUUCUACUUCUUGUGGUUAUUUUACUUUUGUAUUUUCUGUCAUCAUUUUGAUUAAUUCAUUCGAAUUCAGACUCUCAUUAUUUAAAACCAUUUUCAGGUGGCUUGCACGCUAAUUAAGAAAUUGGAAAGUUAUCAUUGCUUGAAUGAAAGCACCAUCUUCUUUUGUCAAGGCUUUCCCCACACGAUGAGAUUAUGUGCUUGUUAUCGGCCGCUUAAUUAUUUAUUAAAUCAGGUUUUUGUUAUCAAGUACAUCAUCUUAUUCACCAUUUUGGCUAUAUAUAAAGAUUAAAAUUUCUAACAGUUGUUUCAGAUUCUUGUGCACUCAGGUUAAUAGUGCAAAUGUCAGAAUGAAGAUUGUUCAGUGCAACCGGUAUAGCAAGGAUGAUAGUGGUGAGGAAGAUUGUAACACCCCAGUUCGAAAUCCAAGGGCAAAUAUGUCCACAACUCACAUAUGAUUUAAAUAACUCUUUACAAACAAUAAAAUUCGAGCCUCAAAUACAAAAGCCAGCAGAAUAACUUAAAAAUUUAGCCAAACCAUCUACUAUCUUCAACUUGUCACUCAUCACGAAAUAAUCCUGACUUCUGGAAACUGAAUCACAAUAAACUAUAAUGAGUACAAAACUCAGUAAGAAACUAGUUUUUCUUAUAGAAAAUACAUACAUACUUAUACAUAAUGCAAUGGAUGAUAUGCCAUGAUCUUUUGGAAAUAUUGUAAAAUAAAUUCAUAAAAAUCUCUUUCUGUCGCCUUCAAACUUUCUCAUUUUCUUUCGAUGAAAUACGUAUCCUGCAAUGUCGCACUUUGUGCUGUGCGUGGCACUUUGCGGCACUCUGGCCCUCAAGAGGUGGCCCCUGCAUAGUCUCAAGAGGUGGCCCCCCCACAACUUCAAGAGGUGGCCCCCAAUGUAAAAAUCUCAUAAAACAGAAAUUCCGUUUGCUAAAAUCCACUUUCUCAUUCAUAGAAAAUUCAAUGCAUUUUCGUGCUCAUGCCAAUGAACCAUCACACAUACAUAUGCCCAUGUACAUAAUCACGCCCAUUACAUAACAACACAUCACAUAAACACAUGAGCAGAGACAUAUAAAUCCAUAUUCGUACAUAUCAAAAUAGGCUUUUCAUACAAGUCAAACAUAUAUAUUAUUUAUUGUGAUUCGUUUUAAAGUCUAGUUCACUUACCUCUUGGCAUCCUCAUGUAACAAAUGUGUACUGAUACCAUCAACCUAAAAUCAUCAAUAAAUUCUCAUAAGAUAUAAUCAAAUCUCAAUCAUAAACUCUAAUGUCCUCAAAUAUCUCAAUUUAAACAACUCUUAAGCUCAACCUCAAAUGUCCUCAAUAAUCGGCCCUCAAAACAUAACAGUCCAUACUUCUCCGAUUUUUAAUAAAUUAUUCUCUUAUUGGAAGAAUCUCAAAUUUUACAGACCAUAUGCUGACACAUUGAAAGUUCAUUGAUAAAAAUUUCAUAACAUAAUUCCUUCCAAAACGAUUGAAAAUAAUUCACGUUUCAGACAUCAUCAAUACUGUCAAACAGUUUUCUGUUUUGAACACACUUGCUUUAAAAAUACAAAACAAUUUAUUUCUUUAUCAUAAAAUCAUGAAAAUUUCCAGAAUCAUACUAGACUUAUAUAAAACUCAUUGGUCCAAAUUUCAUAAGUUUGAAGAAGUCUAGAUAUGGUAGAAAUAAUUUCGUAAUUCACUGAAAUCAUAAAUUUCCAGGUUUUCAGACUUGACUUUGAAAAAUCAUAAUUAAUUGAAAUCUUAUCUGAUUAACUUGAAACAAGUUUCAAAACAUAUUAGACGAUGUCUAGUUUAACAUACCCAAAAAUCAGAAUCAAAAUCAAUUUUUACAAAUUACUAUGAUUUUCGUAAUAAUUCACUGUCAGCAUAUUUAUGUAAAAUCUUUGAUUUCUACUUCUAUUGCAAUCAUGCUUCUCCACAACAAUUUAAUAGAAACCAAUAAUUAAAACAUACCUCCAAAAAUUCUCCCAACAAUAACAACUUGAUCCAAUGUGUUGUCUAUGGCAAAACUAAGAAGAAGAAGAAGAGCUUCUUUUUUUUUUCUUUUCUCUCUUGUCUCUCCAUCUCUCUUUUUUAACCGAUCCCUCUUUUUCUCUCUCUUAUAAUGAAAAAGACAUCUUGUUCUAUUUAUACUAGGGUAAAAAGGAUCACUAAAAAUUAAAAAGACUUAAAUACCCUUAGGAGAUUUGGGGUAUUACAAAGAUUGUUGGCAAGCCAAAUAGAUCCCUCCAUUUUGAGAAAUAUCAUCCUCAAAUUUGAAUUGCUGAGCAUGUGAAGUGAAGCUAAAGCCUUAAUAAUGAGACCUUCCUGUGAAAGUUUCAUUUGAGUGAAUUGAACGUUCUUGGAGUGAGUGAGAAAUUAAGCAUAUAUCAGCGAUUAGUGAAUUUUUUUCUUUAACAUUAGUACACUCUUAUUUCUUAGUAAAAUUCUCUUCCCGUCUCUGACUGUGACGUAGACCAAAAGCUUAACAAUGUAAAAUUAUAUUGUUAUUUCCUUAUGCUUGUUUUGCUAUAUAUCAUUUCUGUGCAAUCAAGAAUGUAAUUUUGUAAUUAUUUAAUUCUGCUUCCGCAAACAUGCCGUAUUACAAGUGAUAUCUUGCAGAAUUUUCCCCCCCUUUUUUCUUUCUGCAUUAAAACUGCAACAAAUGGAAGUGACUGGCUUGAUUUUAGCUCCUGUAAAAAAGUGCUUGCGGCAAUGUCUUUUGUAUCAGCAAGUCAUCAAACAUCAUUUUACGCUUGAAGUUGGGCCUUCUGAAGAUUUACCCCAUAUGGAACAAAAUAUUGGUUUCGCUACUAAAAUUGCGAACUAUGUUUUUCUUUGUAUUUUCCGCUCAACUGUUGUGCUGAAUAUGUUGCGAACAUAUGACAAUUUAAUCUUUGGCUGAGACUUGUUUAAAAUAAAAAAUGACACUUUAAAGCAAUAGGAGACUUUUAUAUAUUAAAAUGGUAAACGGGUGGAUAAAACUCAAAAUAAAUUUUUGACAUUUUAUCUAUUUUGACAUUCGAAUUUUAAACUUUAGAAGUCAAGCAAUGAAUAAACCUUUUUGAGAGGCUAAUUAAAUUCUUAGUAAUUUCACAUAAUUUCAUUUCAUCAGAACAGUUUUAUCAAAAGCAAUUUUAUAAAUCGUUGUUGAAAGCUUUAUUCCUUAAUUAUCUUUCACAUAGUUUCUUUGUAAUGUGGGUAAGUCAUAGACCAUGGUAUGAUAUUUAUUAAAUAUCAAAAGAUACCUCUUCUAUGGCAAAGUUAAUUAGACAUGUCUUUAUAAUAAAACAUCAUUUAUUUUGAAAUUGAUCCAACACUAAGAUUAUUGUAGAUCAAAUUAGUCUAUUACAGAUAACUUCAGAAGGUUCAUCAGUAGAUUGUUCCAACCUUUUUGUCGUAGUUUACAAGUAUUUUGUUACUUAUAAUACAAGAAAUUUUACAAGUGCUGAUGCUGAGUAGUCUGAAUAAUUAUUAUGAAUCAUAAAAACAGGGCAGAUGCUGUACAAAUUUUACAAAUAUUUUGUUACUUAUAAUGUAAGAAAUUUUACAAGUGCUGAUGCUGAGUAGUCUGCAUAAUUAUUGAGGUGGUGGAGCAAAUGCUCAGUAGUCUGAAUAAUAAUUAUGAAUCGGAAAAAUAGGGCAGAUGCUGUACAAUUAUUGAGGUGGUGGAGCAGAUGCUCAGUAGUUUGAAUAAUUAUUAUGAAUCGGACAAACAGGGCAGAUGCUGUACAAUUAUUGACGUGGUUGAACAGAAAGCUAGCCCCAGACGGUGACUCCUGUGGGGACUCCUUUAAUUUGCAGCACAAAAGAACGCUCACAUUGACAUUGACUCACGGGUAAAAAUUAAAUAUCUCAUAUGGUAUAAGAAGAAUGCAAACAUGCUUGAAUCAACAUUCUCUCAGAAUACAUAAAAGCUACUUUCCUCUGAGCAUUUUAUCAAGAAAAGCAAUUGCUGCAUUUACCAUUUGAUCUGAUAUCAGAAUGGCUCAUGCGAUCGUUUCCUCUCUCUUAGACCAGCUGAUCUCUGUUGCGGCUGAUGAAGUGAAACAGCAGGUGAGGCUUGUGACGGGUGUCGAACAUGAAGUGGGAAAGCUUACCACCAACCUUCAAGCCUUUCAAGCUGUACUGGAAGAUGCAGAGCAGAGGCAACUGGAGAAGGAAAAGGCUGUUACUAUUUGGCUGGAUCAGCUCAGAGACGCAUCCUACGACAUGGAAGAUGUGUUGGAUGAGUGGAUCACUGCAAGGCUCAAAUUGCAGAUUGAGGGCAUUGAUGAUGACAAUGCUCUUGCUCUUGCUCCUCAUAAGAAGAAGGUACGCUCCUUCUUUUGUGCUGUAUCAAAUUGUUUUGGUAGUUUCAAACAACUUAGUCUUCGUCAUGACAUUGCCGUCAAGAUUAGGGAAAUCAAUGGAAAGCUAGAUGAUAUUGCCUCCCAAAAAGAUACGUUUAAAUUUGUUGAGAAUGUGAGUAACAAUGUUAAGAAACCAGAGCGAGUGCGAACCACCUCCUUGAUUGAUGAGGGAGGGGUUUGUGGUAGAGUUGAUGAGAAAAAUGAGCUCUUAAGCAAGUUGCUGUGUGGAAGUAGUGAACAACAAAAAGGCCUUCAUGUCAUUUCACUAGUUGGGUUAGGGGGUAUAGGUAAAACCACUCUUGCACAACUGGCGUAUAAUAAUGAUGAGGUGAAAAGAAAUUUUGAAAAAGUUAUAUGGGUGUGUGUAUCAGACACUUUUGAGGAGAUUAGGGUCGCCAAAGCAAUCAUUGAAGGUCUAGGCGUGUCAGCUUCUGGUUUAAGCGAAUUCGAAUCUCUUAUGAAACAGAUUCAGGAAUAUAUUACGGGGAAUAAAUUUUUUCUUGUUUUAGAUGAUGUGUGGGAUGGAGAUUACAAAAAAUGGGACCUAUUCUUUUCUUGUCUAAAGAAUGGCCACCAUGAAAGUAAAAUUCUAAUUACCACACGUGAUAGGUCAGUUGCACUACAGUUGGGAUCAAUAGAUAUUAUCCCUGUCAAGGAGUUGGGUGAAGGGGAAUGUUGGUUACUGUUUAAGCAUAUAGCAUUUCUACGUAGGUCCUUUGAGGAUUGUGAAAAAUUAGAACCAAUCGGGAGAAAAAUAGCAUGUAAGUGCAAAGGCCUGCCUCUUGCUGCAAAGGUAAUAGGGAAUCUCUUGCGCUCUAAAAGUACAGAAAAAGAGUGGCAAAGAAUUUUAGAUAGUGAAAUGUGGAAAGUAGAAGAGAUUGGGCAAGGUCUUUUAGCUCCUUUGUUGUUGAGUUAUAACGAUUUGCCCUCCAAUUCUAUGGUAAAACGGUGUUUCUCAUAUUGUGCUGUCUUUCCAAAAGACUACGAGAUGGAUAAAGAGGAGUUGAUUGAUCUGUGGAUGGCUCAAGGUUACCUUAAUGCAGAAGAAGACGAAGAAAUGGAGAUGAUUGGAGAAGAGUAUUUCAACAUCUUAGCAACACGCUCUUUCUUUCAAGAAUUUCAGAAAAAUGAUGAUGAUGAUUUUACGAGUUGUAAGAUGCAUGACAUAGUACAUGAUUUUGCCCAAUUUGUAAGUAGCAAAGAAUGUUUGUGGCUAGAAAUUAAUGGUACCAAGGAAUCAGUCAUAAACUUUUUUGGUGACAAAGUCCGUCACUUAGGGUUAAAUUUUGGAGGAGGAGCUUCAUUUCCUAUGACCAUUUAUGGACUUAAUAGAUUGCGUACCCUCCUAAUUUAUGACCAAAGUUUUGUCAAUUUAUCUCUUAACAGUAGCAUCCUUCGGGAGUUAUUUAGUAAAUUGGCAUGUUUAAGGGCAUUAGUUAUAAGCCAAUCGACCAAGCUUUUGUAUGAAGACACAAAUUGGAUUACGGAAAUUCCAGAUAAUGUUGGAAAAUUGAUACAUUUAAAAUAUCUUAAGUUGUCUGAAUUACACAUAGAGAGACUGCCUGAGACUUUGUGUGAAUUAUAUAAUUUACAAAAGCUAGAUAUUAGGCGGUGCCCAAAUCUUAGGGAAUUACCUGCGGGGAUUGGGAAGUUAAUGAACAUGAGGAGUUUACUGAAUGGUAAAACUUAUUCGUUGAAAUACAUGCCAGUAGGGAUUUCCAAAUUAACCAGUCUUCGAACAUUAGAAAAGUUUGUUGUGGGUGGAGGUGUUGAUGGUAGCAAUACGUGUAGGCUUGAAUCUCUGAAAAAUCUUCAACUCCUUCGAGAAUGUGGAAUAGAAGGGCUGGGUAAUGUGUCCCAUUUAGAUGAGGCCGAGAGAUUACAACUUUACAAUCAGCAAAACCUCCUUCGUUUGCGUCUUCGGUUUGGUGGAGUCGUAGAUGGGGAAGAUGAAGAAAGGAGGAGGAAGAAUGAUAAAGACAAACAACUUCUUGAAGCUUUACAACCGCCUUUGAGUGUAGAGGAAUUAGGGAUUGAAUCCUAUGGAGGCGACAUUUUUCCCAAAUGGUUGACUUCACUAACCAAUCUAAGGAAUUUAACACUUUCCUCGUGCGCUAACUGUGAGCAUUUGCCUCCUUUGGGAAAAUUGCCUCUGAAAAAACUCGAACUACUCGACUUGGAAAGUGUAAAAAGAGUGGGUAAUGAGUUUUUGGGAAUAGAAGAAAGCAGUGAGGAUGACCCAUCUUCAUCUUCAUCGUCACCAUCAGUUAUUGCCUUCCCCAAAUUGAAAUCACUCGAAAUUGACGGAAUGAAAGAACUGGAAGAGUGGAAUUACAGGAUUACGAGGAAGGAAAACAUCUCCAUCAUGCCCCGUCUUUCUUCCUUGCAAAUUAUGAAUUGCCGCAAAUUAAAGGCGCUGCCGGAUUACCUUCUUCAAACGAUAGCACUGCAGAAACUGGGUAUUUAUUAUUGUGAUCUUCUAGAAGAACUGCCCAUUCUAGAAGAUCGCAGGACAACAGACAUACCACGUCUUUCUUCCUUGGCGAUUUGGUAUUGCCCCAAAUUAAAGGUGCUGCCGGAUUACCUCCUUCGAACGACGACGCUGCAGGUAUUGAGUAUUAUGGAAUGUCCUCUUCUAGAAGGACAUUAUAGAGAGGGCAAAGGAGAAGACUGGCAUAAGGUAUCUCACAUUCCCUGCAUCAUGUGGUUGCCGUCGUUGUAAGAUAUCACUCGCUGGUAAUUUCUCCUCCUCCUCUGAUUUACUUCGUUGUUGCUUGCAAUGAAAUUAAUAAAAAUAAUUAUAUUUUGAAUUAAAAUUCUAUAUAGAAUCAAUCAUGGUAUAAAUAUGUAAAACUUCCUAGUUAUUAAAUCUGUUUAACUUGUUUUCUAAAGAUUAAAUUAAAAAAAAGUGUAGUCUGUUGAAAUUUCUAUAUUUACUUCUAAAAAAUAUGUGCUCUUUUGUAAAAUUUCAUACCACAUCAUAGAAAAUCCCAAUGUAAUUUAUUUUUUAAUGUACAAAAAUUUGUUAUGUGUAACUUCCUGAGAGGCAAAAUCUCUGGGAUACAUUUGCAAUAAUGUUGAAAAAUAAAUUAUCAAUUUUAUCUUGUAUAAUGAUAAUCAUAUUUUUUUAUAUAUAAUUUAUGUGACAUUAAUUCUUUAAAGUAAUUGUGUAAUUGUUUUUAGUAGUACAUUAGCCCACUUUAUUUUAUUUCAUAUGAGUUUAAUUAUGUUCACCAGGGAUUCGAGGAAAUGUCAGAACUACACUAGCAAUUCACAGGUCCAAUCUAAUUUGGUUUUAAUGAUGCAGGCAGGAGAGCAAGACUAUGAAAAUGAAAAGUUUAGCCAAAGGAUUGCUAAAAUGUUCUGCUGGUAAUUCACUUGCUUUAUUUUAUAGAAUUUCAUUUCCAUCUUCUUCUAUUGAUAUCUUGUUGUGAAUAAACAAGAACAGAGAAGUAAAUGAUUGAACCACAGAGAAGUAAAGAUAUAUCCAAAUUCGAUUAUUAUGAUGAUUAAAGCAAGCUCAAGCUCAAGCAUUGCAUUUUUUAUUUUAUUUAGUUUAUAGAAUUUUCAUUUCCACCUGCAUUUCAUUUUUAUUUCAUUUUUAGGUUGACGUUGAAGACUCUAUGGAGAACAUUGGGGUAACCAAGGAUUAUCACUGUGGUUAUUGUGCAACGUUUGGUUGCGGGACUUUGGAGAAGGAAGUGAUGGCCGGGUCUGCUCUGUUUCAAUUGAGGAUGGACAGCUGCCUGAAAGACAUGAUGAUUAUUAUUGCACGAUGUUAAGGUGCUAAGAUCAUCAUUUCUAUCUUGCUUCAUUCUUGGAAUCAUUUAUCCUAUAUAAACAUAUUGAAUUGUGCUAAUAUUAUCAUAUGCGUCAAUGGAGGCAGGAAUUUGGUGUUGACACUAUUAUACAGGUAACCACACUUCAUAGUUUGCACAAAUUUGCGUUGUCAGAAUAUCCUUUAAUAUUCAUUGUGUUUCUGUGUGUUAUCAGGUUAUCAUCUCCAAGGGUUUGAAAGAGCCUUUGCAGUAAAGUCAGUUGUCACCAGCUCGUGCAAUUGCGCAUUCAUUCAUAGUACUUCAAUAUUGGGUUUUCAAGUUUUGUAUGUUUAGUCGAUUAAAAUGUUUAGUCAAUCAUUCUUAAUCAUUUCUGAUUUUCAAGUUCUUUAGGGCCAUAAACAGUUUUUCAAACUCAUUCUUAUUUUUUAGGUUGAUUUCCUACUCGUGGAAGUCCAAGGAUUAGGCUGGCGAUGGAACUACUACCUCUGUUGUUAUUGUGCAAGGUUUGAUCGCUGGACCUUGAACAAGAAAGCCUUACAUGCAUUCUGUAAUUGAAGCGUUCUCUAAAGCAAAAGAGCAGUAGAAGGAAUAGUGAUGGCCGGAUAUGCUCUAUCUUAAUUGAAGAUCUCUGUGAUGUUGAGGAGCUAAUGAUUGUUAAGGCGUAUUUUCAUGAACUUCCUUUCUUAACAAAUGUUUCAAUGCUGGCUGUAGUAACAAUUUCAUAUCUUGCAUCUCUCGGGUGCAUCAUGUUCACAGGUUUGAAAAAGCAUUUGUGGUAAUGCUUUAAAGCUUGUACAAUGGCUGUGAAAAGGCACAUUCAAUUAGGUACGUUUUGGUGCGGUCUCCCAAUGCUAAUAUUAUAUUUUGUAUAGCAAUUAAAAUUUAGCUAUACAAUUUUAAUAUGCAAUAAAUCAUUGUAUACAAAGUUUUCUAUUAAUUAUAUGGUGACUGAAAUUUUAAUUAUCAUAUCAAUUUAAAUUUUUUUGUAACUCUCUUUUACUUUGCUUGUACAGAGUACCUGUUUUGGUUGAUAUGUCUAAUUUGUAGAAAUUCAUUUCCAUCGGUUUCCAUUGGCUUUAGCACAAACCGAAACAGAGCUCUGGGGAAAAGUUUUACUUCUUGUGAUAUUAUGCCUUUGUUUCUUCAUUCAUCAUAUUUUUCGAAUUCAUGCUCUCAUUCAGAGGGUAAAGCCUUUUCCAGGCUGCUUUGUAGCCAAACUUUGACGCCUUUGAUGCAUGACUGUCAUUCUUUUUCUUGGUUAUUCAAACUUUCAGUUAUAUAUUAUGUGAAAGAUUCUUUUUCUUAUUAAAGUACAUUGUUGGUUUUUUCUUUUUCCUUCAUUUUGUCUGAAUUAAAGCUAAAAUUGUAAGUUUUUUUUUAAUUGGAAAAUAUUAAUAUUUCAUUAAACAAAUAACAACAAUACAACUACUUGCAGUACAUCACUAGUUCACAUUACAAAGAUUAAAAUACAGAGAUCUGUUUUAGUUACAGAGAUCUAUUACAGUAAUCAAUUGAAUUAACCCCUAAAAGUUUAUUAAAGAAUAGGAAGAAACACAUGUACACUAAAAGAAAAACUUCCAUUCGUAAUGCACAUAUAAUUCAAGCUCCAUUUGGGGUUCCAUGGCUCUUUCGAAAUUAUCUCCACCACCAUAUUUAUGCUUUCCAGCUAGUACCAAAAUAGAUUUACCGUAAAAAUUGAUUCACACCCUCUAACUUUACAAACAUGAGAAACAUAGACUCUAGAUCUAAAAGUUGAAGGGUUAUGUACUGGCAAAUAGAAAUUAAACCAACAUUAUCACUAUAACAGAUACAUUAUUACCAUCAAAGAUCAAGAUCUGAAUGGAUGCACAGCAGCCAUCGUCAAGACCAAAAGAGGAAGAAAUUGAAAUAGAACAACCACCUUAAGGUGGAGAAGGCCAGAACAAGACACCCAUCCUCAAAUCAUAUGGAAGAGGUGGGUGCAACCAAAAAAAAAAAAAAAGAGAGAAUCCACUGGAGAAGGCAAGAAAGAUUUCUGCCUCCAAAGAUUUGGUGAGGAAGAGAUGAGGAAUUUGGAGAGGAAAAGUUUCGGAGAGAUCUAGAGUUUGGCUUUAAAAAUGUGUUUUAAAGAAAAAGUUGUUGAGAGGAAACGAGACCAAUUAGAUCAUGCAAGAAGUUAAUUUUUUUUAAAUAAAAAAGGAGAAAUGAUGAUCUUACAAAGUUUGAAUAUAAAGUUUAAAAUCUAAAAUUAAUGACUUGACAAUCGAUGCAUUAUUAGCCUAAUAGAGUAAGAAGUCCCUGCUAAAGAAUUCAAUAUUCUACCCAGAAUACUUCUUUCUAUUGCAAUUAAAUGAUGAUUAUUUGUUUUUAUCAUGAAAGCUAAAAUAACUUUGUGAGUAAUUUGAUCCUUUUGCAGUAUAAAAAUAAAUUCAGAAAUGGGCACCAUUCUUCCUUUGUUUAAAUCAUGGUCUCCACGGAAGUAAAAUUUUGGUUACUACACGUAAUGAGUUAGUUGCACGUAUGAUGGGAUCAACAAAUAUUAUCUUCAUUGAGCAAUUGAUUGAAGAGGAUUGCUAGUCGGUUUUCAAGCGAUUAGCAUUUUUCGGUCACUCUUUCGAGGAUUGUGAAAGAUUAGAACCAAUCGGCCGAAAAAUUGCACGCAAGUGCAAAGGCCUGCCUCUUGCUGCAAAGGUAAUAAGGAAUCUCUCGCGUUCAAAAAGUGCAAUAAACGACUGGCAAAGAAUUUUAGAUAGUGAAAUGUGGAAGGCAGAAGAGAUUGGGAAAGGUCUUUUGACUCCUUUAUUGUUGAGUUAUAAUGAUUUGUCGUCCAAUUCUAUGGUAAAACAAUAUUUUUCAUUUUGUGCUGUCUUUCCGAAAGACUACAAUAUGUAUAAAGAGGAGCUAAUUUCACUAUGGAUGGCUCAAGGUUACCUUAAUGCAGAAGAAUAUGAAGAGAUGGAGAUGACUGGGGAAGAGUGUUUCAACAUUUUAGCAACACACUCUUUCUUUCAAGAGUUUGAGAAAAAUGAUGAUGAUGAUAUUAUGAGUUGCAAGAUGCAUGACAUAGUACAUGAUUUUGCUCAAUUUGUAAGUAGCAAAGAAUGUUUGUGGCUAGAAAUUAAUGGUACCAAAGAAUCAGUCAUAAACUCUUUUGGUGGGAAAGUCCGUCCCUUAGGUUAAAGUUUAAAGGAGGCGCUUUAUUUCCUAUGUCCAUUCAUGGACUUAAUAGAUCGCGUACCCUCCUAAUUGAUUAUGAAAGUCCUUCCAAUUCGUCUCUUGAUAGUAGCAUCCUUCCUGAGUUAUUUAGUAAAUUGGCAUGUUUAAGAGCAUUAGUUAUAAGGCAAUCAUUCUUGCUUUGUCGUCCUGACCCAAAUUUGAUUAGAGAAAUUCCAGAAGAUGUCGGGAAAUUGAUGCUUUUAAAAUAUCUUAAUUUGUCUGAAUUACACAUAGAGAGACUGCCUGAGACUUUGUGUGAAUUAUAUAAUUUACAAAAGCUAGAUAUUAGGGGGUGCCGAAAUCUAAGAGAAUUGCCUGCAGGGAUUGGGAAGUUAAAGAACAUGAGGAGUUUGCUAAAUGGUCUUACUUGUUCGUUGAAGUACAUGCCAAUAGGAUUUUCCAAAUUAACCAAUCUUCGAACAUUAGACAAGUUUGCUGUGGGUGGAGGUGUUGAUGGUGGCAGUACGUGGAGGCUUGAAUGUCUGAAAAAUCUUCAACUCCUUCGAGAAUGUGGAAUAGAAGGGCUGAGUAAUUUGUCACAUGUAGAUGAGGCUGAGAGAUUAGAACUCAAAAAUAUGGAAAACCUCCUUCGUUUGUAUCUUUUGUUUGAAGUUGUAGAUUGGGAAGAUAAAGAAGAGGAUGAAGAUGAAGGUGGGGAAGAUGAAGGUGAGGAUGGGGGAUAUGAAGAAGAAGAAGGAGGUGAAGUUGUAAAUGGGGAAGAUGAAGAAAGGAGCAGGAAGAAUGAGAAAGAUGAACAACUUCUUGAAGCCUUACAGCCGCCUUUGAAUGUAGAGGAAUUAUGGAUUUUAUUAUAUGGAGGCAACAUUUUUCCCAAAUGGUUGACUUCGCUAACCAAUAUAAGGAAUUUAUUUCUUCACAGGUGUCUUAACUGUGAGCAUUUGCCUCCUCUGGGAAAAUUGCCUCUGGAAAAACUCGCCCUGCAAAAUUUGAAUAGUGUAAAAAGAGUGGGUAAUGAGGUUUUGGGAAUAGAGGAAAGUAGUGAUGAUGACCCGUCUUCAUCUUCAUCAUCAUCAUCAGUUAUUGCCUUCCCCAAAUUGAAAUCACUCAAAAUUUGGGACAUGGAAGAAUUGGAAGAGUGGGAUUACACGGUUACGAGGAAGGAAAACAUCUCCAUCAUGCCACGUCUUUCUUCCUUGGAAAUUGAUUGUUGCCCCAAAUUAAAGGUGUUGCCAGAUGACCUUCUUCAAACGUCGACACUGCAGGAAUUGAGUAUUGGGGGAUGUCCUAUUCUAGAAGACUGGCAUAAGAUAUCUCACAUUCCCCACAUCGAGUUUUAAAUUCUCGAACGGUUGCAAUUACUAUAACCCGCCGGUAAUUUCUCCUCCUCCUCUGUUUUGCUUCAUUGUUACUUGUAAUGAAAUUAAUAAUAAUAAUGAUAAUAAUUAAAUUUUGAAUUAAAUUUCUAUAUUUUGCCAAUGUCUCAUAGGAAUGUGCAAUAUUUUCUAAUAUUUUGAUUUUUGUAUUGAAUAUAACUAUUUACUUCAGUGUACGAUAAUUUGUUACGUGAAACUUCUUGAGAGACUGAAUUUCUGGGGUACUUUGUAGUAAUGUUGAAAACUAAGUGAUGGCUGGGUCUGCUCUGUUUCAGUUGAGGAUGGAUUGCUGCCUGGAAGACAUGCUGAUUAUUAUUGCAUGAUAUUAAGGUGCUGAGAUCAUCAUUUCUAUCUUGUUUCUUUCUUUGAACGGUUUAUCCUCUAUAAGCAUAUGGAAUUAUGUUAGUAUUAUCACUUCUUCACCCAAUUUUCACUGUUGGUUGUAAUAACCAUUUCAGGUUCUCAAAAGCUACAAAGCAAAGCAUCUUUGGGCUGAUCAUAUAUUUCAAUUGACGAAGGAAUUCGAUGUUGGCACUAUUAUGCAGGUAACCAGAGUUGAUAAUUUGUACAAAUUUGCAUUGUCAGAAUACCCUUCAUAUUCACCGUGUUUCUUUGUGUAGGUAUGUAGAGUAUCAUCUUCAAGGGUUGUAAGAGCCUUUGCAGUAAAUUUAGCUGCUAGUGCAAUUGCUCAUUCAUCGAAGUACAAUUUUGGAUUUUCAAGGUUUGUAUGCUCAGUUGUAAUUAAAAUGCUUAGUCACUUAUUCCUAAUCUUUCUGAUUUUCAAGUUAUUUUAGGUCCAUAAACAGUUUUCACACAUGUUUCAAUGCUUCUUGUAAUGACAAUUUCAUAUCUUGCAUCUCUAAUGUGCAUCAUGUUUGAAACAGCUUUCGCGGUAAAGUCUUCGAUGCUUGUACAAUGGCUGUGAAGAGGCACACUAAAUUCGGUACAUUUUGGUACGGCCUCCUAAUGCUGGUAUAAUGUUGUGUAUAUUUAGUUUGCAAUUAAAACUUAGGUAUACAAAUCUUAAUCUGCAAUAGAUCAUAGUGUACAAAGUUUCUAUUAAUGAUAUGGUGACUGAAAGUUUAAUUAUCUUAAAAUUUUUCUAUGACUCUCUUUUACUUUCUUUGUACAGAGUACUUGUUUUGGCUGAUGUGUCUAAUUCAUAGAAAUUCAUUUCCAUCGGUUUCCAUUGGUUUGAGCACAAACAGAAACAGAGGUCUGAGGAGAAGUUUCACUUCUUGCGGUAUUAUGCCUUUGUUUCUUUAUUCACCAUAUUUGUUCGAAUUCAUGCCCUCAUUAAGAAUUUAAAGCCUUUUCCAGGCAGCUUUGUAGCCAAAUUUUGAUGCCAUAAAUGCAUGAUUGUCAUUUAGAUUUUCCGAAUAUUUGUUAUUUGGAGAAAUAUUGUUAAAAGGGCAUUUGAUUAGCUACUUACCCUAUGAAUUUAGUUGCCAAUAAUAGAUUGAAAUUGAGUAGGCUAAUGGUUGAGGAAAGUUAUUGUCUUAAUUAAAUUACAGGUGAUAAGAUGUUGCUUGUGUAAUCAGAUAAAUGGGGCAAAUGUCAGAACAAAGAUUGUUCAGUGCUGCUGGUAGGGCAAGGAUGAUGAUGGUGAGGAAGAUUGUUCACAAGCCAAGUAGAGCCCUCCAUUUUGAGAAAUAUCAUCCUCAAAUUUGAAUUGUUGAGCAUAUGAAGUGAUGCUAAAGCCUUAAUAUUAAGUCUUUCUGAAAGUUUCAUUUGAAUGAAUUUUCGGAGAUUGAAUGUUCUUAGCGUGAGUAAGAAAAUUAAGCACAUAUCUGCGAUUUGGAUCGUCGGUGAAUGUUUUCCUUUAAUAUUUGUACAAACCCGUUUCUUAGUAAAAUUUUCUUCAUGUCUUUUACUAUGACAUAGGCUAAUAGCCGUACCACAUAACAUUAUCUUCUUAUUUCUUUAUGCUUGGUUUUGCUACAUAUAAGAAUGCAAUUUUGUAACUACUUAACUCUGCUUCGGCAAAGUUAAGUAGUUACAAAAAUUUUUUUUUUUCGUUUUUCUUUCUCCGAUAAAAUUGCCACAAAUGGAAGCGAUUGGCUUGAUUUUUGCUUCUGUAAAAAGUGGUGGGAGCAAUGUCUUGUGUACCCGCAAGUUAUAAAUCGUCAUAGUUUAAAUGACGAAUCCCGAGUUGCCAUCCAAACUAAAGAAAUUGCAAAUUAAGUAGUUCAUUACAAAUGAUAUAUUUUGAGUUGCUAAUUAUUAAGUAUUUCAUUCAAAAAUGUUCUCGUUCCCACAGUUUCUAAUGUUUAAAGUGCAUCAUUGCUCUACUUCCGUCAUAACAGCAUAAGAGAAUUUAACAUAAUACUGAGAAAAUGAUUAUUUUACCCUAAAUGUAAAUGAUUAUUCUACCCUUAACAUAAAAUAACUAAUUUGCCCUAAUUUAAUAACGAAAAAAAUAGAUGACUGCAAUAUAGAUAUUAAAUAAUAAAUAAAAUAAAAAAUAAGAAUUAAAACUAAAAUAAUUAAAAGAGAGCUCAAGAGAAAACGCACUUUAAUCUGGUACCUGUACCCGUGGAUCGUGGCGAUGGCGGAUUGGGGCUUAUUACCAAGUCGUUUAAGAAUUUUAAACUUUCAAAUUUUUUUUAAACCUUGAAUUUUUUAGUUUAUUGGUUAAGUGAUAAAAUUUGGUGGUAGUUUGAUACUGUGUUGUAUGUUGUGUUAUUUUAGCUCAUUAACUUUGUUAUGUAAUUCUUCUUUAAAUACGACGUCGUUUUUGUCCAUUAAGAGUCCAAUGACAAGUUUAUCAUUCUGACAUGAGUAAAAUUCUAACGGCGUGAUGACAAUAGUGUAGAAAUGAUAGAUUUUGUAAACAUCAGGUGGAAUUGUUAAAAAAAAAAAUGUGGUCGUGUAUUUUUUAUAAAGUCUAAAACAUCAAGUGAUUAGAGAAUAUUUGUGCUUAAGUAUUUGAUUCAAAAAAAUUUCCACUCCUAGACUAUUUAAGUUGUAACCAAAACUGAGAAUUUUUUUUUUUUUUUGCAUGAUGAAUCUCGAUAUUUAGGAUGAAUAUUUUAAUAUUUAAGCUUAAUGGUCACCCACUAUUGGUAGAAGAAUUUUUAUUCUAACACUAUACAAUUUUCGUGUGAGGUGGUCUUGGGCUUAUCUCAACCUUAAAAGUCAAAAGCUAGCUCAAUAAGUGAGAUUUUUUUCUCACACUUAUGAAAUCACCACGAGCUCCUCCCACAACCAAUGUGGGAUAAUCCCAACAAUCUCCCCUCACUCAUCGAGCCUUGGGUUGGAAGCAUAAACAUCAAUUCUCCCUAUUAGAUUGUUGGUUGAGUUGUUGGUGAACCUGAGCUUUGAUACUAAUGUUAGAUGGUCUUGGGCUUCUCUCGACUUCAAAAGCUAGCUCAAAGAGAGAGAUAUUCCCUCACAUUUAUGAGGUCAUUAUCAGCCUCUUCCACAAUCGAUGUCGGCUAACCCGACAUUUCUCUCUCUAUAUAAUACAUAAGUUGGAUAAUAAAUUUAUAUCUCAAUCUAGGUAUAAACAUUAAUUUUAUUUCUUUUUAUCAAUCAUUAUCCUAUUGGGUCUAUCGACUCACCGUACAAAAUGUUGUAAAACUUCCCCGCCGAAGAGACUUUGGUAGCUUUGAGUUUGUAAAUCAAGUUCCUAUCCGUCGUCCCUCCUAAUCCAUUCUUCGGCCAAGUACGCCUGACAUUCUUGUACCUUACAACGUCAUAUUUGGCACAAAAUUCAUGAAACUUAAACCAAACACUAAACUAUUAUUAGUUCUCAACAUUUUAUAUCAUUCGACGUUUUGUGUCAGAAUAAAUAUUUUAUCUUUGAACUUCUCAAGCACUUAUUCAUGGCUUAUUUCUCAACUCACUAUGGAUUAAUGAUGCUGAUGAAAUUGUGGAUUAACCAGACAAUAUUGUAAUUAUUACACAUACACACAAGCACACGUACAUACGUACAAAAGCAUAUAGGAGUUGACCUUGCUCAGGAUUUAAAAAAAAUGAAUAAAAUUUUCCAAUAAUUAAUUAAGAUAAAAAAGAUCAUUAAAACCCGAGUACCCCUCGCAAUUGUGUCACUUGAAUUCUCUGUAUUUAUGCACAUAUAAUAUUUUGAAUGAAUCUAUAAUGAUGUUAAUUUUUUAAUGAACUUAAUCUUAAAUUAAAAUUUUCUUUUGAAAAAAAAGAAGAAAUCUUAAAUAUUAUAAAAUAUAGAUCAGUUGGAAAACUAUUCCUAGAAAUGCAUCUUAGUUUUAUUCUUGGAAAAUGUUUCCUUUCGCACUUGCGAGGAAUUAGAAAUUGAACAAUAAUUUUUAGACUUUUCAUUGUCUUUGUGGUUAUAUGGUUGUCUUUAAUAUAAAUAUAUGAUCCCGGAGGCCAAAUGUCUAAGUCACAUGCAUUUACCUAAUACUUUUUUCUUUUUUCUUUGUUUUUCGGAUAGGGCAAUUAUUUAAUACCUUGAAGAAAGAGAGAUAAAAUAUAAUGCAUGCCAAUUUGUUGCAACAAAGCUUUCAUAUCAAGCGUUGGCAUAAAUUAUUAUGCCAAUUUGUUCAAGACAAUAUCUUUAGUUGGCAUGUAAGUUUCAUUAGCCGGCGUCUACUCUUAAUUUAUGUCAAAUUAAGUAAUCGCUCCGCCCCAAUAAUGUUGCCUUUGAUCUCUCAGCCCCAGUAAAAGAAUUGGCUAAAAGAGAAUGUUGGUCACUGUUUAAGCAAGUAUGCUUUUGGCGGUCCUUUGAGGAUCUUCAAAAUUUAGAACUAAUAACCAAUCAAAUGAAAAAUUGCAUACAAGUGUAAAAGCUUACCCCUUAAUGCAUAGGUAAUAGGAAUUCUCUUGCUCAACAUAUACACCCUUUUCUUUAUAAUCUUUUACUUUUGCUCUUAAGCUAAAGCAUUAAAAGGCCCAAUAUCCACUCUUUAUAUAUAGUAGUUUCUGGUCCGGGAUCAUAAAGUGCGGGAAAUAUUCGGAAAAAUUUUAAAAUCGUGGGGUUUUAAAUGCUUAAAACUUAAAGUGCUUAAACUGAACGGUUAAUAUGUUUUCCUGGACGUUCCCGCAUUUUAAAAUUCCGGACUGUAACAUUUCUCUCUCUCUCUCUCUCUUUAUAUAUAUAUAUAUAUAUAUAUAUAUAUAUAUAUAUAUAGGGAGAAUGCCAAUUUCCCCCCAUAUUGUAAUCAAUUUAUAUCAUUUAUGUCCUACUCUUAUAUAAUAGCCAAUAACUCCUGGAUAGCAUAAUAUAACAAUAUUAUCUUUAAUUUUAAAUACACUUUUAUUUAUAUUUAUUAUAAAUUAAAUAAAACAUGUGAAUGAAAACUAAAAUAAAUAUUAAAUAUUAAAAACAAUAAAUAUAUGUUUUGAUGUGAAUAAAAAAUUAAUAGUAAAAUAUUUUUCUUGUACUUCUUUUAUUUACAAACAUUUUCUAAUAAUACAUAUAUAAGAAAAUUAUUAUAAAAUAAUUAUAAAUUAAUAUAAAUUAAUAAUAAAAUAGUAUAAAAUUAAUAAUAAAAUAUUUUUCUUGUACUUUUGUAUUUUAUAUAUUUAUUAUAAGAAAAUGUUUAUAAAACAAAAAUACAAAAAAAUUUAUUAUUAAUUUUUUUAUUCACAUCAAGACGUAUAUUUCUUGUUUUUAAUAAAUUUUUUUUUUACCAUUCAAUAUGAUUUGUUUAAUGUAUAAUAAAUAUGAAUAAAGGUGUAUUUGAAAAUAAAAAUAAUAUUGUAGGAAACAUUUACCAUUUUCUAAGAGAAGCUUAAGAGUGAGUAAAGGCUUGUUUAAACCAGAUAUUUUGAGCCAUAUAUUUUAAAAUACCUCAAGGCACCCUCAUUGUUAAAUAUGCUAUAUUUCUACUCUUACUUUUUCUUUCCUUUUAUAAUAUUACCCUUGCAACAAUAUUCUAACCUUUUUGAGGAUAUCAAUGAAAGAAAAAAAAUUAAUUUAUCAAAAUUUGCCUUAAAAGUAACAUAAAAAAUUCCACAAAUUUUUAUGUUAUUAUUUUACUUUUAGGAUUAAUUUGGUAAAUUAAUUUUUUAUAAAAUAACUAUUAGUAAAAUUGUUGCAAAUAUAUUAAACAUUUCUUUAAGUUGGAUAAUAUUGAUUUAUUUAUAAAUAAAUUAUUGGCAAUUAGUUCUUUCAUACUGAAAUUUAUUAGUUAAUUUGCUAAUCAAUAAUUAUUGGUUAAUACGCUAAUAAACUUUUAUAGAUAAAUUAAUUAAUGUCAAGAAUAUUAUUGCAAGGUAUUAUUAUAAAAGCAAAUAGAAAGUAAGUGCAAGAAUGUAAUAUAUUUAAUUAUAAAGGUAUUUUGAGAUAUUUUUGAAAUUAUAAGAACUAAACAAGCAUUUACCAGUUGAGAGAAGAUGAAAUGGGAAAAAUUCAAGGGUUAGGAUAUAUGAUGAGUUAAGGAUUAGGUCUUGUAAAAUCUUGAUUUGGGGAGAUGAUUUUGGAGUGUUUCAACCCUAAAUUCAUUUGGGAAGACUCAUUGACGUACACAUUAAAGGUGGAAAGUGUAGAGAGAGAGAGAAGGAGAAAGUGUGUGUUUAGAGUGAGAGAUGUGUAAUUCAAGUAAACAAGUUGGAUACUUGGAUUUCUCACUAAAUAGAGUAAGAUUUCCAUCAUUCUAUCAUUAUUUAUGCUAAAUUUAAUUUAAAGAUUUGUUUAUUUUAUUUAAAUUAAUGUUUCCAACAUAUGGUAAAGUGGUACGAAGAUAAAUUUUGUAAUUUGUGGAUUACUUUAGGUGCACACAGCACCAACAAGGCAUUGUAGAGCCAAAAAGACUUAGCACUUGAUGUUUCUGGUUCGAUAUAUAAAUAGCUAAUAAUUGUGUAUUAUGUUUAUGUAGUUUAUGGUUAGUAAUGAGAUUGGUGGUAAUGUAGCUCUAUAAUUAACUAUUUAUUUCCAAAACUAAGGAACUUCAUAUCGUAUUUUCUUCCAAAACUAAGGAGCUUCAUAUCAUGUAUUUCAUUAAAAAAUAGUCUCACUCUUAGACUUUAUGAGUUGCUGUGAAAAAUAAAUGAUGAUAAAUUUUCAUACAAAUUUAUUUUUAUAAAUUGAUACGACAUUAGUUCAUUGGUUGCAUGAAAUAUAAAAGCAGGUAGCAGUUGGUCCUUUGAGGAUCAUAAAAUUUAGAACCAAUCGGUCUAAAAAUUGCAUGCAAGUGCAAAGGUCUGCUCUUGUUGCAAAGGUAAUAGAGAAUCUCUUAUUCUCUAAAAGAGUAGUAGAAGAAUAGAAAAGAAUUCUAGAUGGUGAUAUGUGGAAGCUAGAAGAGAUAAGGAAAGGUCUUUUGGCUCCUUUAUUGUUGAGUUAUAUUGCUAUGCCAUCCAUGGUAAAAUGAUUUUUCUCAUAUUGUGCUGUCUUUUCAAAAGACUACAACAUGUAUAAAGAGGAACUAAUUACCCUAUGGAUGACUUAAAGUUACCUUAGUAUAACUAAUUACCCGGCGUCGGAGGGUUUACACCGGGAAAACACUCGGCGUGCUCUGACUUGUCUCUGUGUACGCAGGAGUUUGCGGAGAAGAAGCCUUACGAGGAGAGAUCCUGAUCGUGGUCGAGUUGGUUGAGGAGAGAGCUUGGUCGUGGUCGAGCAGGGAACCAAAAUCUCGCAUCAACACAGUUUCUGUUGCAAUUGUAUUGGCCUGGGUUUAGGGAACUGUCAACUUUCAGAAGAAGAUGGAGUUUCUCAAACCAAAUCUAAGAAGAUAUCUCACAUUCCCCACAUGGUCUCAACGCACAGGUAAGUUCUUCUCUAGCUCUGUUUUUCAUUGUUUGUUAUUUUUAAUGUAACUAAGAAGCAGAGUUAAUCUCUUAUCUUGUCCUUGCUUUGAGAAAACCUGCUUUUACAUCUAUUUUUAAUUCACAUGUCCACAGUAAUUUCAUUUUAGUUUGAGCUGAGUGAUAACUGUUCAAGGCUCACUUACUCAUUGGGAGAAGCUGCAUGACGCAGGCUGCAAGGAUUUAGAUUUUCAUUCGAAGGCUCACUUACUCAUAGUGUGCAUGUUUCGUUACGAUUAAAAUGAUUAGUCUCUUGUUCUUAAGUAUACAAUUUCCAAUGGAUUUGAUAGAGCGGUCAUCAACCAUAUUGAUGUUAUUGGAGUAGCACUGUUCUUAAGCACUGCUUUGAGGUCUCUCCCUCUCUAUAUACAUUGAUAGACUAUUCUGGUCGUACCAAAUUAUCCUUGUUUUAUUGUUUUGUUUGUUAAACUUUGACUGGGGGAAUCUGUUUAUUUGUCUGAUAUGAUGUUAGUGUGGUUUCGAUUGAAGUGUGUUGAUCUAUCACCAAGUAUUAUUUCAAUUUUUCUUUACCUAAUCAACUUGCAUACUUUCCAAGUCUAGAUCCUUAACAAUAGUGAGACUCCGCUACAGAAGUACGAUUUCUCUAGUUUUGUAGUUAAAUACGUAAGAAUAGUUUUAAAUUAACAGAACUCUGAGAUAGUUCUCUGAGGAAAUACAAGUGGUGAAUAUGGUUCCAACUUUUAAGUGCCUUAAGAUUCCCAUUUGUUCAGCCCUGUGCGUAAACAAUCAGUAAUUUCUGUCCAAAUUCUUCUUUAAUGCCUAUAUGUGUUGGACUUUGUCUACUGUUCAACUUCUCAAAUGGAUUCCAUGCAGGGUUUUGAAUGUCCAAUUAGGAGAAAGAUCAAGGCUUGCUUGGCUAGGAGUGGAAGCGGAUCCACUACUUCAGUCAGAUGACCUUUUGAAGAAGGCUUACAACAGGCCGUCUCAGGAUGUCAAUGGCUCAACUCAAAAGUCCCCAAAGUGGUUGAUAUCGAAGAAUGCCGUUGUCUCUGGGCUUGGGCUCCUUGGCAUCAAACAAGGGAAUGUCGACUCUGUUGAAGGGGAAGCAAGGGCUCCUAAAGUGCGAAGAAAGAGGAUAGGCCGGAAGAAGGUGACCGCAUAAAUUUCUUGGGAGUUGAUCCUAGUCAAUAGCCCAAUUUUUUUGUCAAAACAUUGGUCCCGAUUCCAGCAAAACAGUAACUUCCAUUCAAAAGGGUUCAGCGUUGAGUGCAUGUAAUCUGCACAAGUUUGACAAAAAAUAACCGAAAAAAAAAAAAGAAACCCACGUCCAAAGAUGCCGUUGAAAAAAGUUAUUGGGUAUUCAUAAUAAAAUAAACAAAUAAAAAAAUGAAUAAAAAUUUAAAUACUUAAUUAAUUUUUAUCAAAUUCUUAUCAAAUAUUUAAAAAAGUAUAUAAAAUGAAUUAAUUGAUGGUAUUAUUAAUUUUCAUGAUGAUUUUUAAUAUUAUAUUAGUGAUUAGUAAGUUUAAUACAAUCAAUAAUGCAAGAAAUUAUUAAAUGGUUAAUUUUAUUGGCAAAUUUUAUCAAAUACGCAAGUAAUGAAAAAUUAAUCUCAAGAGUUAGUAGAAGUAAAGUUCUAAUUUAACCAGAUGAUAGAUAAUAAAUACAAAUAAAUUUUAAGUAAAUCAUAAAUUAAAAAUAAAUAAAUUAAUUAAUAUUAAGUAUAAAUAAAAAAUAAUGACAUAAAUUAAAGUCUCAUAAAUGGAUAACUUUUUUUCUUUAAUCUUAUCCUAAGUCCCAACUAAAGGAAUGUGUAAAUUAGGAUUAUUAAUCCCAUAAUUUUAGGAUUAAACUUAAAUUUAGUCCCUUAGUCCAAUUCAAUUAAGCUUACCAAAUAUGAUAUAAAUAUAUAAUCACAAAAUUAGUCCAAUUCCAUACUUAAUCCUAGUAUUCGAACAUGGCCGGAUAAAAUAGUUUAGAUAAUAUACUUCUAUGGCUCACAAUUUAAAUAAAUUUGAGAAUUUAAAUAAGGGAUGGAAAAUUCACAAUAAUCAUACCAUGUACUGUCUUUUCUUCCUUUUCUUAAUUAAAUAAAAGAAAAAAAAUUAAUGACAGAACCACUGCUGUGUGAUAUCGAUGAAGUCGCAUUCGCCUACCUAAUAUUGCGCAAUCAGAUAGAAAAAAGGGUCGGCUGCAUGAUUUUUCCAACUUUUGUCUUAUUUUUCUCUUUUCCACUACAAAUUAAUUUGAGAAUGUUAUAUUUUCCAAUUCUCUUUUUGUCGUGACAUAAUAGACUAAAGCGGAAUCACAUACUUUUUCAAAUGACCAAAUGGCUUUGGCCUACCUGAUAAUAAAAGGAAUGGAUCCAUACGUUAAAGCUAAAUUGAAAAAUAUAAUAAAUAAAUUGUCAGGAGAUGAUUUUAUCAAAAAUUUCACUCGCACGGUCCCGACCAAAUACAAAUUUGUGAUGAUAUUCAUAAUGAAUUUAUACCAUUAGGCGAAAUUACUCUAUAUAGUUUCAUCGAUAUAUAUUAUACCAUUACAAAUAUACUAAUAUUUAUAAUAAAAAAAAUUUAUGACUAUUUUAAAUCGACUGUAUUAUAUGUGAAUUCACAAGAUUCAUAGAUAGAUUGCACUGAGCUUUUUGUUGCAGUUUACAAAUAUUUUGUUACUAAUUAUCUUAAGAGCAGCAAGUAACUAAAUACAAAUGUAAGAAAUUUCACAAGUGCUGAUGCUGUGUACUCUGCAGAAUUAAUAAUGGAUUAUUAUGAAUCAGAGAAACAGGGCAGACGCUGUACAAUUAUUGACGUGGUGGAGCAGAAAGCUAGCCCCACAUGGUGACUCCUUUAAUUUGCAGCACAAAAGAACGUUCACAUUGACAUUGACUCGAGGGUAAAAAGAAUGCAAACAUGCUUGAAUGAACAUUCUCACAGAAUACAUAAAAGCAAGAAAAGCAAUUGCAGCAUUUUCCAUUUGAUCUAAUAUCAGAAUGGCUCUUGCGAUCGUUUGCGCUCUCUUGGACCAGCUGAAUUCCAUUGCUCAAGAAAAGUGGAGGCUUUUGACGGGUGUCGAACAAGAAGUGGGAAAGCUUACUACCAAUCUUCAAGCCAUUCAAGCUGUGCUGGAAGAUGCAGAGCAGAGGCAAAUGAAGCAGGACAGAGCUGUUACUCUUUGGCUGGAUCAGCUCAGAGACGCAUCCUACGACAUGGAAGAUGUGUUGGAUAAGUGGAUCACUGAAACACGGAAAUCGCAGCUUGAUGAGGGCGGCGAUGAUGAAGAUGAUGAUAACGACAAUGCUUUUGUUACUCUUUUGACGAAGGUAUGUUCCUUCUUUCCUGCUGCCUCAAACUGCUUUGGUUGUUUCAAACAACUCAGUCUUCGUCAUCAUAUUACUGUCAAGAUUAGAGAAAUCAGUAAAAGGCUAGAUGAUAUUGCCAGACAAAAAGAUAGUUUCAAAUUUGUUGAGAAUGUGAGUAACAAUGUUAAGAAACCAGAGCGAGUGCGAACCACCUCCUUGAUUGAUAAGGGAGAGGUUUUUGGUAGAGUUGAUGAGAAAAAUGAGCUCUUAAGCAAGUUGUUGUGUGACAGUAGUGAACAACACCCUCAUAUCAUCUCAUUGGUUGGGUUCGGGGGUAUAGGCAAAACCACUCUUGCACAACUAGCCUAUAAUGAUGAUGAGGUGAAAAUAAAUUUUGAAAAAGUUAUAUGGGCGUGUGUAUCAGACACUUUUGAGGAGAUUAGGGUCGCCAAAGCAAUCAUUGAAGGUCUAGGCGAGUCAAAAAAAGCUUCUGGUUUAAGCGAAUUCCAAUCUCUUAUGAGCCAUAUCCAUAGAUCAAUUGGGGGAAAAAAAUUUUUUCUUGUCUUAGAUGAUGUAUGGGAUGGGGAUUCCAAUAAAUGGGAUCCAUUCUUCUUUUGUCUAAAGAAUGGUCUCCACGGAAGUAAAAUUUUGGUUACCACACGUAAUGAGUCAAUUGCACGUAUGAUGGGAACAACAGAGUCAGAUACUAUCUCCAUUGAACAACUGGCUGAAGAGGAAUGCUGGUUGUUUUCCAAGCAGUUAGCAUUUUUCGGUCGCUGUUUCGAGGAUUGUGAAAGAUUAGAACCAAUCGGGCGAAAAAUUGCACGCAAGUGCAAAGGCCUGCCUCUUGCUGCAAAGGUAAUAGGGAAUCUCUUGCGCUCUAAAAUUACAGUAAAAGAGUGGCAAAGAAUGUUAGAUAGUGAAAUGUGGAAAUUAGAAGAGAUUGGGCAAGGUCUUUUGGCUCCUUUGUUGUUGAGUUAUAACGAUUUGCCCUCCAAUUCGAUGGUAAAACGGUGUUUCUCAUAUUGUGUUGUCUUUCCAAAUGACUACAGUAUGAAUAAAGAAGAAUUGAUUAGUCUGUGGAUGGCUCAAGGCUACUUUAACGCAGAAGAAGACGAAGAAAUGGAGAUGAUUGGAGAAGAGUAUUUCAACAUAUUAGCAGCACGCUCUUUCUUUCAAGAGUUUAAAAAAGAUUAUUUCAAUGGUGAUUUUAUGUGGUGUAAGAUGCAUGACAUAGUACAUGAUUUUGCCCAAUUUAUAAGUAGAAAAGUAUGUCUGUGGCUAGAAAUUGAUGGUACCAAAGAAUCAGUCAUAAACUCUUUUGGUGACAAAGUCCGUCACUUAGGGUUAAAUUUUCAAGGAGGAGCUUCAUUUCCUAUGUCCAUUCAUGGACUUAAUAGAUUGCGUACCCUCUUAAUUUAUGAUAGAAGUCAUUUCAUUCCAUCUCUUAGUAGUAGCAUCCUUUCGGAGUUAUUUAAUAAAUUGGUGUGUUUAAGGGCAUUAGUUAUAAGGCAAUUUAACCUUUAAGUUUGCAUCCUGUGCCAGAUAGGAUUAGAGAAAUUCCAGAAAAUGUUGGAAAAUUGAUACAUUUAAAAUAUCUUAAUUUGAAUGGACUAUGUAUAAAGAGACUACCUGAGACUUUGUGUGAAUUAUAUAAUUUACAAAAGCUAGAUAUUAGGUGGUGCCGAAAUCUUAGAGAAUUGCCUGCGGGGAUUGGGAAGUUAAUGAACAUGAGGAGUUUACUGAAUUACGACACUCGUUCGUUGAAAUACAUGCCAAUAGGGAUUUCCAGAUUGACCAGCCUUCGAACAUUAGAAAAGUUUGUUGUGGGUGGAGGUGUUGAUGGCGGCAGCACGUGUAGGCUUGAAUCUUUGAAAAAUCUUCAACUCCUUCGUGAAUGUCGAGUAGAAGGGCUGAGUAAUGUAUCGCAUGUAGAUGAGGCUGAGAGGUUACAACUUUACAAUAAGAAAAACCUCCUUCGUUUGAAUCUCAAGUUUGGUAUAGCCGUAGAUGGGGAAGGCGAAGAAGGGAGGAGGAAGAAUGAGAAAGAUAAACAACUUCUUGAAGCCUUACAACCGCCUUUGAAUGUAGAGGAAUUACGGAUUUUGUCCUACGGAGGCAACAUGUUUCCCAAAUGGUUGACUUUGCUAACCAAUCGAAGGGAACUAAGGAUUGAUUUUUGUGAAAAUUUGCAAGAACUGCCAAUUCUAGAAGAUUGCAGGACAACAGACAUACCGCAUCUUUCUUUCUUGAUUAUUCAGAAUUGCCCCAAAUUAAAGGUGCUGCCGGAUUACCUUCUUCGGACGACGACGCUGCAGAAAUUGACAAUUUGGCGAUGUCCCCUUUUGGAAAACCGUUAUAGAGAGGGGAAAGGAGUAGACUGGCAUAAGAUAUCUCACAUUCCCCACAUCAAGUUGUCGCUGUGGAUGCCGUAAGAUAUCACUGGACGGUAAUUUCUCCUCCUCUGAUAUACUUCGUUGUUGCUUGCAAUGAAAUUAAUAAAAAUAAUUAUAUUUUGAAUUAAAAUUCUAUAUAGAAUCAAUCUUGGUAUAAAUAUGUAAAACUUCCUAGUUAUCAAAUCUGUUAGACUUGUUUUCUAUAUUUAUUUACUUUAAAAAAAUAUGUGCUCUUUUGUAAAAUUUGAUACAACAUCAUAGAAAAUCCCAAUGUAAUUUAUUUUUUAAUGUACGAAAAUUUGUUAUGUGUGACGUCCUGAGUGACAAAAUCUCCUUGAUACAUUUGCAGUAAUGUCGAAAACUAAAUUAUCAAUUUUAUCUUGUAUAAUGAUAAUCUUAUUUUUUUAUAUAUAAUUUACGUGACAUUAAUUCUUUAAAGUAAUUGUGUAAUUGUUUUUACUACAUUAGCCCACUUUGUUUUUUUUCAUACUUGUUUAAUUAUGUUCACCAGGGAUUCGAGGAAAUGUCAGAACUACACUAGCAAUUCACAGGUCCAAGCUAAUUUGGUUUUAAUGAUGCAGGCAGGAGAGCAAGACUAUGAAAAUGAAAAGUUUAGCCAAAGGAUUGCUAAAAUGUUCUGCUGGUAAUUCCCUUGCUUUAUUUUAUAGAAUUUCAUUUCUAUCUUCUUCUAUUGAUAUCUUGUUGUGAAUAAACAAGAACAGAGAGUAAAUGAUUGAACCACAGAGAAGUAAAGUAAUAUCAAAAUUCGCUAUUAUGAUGAUUUUAAAGCAAGCUCAAGCUCAAGCUUGCAUUUUUAUUUUAUUUUAUUUAUAGAACUUCCAUUUCCACCUGCAUUUCAUUUUUAUUAGACUCUAUGGAGCACAUUGGGGUAACCAAGGAUUAUCACUGUCGUUAUUGUGCAACGUUGGGUUGCUGGACUUUGAAGAAGGAAGCGAUGGCCGGGUCUGCUCUGUUUCAAUUGAGGAUGGAUAGCUGCCUGAAAGACAUGAUGAUUAUUAUUGCAUGAUGUUAAGGUGCUGAGAUCAUCAUUUCUAUCUUGUUUCAUUCUUGGAAUCGUUUAUCAUAUGCGUCAAUGGAGGCAGGUAUUUGGUGUUGACACUAUUAUGCAGGUAACCACACUUGAUAAUUUGCACAAAUUUGCGUUGUCAGAAUACCCUUUAAUAUUCAUUGUGUUUCUUUGUGUUAUCAGGUUAUCAUCUCCAAGGGUUUGAAAGAGCCUUUGCAGUUGUCAGAAUACCCUUUAAUAUUCAAUUAGGUACGUUUUGGUGCGGUCUCCCAAUGCUAAUAUCAUAUUUUGUAUAGCAAUUAAAAUUUAGCUAUACAAUUUUAAUAUGCAAUAAAUCAUUGUAUACAAAGUUUUUUAUUAAUUAUAUGGUGACUGAAAUUUUAAUUAUCAUAUCAAUUUAAAUUUUUUUGUAACUCUCUUUUACUUUGCUUGUACAGAGUACCUGUUUUGGCUGAUAUGUCUAAUUCGUAGAAAUUUAUUUCCAUCGGUUUCCAUUGGCUUUAGCACAAACAGAAACAGAGCUCUGGGGAAAAGUUUGACUUCUUGUGGUAUUAUGCCUUUGUUUCUUCAUUCAUCAUAUUUUUCGAAUUCAUGCUCUCAUUCAGAGGGUAAAGCCUUUUCAUGGCUGCUUUGUAGCCAAACUUUGACGCCAUUGAUGCAUGACUGUCAUUUAGAUUUUCCAAUAACGGUUAGAUUGGAGAAGAAUAAGAAGAUAUUGUUAAAAGGGUAUUUAAUUAGCGCCGUCUGAAUUUAGUUGCCAAUAAUGCAUUGAAAUAGUUGGGGAAAGUUAUUGUCUUAAUUAAAUUACAGGUGAUAAGAUGCUGCCUCAAUUUUGUAAGCAUCUCGUAUUGAGAAGAUUAAUUGUUGACAAGCCAAAUUUUAGGCAAAUUUUACCGUGAUUCUUGACAUCAUGGUAACACAGGUCAAAUUUUAGUAUCAAGACAUAUCUUCUUCUUUACUGUUCUGCCUCUAAAUAUUAAACUUUAGGCAAGUUGUUUUUGUUUGUGUAAGUUAUCAGGUUAAGGAUACCAAGCAGCUUAAUUGUUCACCACACCUGGUAGGAAUGAUCGCCAGGAAGAUUAAUUGUUGACAAGCCAAUUUUAUCAGUGUUAGAUUUUUUGCCUCCCUUUGAGAGAUAUCAUCAUCAAAUUUGUGUAGAGAAUCUUUGAAGAGAAUUUUGUUGUGAGAGUUUCACUGUAGUGAAUUUUGGGAGCUUGAACUCACUUGAGUGAGAUAAUAGAGUGUAUUGGGGAUUUGGGUUAUGAGUAAUCGUUAUCCUUCCAAUAUUUGCAAGCUCUUACUUGUUAGUAAAAUCAUCUUCGUAUAUUGACUCUGUUUCUUUGUUCCUUAUUUAAUUAGUUUCGAUUAUCAUAAUUAGUCACUCAUUCUGAAUUUUUCUAAUUUUAAAGUUCCUUAGGUCCGCCACCAGUUUUUCAAGUCUGCAUAUGGCUGCAAAAGAUCGAUGGUCAUAAAAUUAUCUUGAGCCUUGAGGCAUUGCGUUCGAGCUCACACUGUAACAGAGAUAAAGAUAAAGAAGACAGUAGAAGAUGCUCUAAACAUAACAAAAGUAUAUUUCUACGUCUUGUGGUUGCUUUAAUUUACUUUUGUUUCUUCUGUCAUCAUAUUUGAUUAAUUCGUUCGAAUUCACACUCUCACAUUAUUUAAAACUAUUUGUAGGUGGCUUGCAAGCUAGUUACGUUAAUGCAAAAACAAUACUCUAGACAAAGAUGAGCAAAUUAAAGGUGAUAAAUGCAAAUUGAAUGUCCAUGAAUAAUUGUUAGGCCGGUGCUGAUAAAUUGCUUCAAAGCAAGCAGCAUCUUCUGCUGCGAAGGCUUUCCCCACAUGAUAUGUUGUGAUUGUUACCGGCCCCGUAUUUAUUAACUCAGGUCAGUAUUAUCUUCUUCAUCAUUUUGGCUAUAUAUAAAGAUUAAAAUUUUGAACACUUGUCUCGGUUUCUUGUGUAAUCAGGCUAAUAGAGCAAAUGUUUACUGUCUAAGCACUAAUGCGACAAUCCCAUCUGUAAAUUUGGGCCAUCUUUGAUGUCUGACAGGUAAGCUGUGACAAUCCCAUCUGUAAGUACUAAUGCGCUUGGUUAUAGUGCUUUCAUUGGACUAUAUGCAAACAUGAGAUAUCAACUAUUGUGUGGAUUUGAUAGAGCGGUCACCAACCAUUUUGAUGUUAUUGGAGUAGCACUGUUCUUAAGCACGGCUUUGAGGUCUCUCCGUCUCUCUUUUACGUAUUUGUCUAUUGAUCGACAUCUCUAUAUAUACAUUGAUAGACCAAAUUACUCUUGCUUUAAUGUUAAUGUGGUUCCUAUAAAAGUGUAUAUAAAUCUAUCACCUCAAAGUCUGAUUUCAAUUUUCCUUUACUUAAUCAACUAGCAUCCUUUCCAAGUCCAGAUACUUACCAAUAGUGAGACUUUGCUACGGAAGUACAAUUUCUCUUGUUUUAUAGUUAAGUAUGUAAGAAUAGUUUCAAAUUUACAAAUUUCUGAUAUAGUUCUCUACGGAAAUGCGAGUGGUGAAUAUGGUUCCAACUUUUAAUAGGCUUAAUUGGCCCAUUUGUUCAGCCACAGUGAUUGCGGUCUGAAUUCUUCUUUACUGUCUCUAUGUGUUGGAGUUUGUCUAUUGUCCAACUUCUCCAAUGGAUUCCAUGCAGGGUUUUGAAUGUCUAAUUAGGAGAAAUCAACGGAUGACCUUUUGAAGAAGGCUUACACAACAGGCCAUCUCAGGAUGUCAUGGCUCAGCUCAAAAGUCCCCAGGUGGUUGAUACCAAAGAGUGCCAUUGUUUCUGGGCUUGGGCUCCUUGGCGUCAAACAAGAUAAUGGGAAAUAGGGGCAACUAAAGCGCGAAGAAAGAGGAUGGUCUGGAGGAAGGUGUCUGCAUAAAUUUGUUGGAGUUGAUGUAGUCAAUUGCCCAAUUUUGCUGCCUGUCGAAGAGACACAGCAUGGAAGUCCUCAUCAAACUCUGAGACACCUAAGAAAUAGUAUGAGGUGGUGGUAUUCCCCUGGUGUUAAUUUCCUGGCAAGUGUGGUUCACAGAUAGAGGGAUUCUUUUCUUGAUGUCUAAAUACCAAAUGUGAUGCAACGUCGUAUAUUCUAAGAUAUUAAAUUCUAUUUCAGAUUUCUCAUAUAGUGUCGUUGUCACUUCUGUGGUACACUUUUGAUCGCAAAUUUCCAUUUGAAGUAGCCGAUAUUCUUUACAGACUAAUUAUCUAAUGAUUAUUUUGUACAAAAAAAAUCAAAACUUUAAUUAUUUGAUCAUACUCAACUUAGGUCUUAUUCGAUAUUACUAGUUGUUAAUGUGUAAUAAAUGUAUGACUUUUAAAUAAUAAUUUUAAUAAAAAUAAUAAAGAUAUUAUAAGUUUUUUUUUAUAAUAAAGUAUGAGAUCAAAUCAAAUUAAUUUUGAAGUCACAAUAGCAAAUGUUUACCAAAACUAUUUAAUUAUAUGACUUAAAAGAUAUAGUUGUCCAAUCCCAACAAUAUAUAUAAAGAUUUACCAAACUUUACCCGACUUUAGUUGUACCCACUUGAUUAUGUAAGUCCAUUCUCCACGCGCUUGACCAUAUGAGAUGUUACUCAACUUUAACAAAUCUUACUUAAACUUUGCACGUUUGACAUGUUGGAUGAAAUAUAGCAUAUGAUGUGAUAGAAUACAAUAGGAAUGGUUGUAACAAGAUUAUAAUUAGUACUAGUUUGUAUUUUAUGUGAUGUAGAACGCAUUAUAUUACAACUUUUAGUGUUAUACUAAUUAAAAAUUUGAAUUAUUUUAUUAUUGUAAAAAUUUAAUAUCUUAAAUAACAGUUAUUUUAAUUAAGUAUUUUUGUUGCAAUGAAUUAUACUUUUUUAAAUAUAAUUGAAAAUUCUUAUUACUAAACUAAUAAAAAAUUAAUUAUUUGAGUUAUCUCCUAAACUACUUAGCUUACGAGAUAAAUUCACUUUGUUUAGAAUGAAACGGAUUACAUUUAGUACUAUUUUGUAUUUUAUGUGACGUAGUGUAUGAUUCAAUUAUAUUACAAAUUUUAUUGUAAUAAAAAAAUUUUGAAUUAUUUUAUUAUUGUAAAAAUACAAUAUCUUAAAUAACAAUUAUUUUUAUUAAGUAUUUUUUAAUGAUUUAAAAUAUAAUUGUAAAUUCUUAUUAUUAAACUAAUAAAAAAUUAAUUAUUUGAGUCAUCUCCUAAACUACUUAUUUCACGAGAUAAUUUCACUUAGUUUAGGAUGAAACGGUGGGUUAUUUUUAUGUGGGAGCCACAUCCUUUCCAUAUGAGAUGUUACUCAACUUUAACAAAACUUACUCAAACUUUGCACGUUUGGCAUGCCGGAUGGAAUAUGAUAGUAUAUGAUGUGAUAGAAUAUUAUAUGAUUAGAUGUAAUAGGAUUAUAUUUGGUCUUGUUUUAUAUUUUAUGUGAUCUAGUAUAUGAAUGGAUUAUAUUACAAAUUUUAUUGUUAUAAUAAUUAAAAUUUUGAAUUAUUUUAUUAUUGAAAAAAUAAAUAACAGUUAUUUUGAUUAAGUUUUUUUUUUCUGUUGAAUUAUAGUUUUAAAAUAUAAUCCAAAAUUUUUAUUACUAAACUAAUAAAAAAUUAAUUAUUUGAGUUAUGUCCUAAACCAACUUAGCUCACGAGAUAAAUUCACUUAUUUUAGAACGAAACGGCGGGUUUUAUGUGGGAAGCCACAUCCUUUCCAUAUCAACCUCAACAUCCAAACAUGAAAUUGGACUAAGAAUAGUUCUUUCCCAUGUAUUUACGUACCCUCCUGCCACUAAACGUAAUUGUAUAUUUUGGACCUUAUUUGACUUGAUUUUAUUAACUUAAUUUUCUCCAAUUUCCAUUGUCGACGUUGAGUGCAUGUAAUUAAUCCACAAGUUUUGAUUGAGCAGAAAUAGCCAAAAAAAACUGAUGAUAUGAUAAUAGCAAAAAAUCUAAUGACACCCACGUCCAAAGAUGCCGUUGUCACAAAGGCCUGGACGCCAUACCUCGAACCCAUCCCCUUUUACCAUGAGUGAUGAUACAGCCACAAACUCUUAUACAAACUUAUUUUAUACAAACUAAUGUGACAUCAAUUCAAUGGUUGAAUGAAAAUAUAAAAUAAUGAAAGUAAAUCAUGUGGGCCAAGAGAUAUUUAAUUUAACCAAUAAAUUGACGCCACAUAAGUUUGUACAAAAUAAAUUUGUAUAAGAGUUUGUGGCUGUAUUACUGUAUUAUUACUCUUUUACCAUAUUUUAUAAUUAAAGAGGUCAUUGUUUGAAAGAAAAGAAUGACAUGUUGGUAUGAAAUUACGUUAAAAUGAAUAUAUCACUUUUUUUUUUGUGUGAGUGAUGGCUUCGUUUAAUGACAAUUGGCAGACAAUGAAUCAUCUUUUAAUUUUAGUUUUGAUUUAAUAAAAAAUAUUAAUUUUUGUAGUUUCGGUAGAUGAAAUUUCGAAUCAAAUAUUAAUAUCGUUAAAGUACGCAACUCAAUAUUUACUUAAAUCAGAAAAAAGAUUAAUUGCUUUACAUGAAAAAGAAAAGAAAAGAAAAGAGUGAUCACUUGAUUUAACUUCCUUUACUAAAUUUACGAUUUAAAAUCUAAAAUGGAAAAAGGAAAACAAGUUUUGGAAACACACUCGGAGUUUUAAAUUGAUAUGAAAAAAGAGUUUAUUAUUGACAAUCUUUUUCCCAAAAUUUAAGCUAAGACAACAAUAUGUCCAAAAUACCCUCCACAUUAUCCCAAAACUUUAUAAACUCCCCCGUUCCUCUCAACAUCAUCUCUUCCAAAUCUUUCUUCCCCCCAAAAACCAGCCAUGGCUUCAUAUUCAAUUACCUCAACACUCCAAUAUUGGCUUGUAAACCACCCCCAAAUCCUCAACUUCACAUGGACUCCGAACCAAACACUAGCUUCCUCCCCACACUUCCUCAUUCUCUCCAUCCUCACUUACCUCUCCCUCACAUUCAUCCUCUACCACGCAUCAACAUCAACAUCACCACCUCUCAUUGGACCCCACAUCCUCAAGCCCAUCACAGCCGUCCAUAACCUCACCCUCUUCGUCCUCUCCCUCAUCAUGGCCGUUGGUUGCACUCUCUCCAUCAUCCUCCAUUUACCCUACCUCCGUUACACCCUUUGUUUCCCCACUACCAUUUCUCCGUCUGGCCCUCUCUUCUUCUACGCUUACAUCUUCUACCUCUCCAAAAUACUCGAAUUCUUUGACACCCUUUUGAUCAUUUUAUCAAACUCCAUCCAACGGCUCACGUUCCUCCACGUCUACCACCAUCAACCGUCGUUGUAAUGUGCUUCCUUUGGUUACAGACGAAGCAGUCUUUGUUUCCUAUUGCAAUUGUCACCAAUGCAAGUGUGCAUGUGAUCAUGUACGGGUACUAUCUAUUGUGUGUGAUGGGGUUGCGGCCAAAGUGGAAGAGAUUGGUCACUGAUUGUCAGAUUCUUCAGUUUGUGUUUGGUUUUGCUGUUUCGGUUUUGAUGCUGUAUUAUCAUUUCACGGGUUUUGGUUGCUCUGGGAUUUGGGGAUGGUGCUUCAACGUUGUGUUUAAUGCGUCCCUUUUGGCACUUUUUGUUAAUUUUUAUUCCAAGAGCUAUGCUAAGAAAAAGAAGCAGGGAUGAUCAAAGUGCUAUGAUUGUUUUGUGUUUUCUUUUUUAAUUUAUUUGAUUUUGGUUAAUUAUGAAUGGUGGUAAUUGGUUGAAUGCAAUUGAAGAGAUGCUUUCAGUUGCCUAAACUUUGUUUUUUCAAUUUUUGUUAUAGAUGUCAUAUGUCACCACAUUUUUUUAGUCUCUCCCUUUAAAAUUCCCUCACACAAACUUCGGAUUUGUAUUUUGUAAACUAGAAUUUUUCAUUUUCGUUAAUGUGUUAGCUGUUAUUAUCUACAAUUAUGUCAUACGACACACAUGUCACAUCAACUAAAAUUAGAUUAUGAAUUUUGGGCACAGGGCCAAGUCCCACCGUUUGGUAGGAAAUAAGUGUUGGAUCAUAAACUUGAUCCAAGAUAAAUAAAUUCAACCUUAACUCAUGGAAGGUUCCAUGAGUAGGUAUGGUUAGUGAGGUUUGAAUUAUUUGUGUUAGGUGUGGUAGGUGUGGUUGGUGAAGUAGGUGAGUGGUAGGUUUUAAUGGAUGGUGAGUAUUUGUGUAUUAGUUGAAUAAAUGAAUGGUUGUGAUUAGUUUGUUUCAUGGAUAAAUACCCCCUCUCCCCUUUGGUUUAAAUAUCAAGUGAAAUAACAAAAUCUCUAAGGUGUAGAGAGUGAAAAAUAAGAGUUGUAAUUAGUGAGGAGUGUUGUUGAAGAAAUAAAAUAGUGUGUUUUAUUUGUUAACUCUCCAACAAAGUGGUAUCAAAGCUAGUGCUUGAUGCUAUAUAUUGUCAUAUAGCAUAUCAAAUCGAAGAUCUCGAUGAGAGGAACGUGACGCCGCAAAAAUCAUCCUGACCAAAGACCAGACGCGCCCAAGCUCGCCGUCAGAAUUUUUCUGUCCUGAAGCUGAGUCGACUCACCGAGUUGAACCAACCUGAGUCGAGCCGAACUGAACCGAAUCAAGUCGAACCAAGCCAACUGGAGUUGAACCAAUCCGGACCGAACCAAGACUACUAAGCCAACGCUGACCGUUGACUGAAAGUUGACUCAAGUUCUUCCCAAGGCUUUUCGACGUGCCGGAUCCAUCUGUGCUUUCAGAAUCUCCAAAUUCUCACUCAAUUUGUGAGUUAUGGAAAACGGUGGUCUGAUGUCAUUUCAAGUUCCACAAUUAAAGAGAAGUAAGUUUGACAAUUGGAGUAUUAAAAUGAAGGCUCUAUUGGGUGCACAUGACGUAUGAGAUAUCAUGGAAAAAAAGCUUUAUUGAGCCAGAAAAUGAAGCCACUUUAACUGCGGCAUAGAAUGAGAAUUUAAAAGACUUGAAGAAGAAAGAGAAUAAAGCAAAGUAUCUCAUCUUUCAAUCAUUAGAUGAAGAUGCCUUUGAAAAGAUUGCUGGUAAAACGUGAGAAACUAGAGACCUCUUACAAAGGAGCGAAGAAAGUUAAGAAGGUUCAUCUCCAAAUAUUCCGAGGAGAAUUUGAGUCCUUACACAUGAAGGCGUCGGAGUCAAUUUCUGAAUACUUUACUUGGGUUGUGACCAUUUCUAAUGAAUUAAAAAGAAAUGGCGAGGAGUUAAAAGAGGUAAGGAUCAUUGAAAAAAUACUUCGAUUAGUAUACUCGAAGUUUGACCAUAUUAUUGUGACAAUUGAGGAAACAAGAGAUCUAGAGGAUAUGACGAUCGAGCAACUUUAAGAAAGGUUGCAAGUCUAUGAAGAAAAACAAAAAAAGAAGCAAGGAAUCGAAGAACAACUUCUCAAGAUGGAGGUCAAUCCAAAGAAAAGAAAAGAAAGCUCCGACAACGGAAGAAGGCAUAUUUAUCUCCCAAGAAAGCUAUACAAAGGAGAUUCUAAAAAAGUUCAAGAUGAAUGAUUGCAAGCCUAUAAGCACGCCAGUGGAAUGUAGAGUCAAGUUAUCUAAACAUGAUGAAGGGGAAGAUAUAGAUCCAACAUUCUUUAAAAGUUUAGUCGGAAGCCUACGUUAUUUGACAUGCACCAGACCAGAUAUCCUUUAUGUUGUUGGACUUGUGAGCCGAUACAUGAAGAAUCCAAAGACCACCCAUUUUAAAGCUGCAAAAAGAAUCCUUUGCUACAUCAAAGGUACAACUAAUUUUAGCUUGUUAUACUCAUUUUCUAAUGACUCCAAGCUUGUUGGAUAUAGCGAUAGCGAUUGGGGUGGAGAUGUAGAUGAUCGAAAGAGCACCACAGGAUUUGUGUUCUUCAUGGGAGAUACUGCUUUCACAUGGAUGUCAAAGAAGAAAACAAUUGUCCUGCUAUGCACCUAUGAAGCUGAAUAUGUAGCUGCCACAUCAAGUGUUGAUAAUAAUUUGGCUCAGAAAUUUGUUGAAGGAAUUAGGUUUGCCACAAAAAGAGCCAACCGAGAUUUGUGUUGAUAACAAAUCAGCAAUUGCCCUAUCCAAGAAUCCAAUCUUUCAUGAUUGAAGCAAACACAUAGACACUUGCUAUCAUUUCAUAAGAGAAUUUAUUACAAGAAAAGAAGUGCAAGUCAAGUAUGUAAAAUCACAAGAUCAAGCAGCUGAUAUCUUCACUAAGCCACUCAAGCAAGAAGACUUCGUAAAAUUCAGAAGUUUGCCUGGUGUCACAGGAUCAAGUUUAAGGGGGGGUGUUGGAUCAUAAACUUGAUCCAAGAUGAAUAAAUUCAAGCCCAACUCAUGGAAGGUUCUAUGAAUAUGUAUGGUUGGUGAGGUUUGAAUUAUUUGUGUUAGGUGUAGUAGGUGUGGUUAGUGAAGUAGGUGAGUGGUAGGUUUUAAUAGAUGGUGAGUAUUUGUGUAUUAGUUGAAUAAAUGAAUGGUUGUGAUUAUUUUUGUUUCAUGUAUAAAUCUCUAAGCUGUAGAGAGUGAAAAAUAAGAGUUGUAAUUAGUGAGGAGUAUUGUUGAAGAAAUAAAAUAAUGUGAUUUUUGUGUGUUUUAUUUGUUAAUUCUCCAACAAUAAGGAGCAUUAAUGAAAUAUGUUUAAUUAAGUAAUAAUUUGUUAUUUUAGAGUGAAAAAUAAGGGUAAAUUGUAUUCUACCCCAUAUUAGAUUGACAAACUUCAAUUUACCCCUUAAAAGUACAAAAACUUCAACUUAUCUCCAAAUACCAUUUUCUUCCCGUUAAAUUUAACUAUCGAAAGUAUAAAAUUAUAGUCUUACAUUCUCUCAACAGUCAACUCAUGGAUAAGAAGUCAAAACAUAUAUAUAAGGUAAUUUCCAUAAAACCCAAUGUAGGGGCGGGCAAUUGUUUGGUUUAGAAGUUAGGAACCGAAUGGUUUGAAAACAAAUGAACUGAUUGGUUUAUAUUUGGUUUACUUUGAACUGACAAACCGAUUGGUUCGCUUAAACUUAAUUAAAAAUACAUUUAUUUUAAAAUAUAAAUGCUUAAAAUAAUUUUUUUUUUCAUUUUUCAGUUUCCUAAUCUAAAAAUGUUUCAUAACCCUAAAUCAGCCGCCAUCUCUCUCAAGGUCGACGGCGGCACAACAAGCUCUCUCGGUCUCUCCCUCGCAAUCUCAUGGUGAUUGAUUUCUCGUGAUGUCUCCACUUUUGUUUCUUGUUCUUGUGUGAUCGAAUUCUCUCUAUACACACAUAGCCUAGCCUCUUGUUUUUUGGCUCAAUGGAGUUUCGUUUCUUUUCUCUCAGUUUCUUUCCUGUUGAAUUCUCGUGAUGUUUCUAUUUUUUUCUUUUUUUUUAGACAUGUUUUCGAAAUUGGCAUAAUACGAACCAAACCUGAACUGAAUUUCAAAAUCAAAUCGAAUUGAACCAAACUGAAAUUUUUAUGUUCGGUUUGGUUCGAUUAAAAAAUUUGGUAUGCGUUCGGUUCUCUUUCUUACGAACCAUUGGGUUUUAGUUCGGUUCGGUUUUGGUCUAGAAAAGAACUAACUAGAACCGAACCAAACCAAACCAAACCAAACCAUUUACUGGCCACCUUGCUCAUAUGUUUCAACAAAUUUCAAUGCACACUUAAACAUUUCAAUAAAAUUCGCUUUGUACCCAAAUUGAUAAUUUUUACUUUUUAAUUAGUUAAUUGUUAACUGCAGAAGUAUAAAAAAUUAUUUCUUUUUAAAAUAAGAAAAAUAAUUUUUUUCUAACUUUUUUCCUUUUUUAUUUUCUAGUUAAUUUCUUUAUCUGGUUCGGUUCAUUUUUCCCUUUUUUAUUUCUUACUGUUUUCCGCAUGUUCUCCACGCUUGAACUUUGCCAAGCAUCAUAAGGCCACAGUAGCCAUGCCAGCAACUUGCAACUAGGGGUGGGCAAAAAAACCGUAGUCUUAAAAAAACCGAACCGAACCGACGGUUUUUUCUAAUUCGGUUCGGUUUUUAUUUUUUUAAAAAACCGAAUAUACCGUUUGUAAAAAAAACCGAAAUGUCGGUUCGGUAUUCGGUUCACUUAGCUGAACCGAAAAACCGAACCGAAAAACCGAAUUAUUUUUUGAUUUUAUUCAAAUCAAACAUGUGUUAAUAAUUUUAUUCAAAUCAAACAUGUGUUAUUUCUCUUUAUAACAUUAUGAUUAUGUUUAUAUAGAUGGAGUAUUGGAGUUUGGUUAUAUAUUUUGAAAUUUUAAUAUUUCAUAUAUUUGGGAGUAUCUUAUUAAUAGUUAGUAAGAUAUUAGUGAUAAAAUGUGUUUUGAAUACUUUGUAUUUAUUGUUAAUAUUUGUAAUAAAAUUAGGAUAAAUUAAUUGUUGAAAAAAAUUAUUACAUUUAUGAGGCCCAAUGGGCUAAAAAUUUUAAAAUUCAAAAUAGGCCUAAUAGGCCCAGAACCGAAAAAACCGAACCGAACCAAACCGAUCUGAAAAGAACCGUUUGAGUUCGGUUCUUAUUGAGUUUGGUUCUUAUUCGGUUCUUUUUAUAAAAUAACCGAUUUAAAUCGGUUCUACUUAAUUUCGAACCGAACCGAACCGAACCGAACCGAACCGUGCCCACCCCUACUUGCAACAAAGUUUAGAGCUGCGCGAUGGUUGCAGCAACGUUAACGCCGCUAUUCCAAGUCUUGGCCCAUCAUCUCCUUUUCAACAAAUCUUAGCUUCUUCCCAAAUUCAUCAAUGAACCCCAAAACCAGAAUAAUCAUUAAAAUUAUUAACAACCAUUUGCUUGGAUCAAUGUAUGCUUGGCAUGUCUAUGGGCUUACUUGGAAUGGUCGCUGAUGGCCAUGGGCUUGCUUGGAUUGGCCGCGCACAGCCAUGGGCUUGCUUGGAAUGCCGGUACCCGUUUGCCACGGUUUUGCUAGCGUAUCCAUGGGUUUUGUUGGACAUGGCAGUGCGAGGCCAUGGGUGUUGCCGGACAAUGGACAUGGGUUUUGCUGGGCUGAUUAGGAAUUAACAGAGGCUAUGGAGUUGUUCAGUGUGUGAAAGAGAAAAAAACAUGAACGAAGAAGAAUAUGAACAGGGAAUAGAACGAAGAAGAUGAAGAAAGUAGAAGAGAGGGAAAAAAUAUUUUGCUUUUUUAUAAAUUUUCGGAUUUUUAUUUCAAAAUUUAUAAUUUUUGUUUAAAUUUGAGAAUCUUAAGGGUAAGAUUUUCUUUGUAACUAUGUGUAGAAGGAGGUUUUCAGAUGGUUUUUGGUUGGGUUAACAUGAAAUAUGCUUGUUUUAUGAAAUAUUAUUAUUGAGGUUUUGUUUUAUUUUCUAAAAAAUAGAUUAGAGGAUGAUUUUCAUUAAUGACACCCAUAAAGUUUGAAUUAGUUAUAUUAUAGAAAUAGUAGGGAUUUAAAUGAUAUAUCUUUUCAACAUAAAUAUAUCAGUAACAUAAGUUAUUCUAUAAUUAACAGGGUAUUAUCGUAUUUUAGUGAGUCAUUAUUGGUUGAUAGUUAUAUUUAACAGAUUUUAGACAGUAAAUUGAAGUUUAUUUUUUUUAUUUUUGAGUAAAUUAAAAUAUGUCAAUCUCAUAAGGGGUUAAAAUAUAAUUUAUCCAAAAAUUAGUGUUAAAAUUUUAUAGAUGAGUGUAUAUUAAGAUGUUCAAAGUAUUAGAACAUAAAUAAUCUUAGUUUUAAUAAAAUUUUGCCACAUAGUGAAUAUUAUCCUCAACCUCAAGAGAAACAUAUCAAUAAAAUAUACAAAAAUAGAAUGCAUUAGUACAUGUCAAUAACAAGACCAAUUAGAUCAUGUCAUAUUUGUUAUGUAGUUAUUUAAGCUAAUAGAGUAAGAAGUCCCAAAUACAUGUACAUCAUAUCUUGGUGAAGAAAUCGGUUCUACCCGAAAUACUUCUUCGUAUUGAAAUCAAUGAUGAUUGCUUGUUUAAAUAAUGAAAGUUAAAAUAAUUUUGUAAAUAAUUUCAUUCUUUAAUUUACGGUAUACAAAUAAAUUCAAAAAAUGUUAAUUUCUCUCAUACUUUUAGGACCCAAAAAAUAACAAAAAGUCUUAACAUAUUUAAUGGUUAUAUAUAAAUCAUCCGUACGUAUUUUUCUUGAGAGAAGCUCAAUUCGAUAGACAAUGCUCCCCUUAAUUUUCUUUUCUAAUUAGAUAAAAGAACAAGAGAAAUUGAUUACAAGAAUAACAAACUUUAAUUUACUUCUUAAAGGGUAAAAACCUUAAUUUACUUCUUAAAGGGUAAAAACCUCAAUUUGUCCUUAUAUUUGUUCAAAAGAUACAUUUUGUCUUCUUAAUAUAAACAAGUUAAAUUGAUGUUUCACAUCUUUUAGAAAUAAAUUAAAGAUUGUUAUUUUAAGUAGGAGGUAAAUUUCAAAUAAAACAUGUGUUCAUAUGAUAGAUGUGCAUUUUACAAUAAUUAAUAAACAAAAGGGUAGUGAUAUUUUCAACCUGUAAUUUUUGUAAAUCCACCCCCACUCCCAAGAAAUAAUUACAAUAAAUUCACAUAACUUUUUUAAAACUCAAAUAAAGAAAAAUUUUGGAGAUUUAAACUAUUGUAUACAAGAGGAUAAGAGUAAAUAUUUUUCAUGCAGUAUAAAAAGAAUGCGACAGCUCCUUUUCUUUCGGUAUUUUCACAACAAAAGCACACUUAAUAACUCAUCAAAUUAUUUCUCCUUUUCUUUGAUCGCUUCCCCUCUCCUGGAGCUGCUGAACUCCUUUGUUGCUGAUGAAGGGAACAAGUGAGGCUUUUCAAAAGAGGGCAAAGAGAUGGUGAUUCGAUUUGAUUCGAUAAUAGUAGUUUAUUUUAAUUGUUAUUCAUUUGAUUUCAUAGAAGUAAUUUUUAUUUUCAUUUUUUUGUUGAAAAUUGGUAAAAACGAACUAAAAUGAGAUAAUUACAUUAAAACAAUCUUCAAUGACUAAAGUAAUUUGAAAAAAUAAAAAUAAAAAUAAACAAGCUCAAAAUUUACCCCUAAUCCGAACAUUAUCCGAAUUCAGCCUAAUUGACCCAAAUCUAAUUGUAAUCCAAACUUGACAUGACCCGCAUAUAAUUAUAACCCGAUCAGAUCCAAACUCGACCUGAAUUUUUAAUUCAAUACGAUCCAAUCCAAAUAUUCCAAUCCCAUCAAAAUGAAACUUGAUUGGGUUGAUCCGAACCCGAAUUUGCCACUUCCGGAGGAGACCAUGACCCUAAAGGCUUUGAAAUAAUCUUUGCGGUUUCUUAAUGAAAUAGUAAAAGUUAUGCGCAAAAAGACUGUUUUGACCCUAGAAUACAUGAUAUAUAAAUUUCAGACAUUAUAUUCUGUGAAAUAAAGUCAAAGUAAACUGGUUGUUUGAUUUUUUAUUAAUUAUUUUCCAUUAUGACAAAAUGACAAAUAGACUUUAUUAAAAGUUUAAUAAAGUUUGGGCCUAACUCCUUGAUUUUUAUUUUUUUUAAUUAUUUUUCAUUUUGUUUUUUACUUGCAACAUUAGCUUUAAUUAUCAAUAGUCUCCAAAUCAAAAUGACUGCAACCUGUAGCUACAAGCAAAAUUCUCAAAUUUUGAAAUUUCUAACGACUACAUAAGAGCUAUAAAUAGAAAAAUCAUCUAAAAUUAAUCCUCCUUCAGAGGCAGAUUAAAUUCUUAGUAAUUUCAUAUAAUUUCAUUUCAUCAGAACAAUUUUCCAAAAGCAAUUUUAUAAAUGGUUGUCGAAAGCUUUAUCCCUUAAUUAUAUGUCACGUAUUUUCUUUGUGAUAUGAGGCGUGUCCAUAGACCAUAGUAUGAUAUUUAUUGUAAUUAAAAUCAUUAUGGAACUGAUUUUAUUCUUGUUUCUCAAACAAAAUAUCUAACUGCAGAUGUAAUAAAUUACUAAUUACCAUUAUUUGAGUCGCACUCUUUGAAUUGGAUCUUGGAGUUUCGAAUGACCAAAUGAAUUAGUGAGAUAAUGGCUUUUGCUUUUGUCUACCUGAUAAUAAAAUUUGUCCACCAUAUAGACAAGAAAUGGAUCGGAUCCAUAUGCUAUAGCUAAAUUGAAAAAUUUAUGUGGAGUUUUAUUGUAAGACAUUUUUAUCUGAAUAGAAAAAAUAAAUUUUUUUUAUUUUUAUCUAAAUGAUAAAAUAUCUGAAUAAAAAAUCAGUUUUCUUCUCACAAAUACCCUCAUUAAAUAUAUUUAUUUUCUACUUAGCUAUUAGAUGUCAUAUUAGAAUUUCCUUUGAUCUCAGAUUUUACUUGGUAUUAAAUACUUAAUCUGCGUUCGAUUCGAAUUUAGACAAAUUCUUUUGUCAUUAGAUAACAACGUUUUUACUGAAUUUGAUGUUCAUACAGAAACAGUCAAGUCCUUGUUGACUGAAAUUGGCAUUUCUCUUGUCUCUGCUCCUAUCAUUUGGUGUGAUAACCAAAGUGCAGCUGCCUUAGCAAGUAAUCCUAAAUUCCAAGAACUUAAAUUUAACUCUAAUAAAAGCUCAAAGUUAGUUAUGUUCCAAGUUCUCAUAAGUCAUAACUCAUCUGAUAUCCUUACUAAAGCUUUAGCUUAUCACCCUUUUCAUUAUCUGAGAGACAAGCUCACCCUGACUUCACUAGGCUGAGCUUGAGGGGAGAUGUUAAGAGUAUAAGCUGAAGCUGCUGAGCUGGCUGGUGACGUGCUGACGGUGUUGAGUUGACUAAUGUUUUGUAACUAAGUUGCUGAGCUGGAUUGGGUUGUUAUUUGCACUGAAUAAGUUGUAACGAAUUGUCCAGCUGGCUUGUUAUGAUUGGAAGGCUAAUUAGUUUGUUAAUAUUGCAGCUUUGAGCUCUGUUUCUGUAAUCAGUUUUGAGUGUAACUAUAAAUAUCACGCUCAUAAUGUAUGAUUUCAGCUUUAAUCAAUAAGAAUCUGUGAUUGUUCCAGAAACUUCAUAGUCAAAUUUUCUUUCUUAAUUUUCUUUCACUUUCUCUCGUGCCAAACACCUUAUUGAUUCAAAUAAAACUCCAUCCAAAGGCUCACGUUCCUCCACGUCUAUCACCAUGCAACCGUCGUCGUAAUGUGCUACCUUUGGUUACAUAGUAACCAUGUUAAAUUGGAUUUUCUAUAUGAUAUUAUCGUUAGCUUCAUUGUUUAAAUAUACCGUUAGUGAAAGAAUCGUUCGUGAUUAGGUACUUUACAACUACAACACGAUAAGCAAUCAAAGUUACAUGAAAGAAUCAGUAAUUAGUAGUUAGGUUAGAGGUGAAACGUGCAUGUUACAGGGAAGUAGAAAACAUGUCAAGUUGUUAUCAUAAAGUGAAUAUCCAAUUUAAGAAGAUAAUAACUGGAUUUUGAAUUCAAUUUCACUCUGUUUUAGUAGUAUGUAUUAUAUCUCACGAAUAUGAUAUCAGUGAAAAAUGUAUAAGUUAUGGGCUUUGAAUUUAUAUUAAUGCAUAUAUACUAGCUAUGAAAAUGACGAAUUCUAAACAGAUUUUGCUAUUUAACAAGUAAUUAAGAGGUCUAGCAAUCAAUUAAUAAAAAAGUAAUUCAAUAUAACAUUGCUACAAAGAAAUUAAACUAUAUAUAACAACUAUUUCAAUGAGACUAAUGAUAAUUAUAUCUAAGGUUUGAUCGAACAAACGGGCAAGAACAGCAAAAGCUAAUCUUAAUUUAGAAAUUUUUAUAAGGGGGGAGGAUUGUAAUAUACGCACUUGGACUUUCUUAAUAAAGUGCUGAUUUUUAUUUUCCUCUUCUCUAUUAAUUUUUAAUUUCGUCACUAUAGUUUAAUUGGGAUAAAUUGAGCUCGAUUAUACGCGCCGAUGGUCGGAUUUUAUUUUCGUAACGGGUCUGAAAUUCGCUUAAUUUGUAUUAAGCUUAAAAAAAAAAAAAAAAAAAAAAAAAAAAAGAGGGGCAGAAUUGUAUAACUGGAAAGAGGGAAACGGGUUUUCCAUUUUAGAGAGAAAGAACCCGAGAAGAGAGAGAAAGAUAGAGAGAGAAGUCAGACCCGUUGACCCGAGAACCCGACCCAGUAACCCGCGGAUUGACCCGACGAUUUCUCCCAACUCCAGCCACUUUACCGGCCGUGCUUGGUACCGAUCUGAAGCUUGGAAGCAGACCAUCGUAUCCCUGCUGUUAUCGUCGCCGGAAACUGGCCAGAACGCCGGUGAUCGAGCUCGAAAAGUCGCGGCUUCGACCCGUUUUCGUUGCCGUUGAUCCCGCCGGAGUUGUGACGCGCCACCACUUGGAACUGGUUCCUCACAUCCCCAGCAACAUUUCCCGACCAGCAACGACCGCCGGGGACGCCCGGAACUCGCCGAAUGAUCUCCGAAAAUUUGCGGAACUUUGGAACUUCGAUCCGCCGCCGGUAGCGCGCGUGGCGACUCACUGCCACCACCGUUGGAUUCAUCGAGGCCGGAACUAGCAGACCUAAGCUCCCCGUCAUCGUUGACUGAAGUCCGGUCACCGUUGACCGGCAGGGGCAAUUCGGUAAAUUCAUGAAACUUUGGGGUGAAUUUGUAAUUUUAUGUAAUCAGUGGACAUUUCGGUAAUUUUAUGCCCUGAGGGUAAUUUCGUAAUUUCGGACAAUGUGAUUAAUUUAUGUAAUCUGAAUUGAGGACAAUAUGGGUAUUAACGAAUAUGAGGAUAAUUUGGUAAAAUCAUGAAGUUUGAGGAUAAGUUGGUAAAAUAUUGAUGUUGGGGUAUUUUGGUAAUUUUGGCCUAUAGGGGCAUUUUGGUAAUUUUAUACAUGCGGGACUAGUUUAUCGUUAAUAGAUAUUUGUUUCGAGAUUUAUUAUAUUAAUUGGUUUUUACGGAGAAUAAUUAUGGUGUUUUCCGUGAUUAGGAGGAUCCGCAUCCGCGAACGAGAAUCUACCCGCGGACGUUGUUGAUACUGAGUCUAGACAUCAUCACUGUGAGUGGAAUAUACAAAACCUAUUUUCAUAGUAUAUGCUGAUUUUCUUAUAUAGUACAGUAUGUUUGAGAAAUAAAUGUUUAAUGCGUUGAUUUAAUGAUUUUCCAGCGAAUUGACUUUUAUUUAUGUGUUGAUAUUUAUUAUGAUUGAGAAUGAGUUCGAUUUAUGAUUUUAUUAGCGUUUUUGAGUAAAAGCAUGAUAUUAGAAUUGAGCAGACUUGAGAUAUGUUGAAUAGAAAGAAAAUGAGAUUUCAGAUGGGAUCAUAUGUUUACUAUCAGUUUUGAAAUCAUUAGACAGUACCCUUCCCUCCAGAUACAGAGAUACAGAUAAAAAGAGAUACAGAUAAGAGAUACAGAUAAGAUGAGAUAGAGGCCUUUGGGGCCCGUCGGGACACACAUAGAGGCUUUGGGCCGUGUGUUCGGGCGCUUUUGCCUUUUGGGGGCUUAUGCAUGCACAGUACAGAUAUAUGAGAUAAGAGAUAUGAGAUAUGAGAUGAGAUCGUCCCCAUCUAUCCGUUGUGGCUCCGGGGCGUGACGUUACCCAGAUAGUGCGUUAUUGCCUGGCCGUUGUAGCCCGGAUAUGAUCAGAUUAUCCCCUGGGUACUUGUUUGAUGACAGUUUUUAGUAUUCAGUAUUUAAUAUGAGUAUGGUGAUUCCAUCGAUUUUAUGCAGAUUUAUUAUUGCAGUUAUUCAAUUUGAAUUAAAUGAGUUUAUGAUAUUUUGAGAAAUUGAUUUGAGAAUUGAUUUACGAAAUUGAAAUUGAUUUAAGAAAAGAUUUGAGAAAGAUUAAAUGAUUUUGAAUAAUUUAUUAAAGUAUCAGCACCUACUAUCCACUCACUGAGCUCACUGAGUUUUAUACUCACCCCUCUUUUAUUAUAUUUUUCCCCCCACAGGAGAUUUACAGGUACAUCAGUCAACCCAGUAGUGAACGUUAGUUUGAUAUUGUGGUCACGUGAUGGUGCUAGAAGUCGUGGAUUUUAUUAUUAUAUUCGAAAUUUGUGUUAUUAUUUUAUGUUAUUAAGGAUAAUCGUUGUAUUUUAAUAUUCGGAUGAUUUUGGUGAUAUUUGAGAAGUUGGUUUGAGAAGUUGGUUAUGGAGGAUGUUUGGUUAUUAAAUUAUUUCGGGAGUGUUAUUUUGUCAAUUGCAGGGUUGGAUAUGUUUUAUUUAUAAGGGAGACUCUGCCGAAAUUUUUAUAGAUUUGUUAUUAAUUCGAUUUUACGAGUUUAGAUAGACUCGCCCUGGGGGAGGUUGCGGGGCGGGUCGUUUCAGUUGGUAUCAGAGCAUGGUUUUAGAUUCUGUAGACUUUAUGGUCGUAAAUAGAAUAAGUUUUGAUUAUUAAGUCGGAUUUACUAUUUUGUAGGCACCAUCAUAAUUAAAUUAGUUAGAAGUAAAAUUAUCUCUCUAGUAUUAUGCAAGGGUAGAAAUUUGGGUUGUACCAUGUUAUAAUUAUCAAGGAUAGUUUUGAUAGAAUUCUAAUUGUAAUAUAUGACUGUAUAAAAAAAAAAGAACAUUAAUGAAAGAUGUUUAGGUAAGGACUAUCUUGGAAUAGAAUUUUGAUUGUAAUAUAUCAAUAUAUAAAAAAAAAAUUUAUGAAAAAUGUUUAACAAGGACUGUUUUGAUAUUUUAAUGAGUAGUAAAAAUUAAUGUUAAAAUUUGAUAGAACAUAUAUAAAUAAUCCUAGCUCUAAUAAAAUUUUGCUACAUAAUUAGUUUAUCCCUUAAAGAAACAUAUCAAAAAAAUAUACAAAAACACAAUGCAUGAGUACAUGUCAAUCACAAAUGAAAGCAAUUAAGAUAAAGAAUAUGAUUUAUUUUAUUUUAUUUUAGUUAUUUUUUUGUUUCUUUUGAAACAAGACCAAUUAGAUCUGCAAGAAGUAAUUUUUUAAAAAAAUAAUAAAAAAAGGAGAAAUGAUGAAACCCACGUCCAAAGAUGCCGUUGUCGCGGAGGCCUAGAUCUCACUACACCCCAUCCCCUUCUACCAUAUUUUAUAAUUGAAGAGGCCAUUAUUGAAUUGAAAAAUUAUGAUUCAAAUAUCCAAAAGUAGAAAAAGAAAAGCAAUUGUUGGAAACACACUCGGAGUUUUAAAUUGACAUGAGAAAAGAAUAUAUUCAUCAACCUCAUACGUUAAUGAUGCGACGAGUUUAAGAAUAUAUUCCUAACGUGUGGGAAUUUAAAGACGUUACUACAAAACAUGUGUUCGUCGGUGGAGUAGAAUCAGGGAAAUUAAAGAUGCUACUACAACCACUAACGUGUGGGUGGAGAUAAGCAUAACUUUUUUCAUCAAAUGCCAAAUCCCCCCAGGUGGAGAGUGGGGACUCCUUCGCAUAAAUGUUGAUAAAAUUUUGACUAUGAUGUUAUUAGGAAUUAAGGGAAACUGUGGUGCAAUUGUGGUAUCGUGUCACAGUUGUAUUUGGUCGUUGGAUGUCAGUAGACCCUACCCAUAUAAGUGUAUCUAAUGGCUAAAUGUAAUUAUAACACGGUACCGCAAUUGCACCGUAGCCGAACCCUAAAAAUUAAGAUAUUCUCUCUCUACGUAUGCCUGCACGAAAUAAAUAAUAUGCAAAUAUAGUAUUUUAGUUUAUUAUUAAUAGUUUUACAAUAAUAAAAAUCAUUUUGAUAGACUGGAAAAUGUCAUAUUCGCAUUUUAUUUUGUACGGACGUCUGCGAGAAAGAACAUAUAUAUAUAUAUAUAUAUAGAGGAACGUGUAUUUAAGAUUUAGCUAGUGUGAAGUUGGGAAAUUUUUUUUUUGAACCCAGGCUAAAAUUAUUUCAAUAAAUUUUGAUCAUGGAGACUAAUAAGAUUUUUUUAGUUAUAUUUAUUAAUUUUUUAGGGACUAAUAAAUUUUGAUCAUGGAGACUAAUAAGAUUUUUUUAGUUAUAUUUAUUAAUUUUUUAGGGACUAACAUGAAUAUUAAUAAUUUUAUUGAGAUUAUUAAAAAAACAAUGUGCUAUUUUACAUCUAUGACUUUUCCAAUCUUUUUUUCUUUCGUUAUUUAUUCCUUUGUGAAUUUUAGUUAAUGCUUGAUAUUAUUUUUUUGCUCAUUUUUUAAAGCAGUAAUUAAAUCUGAACCCUUACAGUAGAAGAUUAUGAAAAAGUAAAGACACAAAAAUCAUAAAAAUCAUUAGUACGUCCAAAUUGUGCUAUUUUCAUACAUAACUUGAGAAUAUUUAUAAUUACGCAUCAGAACUAGUGGAGUAGAAUCAGGGAAAUUAAACAUUCUACAAUCAUUGACGUGUGGGGUGGGGAUAAGCAUAAACCUUUUCUAUGCAGUAUAAAAGAAUGCAAUAACUCCUUUUGUUUCAUAUCUUCGCAGCAAAAGCACAUCUAAUAACUCUUCAGAAUUCUCGUCUUCUUUGUCAGAAUGGUUGAUGCGAUCGUUUCCUCUCUCCUGGGGCAGCUGAGCUCUGUUGCGGCUGAUGAAGUGAAACAGCAGGUGAGGCUUGUGACUGGUGUCCGACAAGAAGUGACAAAGCUUACCAGCAAUCUUCGAGCCAUUCGAGCUGUGCUGGAAGAUGCAGAGAAAAGGCAAAUGCAGCGCGACAAUGCUGUUACUUUUUGGCUGGAUCAGCUCAAAGACGCAUCUUACGACAUGGAAGACGUGUUGGAGGAGUGGACCACUGCAAGGCUCAAAUUGCAGAUUGAAGGCGUUGAUGAUGACAAUGCUCUUGCUCUUGCUCCUCAUAAGAAGAAGGUACGCUCCUUCUUUUGUGCUGUAUCAAACUGGUUUGGUAGUUUCAAACAACUUAGUCUUCGUCAUGACAUUGCCGUCAAGAUUAGGGAAAUCAAUGGAAAGCUAGAUGGUGUUGCCUCCCAAAAAGAUACGUUUAAAUUUGUUGAGAAUGUGAGCAACAAUGUUAAGAAACCAGAGCGAGUGCGAACCACCUCCUUGAUUGAUGAGGGAGAGGUUUGCGGUAGAGUUGAUGAGAAAAAUGAGCUCUUAAACAAGUUGUGUGAAAGUAGUGAACAACAACAAGGCCUUCAUGUCAUCUCACUAGUUGGGUUAGGGGGUAUAGGUAAAACCACUCUUGCACAACUAGCCUAUACUAAUGAUGAUGUGAAAAGAAAUUUUGAAAAAGUUAUAUGGGUGUGUGUAUCAGACACUUUUGAGGAGAUUAGGGUCGCCAAAGCAAUCAUUGAAGGUCUAGGCAUGUCAGCUUCUGGUUUAAGCGAAUUCGAAUCUCUUGUGAAACAGAUUCAGGAAUAUAUUACGGGGAAGAAAUUUUUUCUUGUUUUAGAUGAUGUGUGGGAUGUAGAUUACAAAAAAUGGGACCCAUUCUUUUCUUGUCUAAAGAAUGGCCACCAUGAAAGUAAAAUUCUAAUUACCACACGUGAUAGGUCAGUUGCACUACAGUUGGGAUCAAUAGAUAUUAUCCCUGUCAAGGAGUUGGCUGAAGAGGAAUGCUGGUCGUUGCUCGAGCGGUUAGCAUUCUUCCGUCGUUCUGUUGAUGAUCAUGAAAAAUUAGAACCAAUCGGGCGAAAAAUUGCACACAAGUGCAAAGGCCUGCCUCUUGCUGCAAAGGUAAUAGGGAAUCUCUUGCGCUCUAAAAUUACAGUAAAAGAGUGGCAAAGAAUUUUAGAUAGUGAAAUGUGGAAAGUACAAGAGAUUGGGCAAGAUCUUUUGGCCCCUUUGUUGUUGAGUUAUAACGAUUUGCCCUCCAAUUCUAUGGUAAAACGGUGUUUCUCAUAUUGUGCUGUCUUUCCAAAAGACUACGAGAUGGAUAAAGAGGAGUUGAUUGAUCUGUGGAUGGCUCAAGGUUACCUUAAUGCAGAAGAAGACGAAGAGAUGGAGAUGAUUGGGGAAGAGUGUUUCAACAUUUUAGCAGCACGCUCUUUCUUUCAAGAGUUUGAGAAAAAUGAUGAUGAUGAUGAUAUUAGGAGUUGCAAGAUGCAUGACAUAGUACAUGAUUUUGCCCAAUUUGUAAGUAGAAAAGAAUGUUUGUGGGUAGAAAUGUAUGAUAACAAAGAAUCAGUCAUAAAGUCUUCUGGUGUCAAAGUCCGUCACUUAGGGUUAAAUUUUCAAAGAGGAGCUUCAUUUCCUACGUCCUUUUUUGAAUUUGAUAGAUUGCGUAGCCUCUUAAUUUAUGAUAGAAGUUAUUCCAAUCAGGUUCUUAAUAGUAAAUUGGCGUGUUUAAGGACAUUAGUUAUAAGGCAAUCGUUCCAAUAUUUUUAUCCUAUUUCUCUUGACUCAAAUGCGAUUAGAGAAAUUCCAGAAAAUGUUGGAAAAUUGAUACAUUUAAAAUAUCUUAAUUUGUCUAAAUUAGCCAUAGAGAUACUACCUGAGACUUUGUGUGAAUUAUAUAAUUUACAAAAGCUAGAUAUUAGGGAGUGCCGAUAUCUUAGGGAAUUGCCAGCGGGGAUUGGGAAGUUAAAGAACAUGAGAAGUUUACUGAAUGAUAAAACUUAUUCAUUGAAGUACAUGCCAAUAGGGAUUUCCAGAUUGACCAGCCUUCGAACAUUAGAAAAGUUUGUUGUGGGUGGAGGUGUUGAUGGUGGCAGCACGUGUAGGCUUGAAUCUCUGAAAAAUCUUCAACUCCUUCGUGAAUGUAGAGUAGAAAGGCUGAGUAAUGUAUCGCAUGUAGAUGAGGCUGAGAGGUUACAACUUUACAAUAAGAAAAACCUCCUUCGUUUGCGUCUUUGGUUUGGUGGAGUCGUAGAUGGGGAAGGCGAAGAAGGGAGGAGGAAGAAUAUUGAGAAAGAUAAACAACUUCUUGAAGCCUUACGACCGCCUUUGAAUUUAGAGGAAUUAGGGAUUGUAUCCUACCAAGGCAACAUUUUUCCCAAAUGGUUGACUUUGCUAACCAAUCUAAGGAAUUUAUUUCUUUCCUCGUGCGUUAACUGUGAGCAUUUGCCUCCUUUGGGAAAAUUGCCUCUGGAAAAACUCAAACUAUGGAAAUUAAAAAGUGUAAAAAGAGUGGGUAAUGAGUUUUUGGGAAUAGAAGAAAACAGUGAGGACGACCCAUCUUCAUCUUCAUCGUCAUCAUCAGUUAUUGCCUUCCCCAAAUUGAAAUCACUCGAAAUUUGGGACAUGGAGGAAUUGGAAGAGUGGAAUUACAGGAUUACGAGGAAGGAAAACAUCUCCAUCAUGCCCCGUCUUUCUUUCUUAAAAGUUGUUUUUUGCAACAAAUUAAAGGCGCUGCCGGAUUACCUUCUUCAAACGACGGCACUGCAGGAACUGCGUAUUUUUUCUUGUGAUCUUCUAGAAGAACUGCCCAUUCUAGAAGAUCGCAGGACAACAGACAUUCCACGUCUUUCUUCCUUGCGAAUUUCGGAUUGCCCCAAAUUAAAGGUGCUGCCGGAUUACCUUCUUCGGACGACGACGCUGCAGGAAUUGACUAUUGACGAAUGUCCCCUUCUGGAAAACCGUUAUAGAGAGGGGAAAGGAGAAGACUGGCAUAAGAUAUCUCACAUUCCCCACAUCGAGUGGUAAAUUCUCGAAUGGUUGCAAUUACUAUCACCCACCGGUAAUUUCUCACCUCUAUUUUACUUUGUUGUUACUUCAAACAACGACACUGCAAACAUUGACAAUUUGUACAUAUCAAUAAAAUGUACAAAGUUAAAAAUAUAGAAUGCAUUAGUACAUGUCAAUAACAAGACCAAUUAGAUUAUGGCAUUGCUUUAUUUUAUUUAUUUAUUUUUUUGAUUCUUUUGAAACAAGAUCAAUUAAUUAGAUCAUGCUAGAAGUUAAUUUUUUUUUUCAAAUGAAAAAGGAGCAGUCAUACAAAGUUUGAAUAUAAAAUUUAUAAUCUAAAACUAAUAAUGUGACAAUUAGCAUGUUAUUAACCUAUCUAAUAGAGUAGGAAGUCCCAAAUACAUCAUAUUCUGCUCCAGAAAUCCAUUCCACCUAGAAUACUUCUUUCUAUUGAAAUUAAUGAUGAUUUGUUUGUUUGCAUCAUGAAAGUUAAAAAUAAUUUUAUGAGUAAUUUGAUUCUUUACGGUACAAAAAAUAAAUUUGGAAAGUACUAAUUUCUCUCAUACUUUUUGGGCUAAAAAAUAAAUGUAACUCCAACAUAUUUAUUAUUUAAUGGUUCUAUAUAGAAUCAAUCGUGGUAUAAAUAUGUAAAACUUCCUAGUUAUCAAUUUUGUCUUGCAUAAUGAUAAUCGUUUUUUUUUAUAUAUAAUUUAUGUGACAUUAAUUCUUUAAAGUAAUUGUGGAAUUGUUUUUACUACAUUAGCCCUCUUUGUUUUAUUUCAUACGAGUUUAAUUAUGUUCACCAGGGAUUCGAGGAAAUGUCAGAACCACACUAGCAAUUCACAGGUCCAAUCUAAUUUGGUUUUAAUGAUGCAGGCAGGAGAGUAUGCUAAGAAAAUGAAAAGUUUAGCCAAAGGAUUGCUAAAAUGUUCUGCUGGUAAUUCACUUGCUUUAUUUUAUAGAAUUUCAUUUCCAUCUUCUUCUAUUGAUAUCUUGUUGUGAAUAAACAAGAACAGAGAAGUAAAGAUAUAUCAAAAUUAACUAUUACGAUGAUGCUAAAGCAAGCUCAAGCUCAAGCAUUGCAUUUUUAUUUUAUUUAAUUUAUAGAAUUUUCAUUUCCACCUGCAUUGCAUUUUUAUUUAUUUUUAGGUUGACUUUGAAUACUUCAUGGUGAAAAUGACGAGUUCAGCCAAAGGAUUGCUAAAUGUUCUGCUGGUAAUUCACUUGCUUUAUUUUAUAGAAUUUCAUUUCCAUCUUCUUCUAUUGAAUCUUGUUGUGAAUAAAGAAGAACAGGUAAGUAAAUGAUUGAACCACAGAGAAGUAAAGGUGUAUCAAAAUUCGCUAUUAUGAUGAUGUUAAAGCAAGCUCAAGCACAAGCAUUGCACUUUAUAUUUUAUUUAGUUAAUAGAAUUUUCAUUUCCACCUGCAUUUCAUUUUUAGGUUGACUUUGAAGACUCUAUGGAGAACAUUGGGGUAACCAAGGAUUAUCACUGUGGUUAUUGUGCAACGUUUGGUUGCUGGACUUUGAAGAAGGAAGUGAUGGCCGGGUCUGCUCUGUUUCAAUUGAGGAUGGAUAGCUGCCUGAAAGACAUGAUGAUUAUUAUUGUGUGAUGUUAAGGUGCUGAGAUCAUCAUUGCUAUCUUGUUUCAUUCUUGGAAUCAUUUAUCCUGUAUAAACAUUUGUUUUAACAAAUGUUUCAAUGGCUGCUGUAGUAACAAUUUCAUAUCUUGCAUCUCUCGGGUGCAUCAUGAUCACGGGUUUGAGAAAGCAUUUGUGGUAAAGCUUCAAAGCUUGUACAAUGGCUGUGAAAAGGCACAUUCAAUUCGGUACGUUUGGUGCGGUCUCCUAAUGCUACUACCAUAUUUUGUAUAGCAAUUAAAAUUCAGGUAUACAAUCUUAAUAUGCAAUAAAUCAUUGAGUACAAAGUUAUCUAUUAAUUAUAUGGUAACUGAAAUUUUCAUUAUAAUUUUAAUUAUCAUAUUAAUAUUAAAGUUUUUUGUAACCCUCUUUUACUUUGCUUGUACAGAGUAUCUGUUUUGGCUGAUAUGUCUAAUUCGUAGCAAUUCAUUUCCAUCGGUUUCCAUUGGUUUUAGCACAAACAGAAACAAAAAUCUGGGGAAAAAGUUUUACUUCUUGUGGUAUUAUGCCUUUAUUUAUUCAUUCAUCAUAUUUGUUCGAAUUCAUGCUCUCAUUCAGAGAGCAGCCUUUUCCAGGCUACUUUGUAGCCAAAUUUUCAUGCCAUCGAUGCAUGAUUGUCAUUUAGAUUUUCCAAAUAAUUGUUAGAUUGAAGAAGAAUAAGAAGAUAUUGUUAAAAGGGUAUUUAAUUAGCACCCUCUGAAUUUAGUUGCCAAUAAUGCAUUGAAAUGGUUGGGGAAAGUUAUUGUCUCACUUAAAUUACAGGUGAUAAGAUGCUGCUCCAAUUUUGCAAGCAUCUCGUGUUGCGAAGAUUUUGCCCACAUGAGAUGUUAUGAUUUUUGACAUCAGGGUAACACAGGUCAAAUUUUAGCAUCAAUAGAUAUCAUCUUCUUUACUGUUCUGCUCGAAAUAUUAAACUUUAGGCAAGUUGUUUUUGGUUGUGUGAGUUAUCAGGUUAAGGAUACUAAGCAGCUUAUUAAGGCAAAUGUCAGAAUGCAGAUUGCUCACCACACCUGGUAUGCAUGAUGGCCAGGAAGAUUAAUUGUUCACAAGCCAAUUUGAUCAGUGUUAGAUUUUUUUCCUCCUUUCGAGGGACAUCAUCAUCAAAUUUGAGUAGAGAAUCUUUGAAGGGAAUUUUGUUGUAAGAGUUUCACAGUAGUGAAUUCUAGAAGCUCGAACUCACUUGAGUGAGAUAUUAGGGAGUAUUGGGGAUUUGGGUUAUGAGUAAUCAUUAUCCUUCCAAUAUGUGUAAGCACUCACUUGUUAGUAAAAUCAUCUUCGUAUAUUGACUAUGUUUCUUUGUUAUCAGGUAGAGUGUGAUCUUCAAGGGUUUGAGAAAGUCCUUGCAGUAAAGUUUCCACCACAAGUAAUUGCUCAGUUUCAGAUUUUCUAGGCGUUUAAUUAGUUUCGAUUAUAAUAUUUAGUCACUCAUUCUGAAUCUUUUCUAAUUUUCAAGUUCCUUAGGGUCACAAUCAUUUUUUCAAGUCUGCUGUGGCUGCAAAAAGAUUGUUGGUCAUAAAAUUAUCUUGACCCUUGAGCCAUUGCGUUUGAGCACAAACAGAAACAGAGCUAAAGGAAAAGAACUUGACGCAAGAAGAUGCUCUGAAUAUAACAAAAGUAUAUUUCUACUUCUUGUGGUUAUUUACUUUUGUUUCUCCUGUCAGCAUAUUUGAUUAAUUCGUUCGAAUUCACACUCUCACACAUUAUUUAAAACCAUUUGUAGGUGGCUUGCAAGCUAAUUAAGUUAAUGCAGAAGCAAUACUCUAGACUUUAGUGAAGUUGUUUUUGUUUGUGUAAGUUAUCAGGUUAAGGAUACUAAGCAGCUUAUUAAGGCAAAUGUCAGAAUGAAGAUUGUUCACCGCACCUGGUAUGAAUGAUGGCGAGGAAGAUUAAUUGUUCACAAGCCAAUUUGAUCAGUAUUAGAUUCUUUUGCCUCCCUUCGAGAGAUAUCAUCAUCAAAUUUGAGAAGAGAGUUUUGUUUUGACAUUUCACUGUAGUGAAUUUUGGGAGCUUGAACCCACUUCAGUGAAAUAUUAGGGAAUACUGGGGAUAUGGGUUAUGAGUGAUCGUUAUCCUUCAAAUAUUUGUAAGCUCUCACUUGUUAGUAAAACCAUCUUCGUAUAUUGACUUUGUUUCUUUGUUGUCCGGCCGAGUGUGAUCUUCAAGGUUUGAGAAAGUCUUCGCAGUAAAAUUUCCACCACGUGCAAUUGCAGUGAAGGGGCAUAUACAUUUGAGUAAUUCAGUUUCAGAUUUUCAAGGCGCGUUUGUUUAAUUAGUUUCGAUUAUAAUAUUUAGUCACUCAUUCUGAAUCUUUUCUAAUUUUCAAGUUCUUUAGGGCCGCCAACAGUUUUUCAUGUCUACAUGUGGCUGCAAAAAGAUUGAUGGUCAUCAAAUUAUCUUGAGCCUCGAGGCAUUGCAUUCGAGCACAAAGGGAAACAGAGCUAAGGGAAAUGAAGACAGUAGGAGAUGCUCUGAAUAUAACAAAAGUAUAUUUCUACUUGUGGUUAUUUUAAUUUUGUUUCUCCUGUCAUCAUAUUUAAUUAAUUCGUUUGAAUUCACACUCUCACACAUUAUUUAAAACCAUCUGCAGGUGAUAGAAUAUGGGAGACGUUGUUAAUGGAAAAACAGUACUCUAGACAAAGAUGAGCAAAUUGAAGGCGACAAAUGCAAAUUGGAUUUCCAUGAAUAAUUGUUAGGCUGGUGGAGAUAUUCUUAAAAGGGCAUUAAGCUAUCUUAUGGAAUUGGAAAGUUAUUAUUACUUGAAAGCAAGCAGCAUCUUCGUUGCGAAGGCUUUCCCCACUUGAUAAGAUGCUGAGAUUGUUAUCGGCCCCUUAAUUAUUUAUUAACUCAGGUAUUUAUUAUCAGUACAUCAUCUUAUUCACCAUUUUGGCUGUAUAUAAAGAUUAAAAUUUCUAACAGUUGUUUCGGAUUCUUGUGUACUCAGGUUAAUAGGGCAAAUGUCAGAAUGAAGAUUGCUCAGUGCAACCGAUAUAGCAAGGAUGAUAGUUGUGAGGAAGAUUGUUGGCAAGCCAAAUAGAGCCCUCCAUUUGGAGAAAUAUCAUCCUCAAAUUUGAAUUGUUGAGCAUGUGAGGUGAAGCUAAAGCCUUAAUAAUGAGACCUUCCUGUGGAAGUUUCAUUUGAAUGAAUUGAACGUUCUUAGUGAGUGAGAAAUUAAGCAUAUAUCAGCGAUUUUGGUCGUCAGUGAAUGUUUUCCUUCAAUAUUAAUACACUGGCAUUUCUUAGUAAAUUCCCUUCACGUCACUUCCUCCUUGUUGGUGGGAUUAGUAAACAAAUGCCAUUUCUUAGUACAUUUUGAGAAUUUUGACUCCCAAAUAAGCCUGCAGAGCGGUGUAUGGUGGGAUUAGCUGCAGGAUUCUUUGCCAAACUUCCUUUUUAUUCCUUUGUUCACUUAUUCGUUAUAAAUAAAGUAAAAUUAGAAUAUUGUUCCGUUUACUGUCUAAGCUGGUCUAACAUUUGUUUAAUUUGGGCAAUUUUUAAUGCCUAACAGGUUAUCUGUGACAAACCCAUCAGUGAGUGUAUGCAACUAUUGCGUGGAUUUGAUAGAGUGGUCACCAACAAUUUUGAAGUUAUUGGAGUAGCACGGCUUUGAGGUCUCUCCCUCCCUCUUUUACGUAUUUGUCUAUUGAUCGACAUGUCUAUAUAUACAUUGAUAGACCAACUUACUCUUGUUUUAAUGUUUUGUUUGUUAAAAUUUGACUGGGUUAUGUUUAUUUGUCUCAUAUGAUGUCAAUGUGGUUCCUAUUGAAGUGUAUAGAUCUGUCACCUCAAAGUCUGAUUUCAAUUUUCCUUUACUUCAUCAACUAGCAUCCUUUCCAAGUCCAGAUACUUACCAAUAGUGAUACUUUGCUACGGAAGUACAAUUUCUCUUGUUUUACAGUUAAUUAUGAAAGAAAAGUUUUAAAUUUACAGAAUUCUGGUAUAGCUCUCUUAAGGAAAUGCGAGUGGUGAAUAUGGUUCCAACUUUUAAUAGGCUUAAUAGGCCCAUUUGUUGAGCCACAGUGAUUGCGGUGUAAAUUCUUCUUUACUGUCUAUAUGUGUUGGAGUUUGUCUAUUGUCCAACUUCUCAAAUCGAUUCCAUGCAGGGUUUUGAAUGUCUAAUUAGGAGAACGAUUAACGGAUGACCUUUUGAAGAAGGCUUACACAACAGGCCAUCUCGGGAUGUCAUGGCUCAGCUCAAAAGUCCCCAGGUGGGUGAUAUCAAAGAAUGCCAUUGUUUCUGGGCUUGGUCUCCUUGGCAUCAAACAAGAUAAUGUUGACUGCAUAAAUUUGUUGGAGUUAAUGUAGUCAAUUGCCCAAUUUCGCUGCCUAUCGAAGAGACACAUCAUGGAAGUCCUCAUCAAACUCUGAGACACCUAAGAAAUAGUAGGAGGUGGUGGUACUUGCCUGGGGUUAAUUUCCUGGCAAGUAUAGUUCACUGAUAGAGGGAAUCUUCUCUUGAUGUCUAAAUACCGUAUGUGAUACAACGUCGUAUAUUCUAAUUUUCCUUGAGUUAAAUUCUAGUCAGUUAGGAAAGUUAAUUUUGUUUUCGCUAUGGAUUGUUUCCUAGAUAAUAAUAGUUUCCAUGUUCCUUUGGGGUCUUAUUAACUCUCUGUAACCCAGUUCAAGUUUGCAAAUUCUAUUUCAGAUUUCUCAUAUAGUGUGCCUUUGUGACUUCUGUGAUACACUUUUGAUCACAAGUUUCCAUUUGAAGUAGCCAAUAUUCUUUAUAGACUAAUUAUCUAAGGAUUAUUUUAUACAAAAAAUGAAAACUUUAAUUAAUUGAUCAUACUUAACUUAGCUCUUGUUUAAUAUUACGAGCUGUUGUGAGAACAAAAAAAUAGCAGAAAGUUGACAGUGUGCAGUAAAUGUAUGACUUUUAAAUAAUAAUUUAAUAAAAUUAAUAAAGAUAUUAUAAGUUUUUUAAUAAUAAAGUAUGAGAUCAAAUUAAAUUAAUUAAUUUUGAAUUAUUUUAUUAUUGUCAAAAUGUAAUAUCUUAAAUAACAGUUAUUUUUAUUAAGAAUAUUUUUUUGGUAAUGAAUUAUACUUUUUAAAAUAUAAUUGAAAAUUCUUAUUAAUGAACUAAUAAAAAAUUAAUUAUUUGAGUUAUCUCCUAAACUACUUAGCUCACGAGAUAAAUUCACUUAGUUUAGAACGAAGCGGUGGGUUUUAUGUGGGAAGCCACAUCCUUACCACAUCAACCUCAACAUCGAAACAUGGAAUUGGACUAAAAAUAGUUCUUUCCCAUGUAUUUACGUAACCUCCUCCCAGUAAACGCAAAUAUGUAUUCUUGAGUGCAUGUAAUCCACAAGUUUGAUUGAGUAGAAGAUGUCGUUGUCACAAAGGCCUGGACGCCAUACCUCGAAUGAUAUGUUAGUAUGAAAUUAUGUUUUUUUUUUUUUUUUUGAGAGAGGUAUGAAAUUAUGUGAAAAUUAAUAUAUCACUUUUUUUUUCUUUUUUCCUUUUUUGCGUGAGUGAUGGCUUCGUUGAAUGACAGUUGGCAAAUAAUAAGUUAUCUUUUAAUUUUGGUUUUGAUUUGAAAAAAAUAUUAAUUUUUGUAGUUUCGGUAGAUGAAAUUUCGAAUCAAAUAUUAAUAUUGUUAAAGUACGCAACCCAAUAUUUGCUUAAAUUACAAAAAAGAUUAAUUACUUUGCAUAAAAAAAAAGUGAUCACUUGAUUUAACUUCCUUUACUAAAUUUACGAUUUAAAAUCCAAAAUAAAAAAAAGGAAAACAAUUUUUGGACACACACUCGGAGUUUUAAAUUAAUAUGAAAAACGAGUUUAUUAUUGAUAGGAAAACAAUCAAGUGAUCACUUGAUUUAACUUCCUUUACUAAUUUUACGAUUUAAAAUCUAAAAUAAAAAAUUGUUUAUUAUUGAUUGUCUUUUUCCCAAAAUUUAAGCUAAAACAGUAAUAUGUCCAAAAUACCCUCCACGUUAUCCUAAAACUUUAUAAACUCCCCCGUUCCUCUCAACAUCAUCUCUUCCAAAUCUUUCUCCCCCAAAAAACCAGCCAUGGCUUCAUAUUUAGUUACCUCAACACUCCAAUAUUGGCUUGUAAACAGUAGUGGUUCGACCUCUAGGCAACUUAGGUGGUUGUAUAGGACUCCGCUUUAUAUGAAAACCCUACGAGAUGAUUAUUUUGUAUAUAAAAGAGGAAAAUGAAUUUAAAAGUGAUUAUUAUUUAUUUAAUUUAUUAUUAUUUUGUAAUUAUCUUUUUCUAAAUAAACUAUCAAAUUCUUAUAAAGUUUAUUUAAUGUACUACUUAAUUGUUUUAAUUAAUUUCUACAAAACCAAUAAAUUAAUAGUUUCAAUCCUAAACAUUCUCUAUUUCAUUGUUAGAAUUAAUAAGUUAUAUUUCAAAAGUUUUAUAUUUAUUUUAAACCUCUAUAAAAGCCCCACAUUUUAUUACUUAUCCAUUACAUUUUUCCUCCAACAAUCAAGACAUCUUGGUGUUUUAGAGAAAGAAAGAGAAAGAAGGAAAAAAAUCUUGCUUCCCCUACUUUCUACUCUAGAAGAAACAGAAAAAAUCUAAUAGUUUUCUCUAUUUUCUAUGACUAUUGGUCGUUACUCAAAUUUUCAAACAAUAGCCUUAAUAUAAAUAUAAGUUAAUUUAUGAUUUCAUCUCAAAUUUUUGAUUUUAUCUUUUUAUUAUUCUCUUAAUUAGUUGUGUUUUAUUUGUUCUUAUUUCUUUUUAAUAUAUUCUUUUAUUCAUCUAAUUUUUUUUUGUGCUUGUUUUAUCUAUUUUGAAAUAAAACUAUAUCAAAAAACUUUAGACAAUAGAAGAAUAGAAAAAUUAGUUUAAUUUAAAAAAAAAAGUAAAAAGAUAUAAUUUAACUUAAAAAAAUAAAUGAAAAUGUUAUAAUUGAAUUAAAAUUUUAUGAAUUAACAUCAAUGGAAUGAAUUUUUAUUUAAUAAUUUUACAUUUUAAAGUGUUUAAAGAAUUAAUUUUCAAUAAAUAAUAUACGUUAUAUACCUUCUAGAAGAUAUAUAACGUAUUUCAAUAAAUAAUUGUACAUUAUGAAUUAACAUCAAUGGAAUGGAUUACCUUCUUCAAACGACGGCACUGCAGGAACUGAGUAUUUCUUAUUGUCCAAUUAUGGAAGAACUGCCCAUUCUAGAAGAUCACAGGACAACAGACAUACCACGUCUUUCUUCCUUGCGAAUUUGGAAUUGCCCCAAACUAAAGGUGCUGCCGGAUUACCUUCUUCGGACGACGACGCUGCAGAAAUUGACAAUUUGGGGAUGUCUCAUUCUGGAAAACCGUUAUAGAGAGGGGGAAGGAGAAGACUGGUAUAAGAUAUCUCACAUUCCCCACAUCAAGUGAUCGCCGUAAUUUAUCACUCGCCGGUAAUUUCUCCUCCGCCUCUGAUUUACUUCGUUGUUGCUUGCAAUGAAAUUAAUAAAAAUAAUUAUAUUUUGAAUUAAAAUUUCUAUACUUAUUUACUUUUAAAAAAUAUGUGCUCUUUUGUAAAAUUUCAUGCAAUGUAAUUUAUUUUUUAAUGUACGAUAAUUUGUUGUGUGUAACUUCCUGAGAGACAAAAUCUCUGUGAUACAUUUGCAGUAAUGUUGAAAACUAAAUUAUCAAUUUUAUCUUGUAUAAUGAUAAUCUUAUUUUUUUAUAUAUAAUUUAUGUGACAUUAAUUCUUUAAAGUAAUUGUGUAAUUGUUUUUACUACCAGUUUAUGUUUCAUUUUAAUUAUGUUCACCAGGGAUUCGAGGAAAUGUCAGAACCACACUAGCAAUUCACAGGUCCAAUCUAAUUUGGUUUUAAUGAUGCGGCAGGAGAGCAAGACUAUGAAAAUGAAAAGUUUAGCCAAUGGACUGCUAAAAUGUUCUGCUGGUAAUUCACUUGCUUUAUUUUAUAGAAUUUCAUUUCCAUCUUCUUCUAUUGAUAUCUUGUUGUGAAUAAACAAGAACAGAGAAGUAAAUGAUUGAACCACAGAGAAGUAAAGAUAUAUCCAAAUUCGAUUAUUAUGAUGAUUAAAGCAAGCUCAAGCUCAAGCAUUGCAUUUUUUAUUUUAUUUAGUUUAUAGAAUUUUCAUUUCCACCUGCAUUGCAUUUUUAUUUCAUUUUUAGAUUGACUUUGAAGACUCUAUGGAGAACAUUGGGGUAACCAAGGAUUAUCACUGUGGUUAUUGUGCAACGUUUGGUUGCUGGACUUUGAAGAAGGAAGUGAUGGCCGGGUCUGCUCUGUUUCAAUUGAGGAUGGAUAGCUGCCUGAAAAACAUGAUGAUUAUUAUUGCAUGAUGUUAAGGUGCUAAGAUCAUCCUUUCUAUCUUGUUUCAUUCUUGGAAUCAUUUAUCCUAUAUAAACAUAUUGAAUUGUGCUAAUAUUAUCAUAUGCGUAAAUGGAGGCAGGAAUUUGGUGUUGACACUAUUAUGCAGGUAACCACACUUGAUAAUUGGCACAAAUUUGCGUUGUCAGAAUAUCCUUUAAUAUUCAACGUGUCUCUUUGUGUUAUCAGGAGUAUCAUGUCCAAGGGUAAAGGUGCUGCCGGAUUGGUGGAUGCCCCAAAUUAAAGGUGCUGCCGGAUUACCUUCUUCAAUCGACGACACUGCAGAUAUUGAGUAUCUUUUUGUGAAAAUAUGGAAGAACUGCCCAUUCUAGAAGACCGCAGGACAACAGACAGAUCACUUGCCCCAAAUUAAUGAUGCUGCCGGAUUACCUUCUUCAAACAAUGACACUGUGGAUAUUGAGUAUUUAUGAAUGUCCUAUUCUGGAAAAACGUUACAGAGAGGGGGAUGGAGAAGACUCGCAGAAUGUUAAGGUGCUAAUAUCAUCAUUUCUAUCUUGUUUCAUUCUUGGAAUCAUUUAUCCUAUAUAAACAUAUUGAAUUGUGCUAAUAUUAUCACUUGUGUCAAUGGAGGCAGGAAUUUGGUGCUGAAACUAUUAUGCAGGUAACCACACUUGAUAAUUUGCACAAAUUUGCGUUGUCAGAAUAUCCUUUAAUAUUCAUUGUGUUUCUUUGUGUUAUCAGGUUAUCAUGGUAUACAGAGUAUCAUUUUCAAGGGUUUGUAAGAGCUUUCGCAGUAAAGUUAGUCAUCACCACCUUGUGCAAUUGCACAUACAUUCAGAGUACUUCAAUAUUAGAUUUUCAAGGUUUGUAUGUUUAGUUGCGAUUAAAAUUUUUAGUCACUCAUUCUUAAUCUUUUCUAAUUUUCAAGUUCUUUAGGGCCAUAAACAGUUUUUCCAACUCAUUCUUAUUUUUUAGGUUGAUUUCGAGUACUCUGUGGAGAACAUUAGUGAGACAAAGGAUUAGACUGGCGAUGGAACUGCUGCCUCUGUUGUUAUUGUGCAAGGUUUGAUCACUGGACCUUGAACACGAAAGCCUUACACGCAUUCUGUAAUUCAAGCGUUCUCUAAAACGAACGAGCAGUAGAAGGAAUAGUGAUGACCGGAUCUGCUCUAUUUUAAUUGAAGAUCUCUGUGAUAUUGAGGGGCUUAAAGUAGUUGAUGCUUUUUGAAAAUUGUUAUUACGGAUGAAUUCAUUCCUGAAGACGAGUAGCUAAUGAUUGUUAAGGCUUAUUUUCUUAAAGUUCCUUUCUUAACAAGUGUUUCAAUGCUGGCUGUAGUAACAUUUUCAUAUCUUGCAUCUCUCGGGUGCAUCAUGUUCACAUGUUUGAAAAGGCAUUUGUGGUAAAGCUUCAAAGGUUGUACAAUGGCUGUGAAAAGGCAUAUUCAAUUCGGUACGUUUUGGUGUGGUCUCCUAAUGCUAAUAUGAUAUUUUGUAUAGCAAUUAAAAUUUAGGUAUACAAUCUUAAUAUGCAAUAAAUCAUUGUGUACAAAGUUUUCUAUUAAUUAUAUGGUGACUGAAAUUUUAAUUAUCAUAUCAAUCUUAAAUUUUUUUGUAACUCACUUUUACUUUGCUUGUACAGAGUACCUGUUUUGGCUGAUAUGUCUAAUUCGUAGAAAUUCAUUUCCAUCGGUUUCCAUUGGCUUUAGCGCAAACAGAAACAGAGCUCUGGGAAAGAGUUUGACUUCUUGUGGCAUUAUGCCUUUGUUUCUUCAUUCAUCAUAUUUUUCAAAUUCAUGCUCUCAUUCAGAGAGUAAAGCCUUUUCCAGGCUGCUUUGUAGACAAACUUUGACUCCAUUGAUGCAUGACUGUCAUUUAGAUUUUCCAAGAAACUGUUAGAUUGGAGAAGAAUAAGAAGAUAUUGUUAAAAGGGUAUUUAAUUAGCGCCCUCUGAAUUUAGUUUCCAAUAAUGCAUUGAAAUAGUUGGGGAAAGUUAUUGUCUUAAUUAAAUUACAGGUGAUAAGAUGCUGCUUCAAUUUUGGAAGCAUCUCGUAUUGCGAAGAUUUUGCCCACAUGAGAUCCCGUGAUUCUUGACAUCAGGGUAACGCAGGUCAAAUUUCACUUUCAAUAUAUAUCUCUUCUUUACUAUUCUGCCUCUAAAUAUUAAACUUUAGGCAAAUUGUUUCUUGUUUGUGUAAGUUAUCAGGUUAAGGAUACUAAGCAGCUUAAUAGUUCGCCACACCUGGUAUGAAUGAUGGCCAGGAAGAUUAAUUGUUCACGAGCCAAUUUGAUCAGUGUUAGAUUUUUUGCCUCUCUUUGAAAGAUAUGAUCAUCAAAUUUGAGUAGAGAAUCUUUGAAGAGAAUUUUGUUGUGAGAGUUUCACUGUAGUGAAUUUUGGGAGCUUGAACUCACUUGAGUGAGAUAUUAGAGCGUAUUGGGUAUUCGGGUUAUGAGUAAUAGUUAUCCUUCCAAUAUUUGCAAGCUCUCACUUAUUAGUAAAAUCAUCUUCGUAUAUUGACUCUGUUUCUUUGUUGCCAGGAAGAGUGUGAUCUUCAAGGGUUUGAGGAAGUCUUUGCAGUAAAGUUUCCACCACGAGCAAUUGCUACAAAGAGGCAUAUACAUUUGAGUAAUUUGGUUUCAGAUUUACAAGGCGUGUAUAUUUAAUUAGUUUUGAUUAUCAUAUUUAGUCACUCAUUCUGAAACUUUUCUAAUUUUCAAGUUCCUUAGGACCACCACCAGUGUUUCAAGUCUGCAUAUGGCUGCAAAAUAUUGAUGGUCAUAAAAUUAUCUUGAGCCUUGAGGCAUUGCAUUUGAGCACACACAGAAACAGAGCUAAAGGAAAAGAAGACAAUAGAAGAUGCACUAAAUAUAACAAAAGUAUAUUUCUACUUGUGGUUAUUUUAAUUUUGUUUCUCCUGUCAUCAUAUUUGAUUAAUUCGUUUGAAUUCACACUCUCACACAUUAUUUAAAACCAUCUGCAGGUGGCUUGCAAGCUAGUUAAGUUAAUGCAAAAACAAUACUUUAGACAAAGAUGAGCAAGUUGAAGGCAACAAAUGCAAAUUGAAUUUCCAUCAAUAAUUGUCAGGCUGGGGCAGAUAUUCUUAAAAGGGCAUUAAGCUAUCUUAUGAAAUUGGAAAGUUAUCAUUGCUUGAAUGAAAGCACCAUCUUCUGUUGUCAAGGCUUUCCCCACACGAUGAGAUUCUGUGCUUGUUAUCGGCCCCUUAAUUAUUUAUUAAAUCAGGUUUCUGUUAUCAAGUACAUCAUCUUAUUCACCAUUUUAGCUAUAUAUAAAGAUUAAAAUUUCUAACAGUUGUUUCGGAUUCUUGUGUACUCAGGUUAAUAGGGCAAAUGUCAGAAUGAAGAUUGUUCAGUGCAACCGGUAUAGCAAGGAUGAUAGUGGUGAGGAAGAUUGUUGGCAAGCCAAAUAGAGCCCUCCAUUUUGAGAAAUGUCAUCCUCAAAUUUGAAUUGUUGAGCAUGUGAAGUGAAGCUAAAGCCUUAAUAAUUAGACCUUCCUGUAAAAGUUUCAUUUGAGUGAAUUGAACGUUCUUAGUGAUUUUGGUUGUCAGUGAAUGUUUUCCUUUAAUAUUAAUACACUGUCAUUUCUUAGUAAAUUCUCUUCAUAUCACUUCCUCCUUGUCGUUCUUAUGGAAAUACCUUCCUGUUUGACUUGCAAAAUACAUUACAAAAGCUCCCAAACAGUAUAUUUGAACAGAGUUACCCAUUUUGAGAAUUUUGACUCCCAAAUAAGCCUGCAGAGUGGUGUAUGGUCGGAUUAGCUGCAGGAGCAGUGCAAGAUUCUUGUCAAACUAUCUGGCUGGUAAAAAGACUGUUGUCAAACUUCCUUUUUAUUCCUUUGUUUACUUAUUCGUUAUAAAUAAAGUAAAAUUAGAAUAUUGUUCCGUUUACUGUCUAAGCCGGUCUAACAUUUGUUUAAUUUGGGCAAUUUUUAAUGCCUGACAGGUUACUUCAUAUGCGGCACAAUUUUUACAUUAUUUUUAAUGGCAAUUUUUAAUUCAAUAAAGAAAAGUAUUGUGAAGUAAAAAUUGAAAAGUACAAUCCGUCGAUCAUUUGAUACGUAUUUUUCUUCACAGAACCUCAAUUCAAUAGACAAAAGCUCCUCUUAAUUUUUCUUUUCUAUUUAAAUAAAAGAACAAAAGAAAUUGAUUACGGAGCCAUUAAUUUCCAAGAAUUAAUAAAUGAAAAGGCCCAUAAUUUUUGUUAACCCACCCCACUCUCAAGAAAUAAUUACAAUAAGUUCAAAUUAUUUUUUAAAAAUUGAAAUAAAGAAGAUGUAAUUACAAUAAGUUUGGAGAUUGAAUCAAAUAAAAUAAAAAACCUAAACUAUUAUAUACAAGAACUCUUGAUUCUUGGGGUAUUUUAUUCAUUUUAUAUUAUCAUGGUAAAUUAGUCAAAUAAAACUUAUCUUAAAGCAACCUAAAUGGUCAAAGACACCUAAGUUAAAAAAAUAAAAAAUUAUAUGAAUGAUUUAAUUUAUUGAUUGUCUAUACCUUUUAUUGAUUUAUAUAUUUUAAAAAUAGUAUGAACGUAUUACAAUUAUUUUCUGACAUCAAGGUAGAUUUGUAAAAGAAGUGGGUAGAUUUGUAAAAGAAGUGGAUAGAAAAUAUCCCCGUCCUCAAACAAAUAAAUGAAUUAUCGGUGACGCAUGCUUUUUCCCAACUUUUGUUUUUUACAAUUAUGUAUCACAGUUGUGGAGUAGAAUCAGGGAAAUUAAAAAUGCUAAAAUUAUUGACGCGUGGGGUGGACGACAAUAACCAUAAACAUUUUUCGUGUAGUGUAAGAAGAAUGCAACAACUUGUUUCUUUCAGUAUUUUUGCAACAAAAGUACGUUGAACAACUUUUGAAAUUAUUUCUCUUUUUCUUUGCUAGAAUGGAUGUGAUCGCUUCCCCUCUCCCGGAGCAGCUGAACUCCUUUGCUGCUUGUGACUUACCAUAAAUCUUCAAGCCAUUCAAGCUGUGCUUGAAGAUGCAGAGAAGGCAAGUUGAUAUAAGAUGGUUGCAUGGAAUAAGCAGGGUAUCUUCCGAGGUUAGAAAUUGGGCUACGAGUAUUCGUUUUGGACAUAUAAUAGAGUUUCUAAGCUUGCGAUGAGUCGAACCAAAUGCAGAACAACCUAGGCUGUUAUGCCCUGCGAUUAAGCUAAAAAUUUACUUCAUUUAUAGUCGUUUUUCAGUUUUAAGAUAUUUUUUUAUUUUUCUUGAUUCUUCUAGGAUUUUAAAAUAUUAGAUUUAAGUGCCAUCUAUUUUCUUUCUCUUAUUUAGAUUCGAAGAAUUUUAUUAUCAUAUAAUAUUUUGAAUUUGCUUAGUUUGUUAAAUUUGCCUCCUUUUAGGCUUCUAUAAAUGGGAUUCAAAACCCUAAUUUUGUUCAUUUAAAUUAUUCUCAAUAAAACUUAUUAUUCAAAUCCUGGUUUAUAUUAUCUAAUAGCUUUUUAGUGUUUCUGCAUAAUCAGCUGGUAUCAAAGAAAGUUUGCUUGUCAUCAUGGUGCGAUCACACAAUCAAAGGAGCAAACAUCCCGAAGACAAUGUUUAAGGGAUGUAGGCAACGACUGUGGAGGUUAUCAGAUAGAUGGUCAAAGGAGCAAUCUUGCAAGUCAUGCAGGACGCAUAUAACCUGAGAAUGGUAGCAGACAAAUAUUAGGUUAUCUCUUGUAAGCCAUAUUCAUAAAUGUAUUGAGGGAAAGAUAUUUUUUUCUUGUCUUAAAAGAUGUGUGGGAUGGACGUUACAAUUAAUGGGAACCAUUCUUCUGUUGUUUAAAGAAUGGUCUCUACGAUAGUCAAAUUUUGAUUACUGCAAGUAAUCAGUUAGUAGCAAGCAUGAUGAGAUCAACAAAUCUUACCUUUCUUAAGGAAUUAAUUGAAGAAGAAUGUUGGUAAUUGUUUAAGCAGGUAGCAUUUUUUGGUCAAUUCUUCAAGGAUCGUGAUCAGUCGAUCAAAAAAUUGCAUGUAAGUGCAAAGGCUUGCCUUUUGUUGCAAAGAUAAUAGGGAAAUUCUUACACUAUAAAUGACCAAUAGAAGAAUAGAAAAAAAUUUUAGAUAGUGGAAUGUGGAAGGUAGAAGAGUUUGGGAAAGGUCUUUUGACUCCUUUCUUGUUAAGUUAUAAUGAUUUAUCGUCCAUAGUAAAACAAUAUUUCUCACAUUGUGCUAUCUUUUCAAAAGGUUACAAUAUGUGUAAAGAGGAACUAAUUACACCAUGGAUGGCUCAAAGUUACUUUAAAUGUAGAAGAAGGCAUUGUUUAAAGCAUGGUCUCCACGGAAGUAAAAAUUUGGUUUCCACACGUAAUGAGUCAGUUGCACGUAUGAUGGGAUCAAAAAAUAUUAUCUUCAUUGAGCAAUUGACUGAAGAGGAAUGUUGGUUGUUGUUCAAGCAGUUAGCAUUUUCCGGUCGCUCUUUGGAGGAUGGUGAAAAAUUAGAACCAAUCGUGCAAAAAAUUGCACGCAAGUGCAAAGGCCUGCCUCUUGCUGCAAGGUAACAGGGAAUCUAUAGGGUAUGAUAAAUGCAUAUAUAGUGGCCAAGUCACUCAUUACAUUUCAUCUUGUUGAAAAGUCAGAAGCAAAUGCCAACUUUGCAACUGUUAGCAUGAAGGCUUUGAAGAAGCAAAAUCCAAUUCGGUUUUUGUUAGCCGAAAAGAAAGAAUGGAAAAAGGGGAUGUAUUGAAAAUAAUAAUAAUUAUUUAUUAUAUUUUCAAUUAUUUUAUUCUUUGCAUAGUGCCAACAUUUUUCCUAUAAAUAGUUAAGGAUUUCAUUCAUUUGAAAUCAUCCCAAAAUUGUUAAGCUUAGUUUCUAAGCUUUUGAGAGAAGUGAGAGAAGUGUGUCUGGGGAAUGUAUUUUUCCUGCAGAGUGUGAGAGUACUGGGUAUAUUUGGGUUUCUGGGAAGUGAGAUUCGUUACUCAAAUAUUGUAUUCUAUUAAUUGUUUUGUUAAAUAAACAAUUAUUCUUUCUUGCCUCCGUGGAUGUAGGUUUAAUUACCGAACCACGUAAAUUCUUGUGUCCUUUAUUUUUCAGUAAUUAUUUGGUGCGCUUGAUUCCGCAUUCCGCGCGCACAACAAGUGGUAUCAGAGCCGAAGGUUCGUACUUAGGGGGGAUACGGUACUGUUCAUGUAUACGGUAUUAUAUCCGUAUAUAGUACUAUUCACGUAUAUGGUAUUCUUCACGUAUACGGUACUAUUCACGUAUAUGGUACUGUUCACAGAGGUACUAUUCACGAAUACGGUGGAGACGGCCAUUUGUACUUGGGAGACAGUCUAUUGUAAGUAGUGUGUAUUUUUGCAUGUCUAGGAAAGUUCUGUCAAAAAGGCGAUAAGAGUCUAAGGAUUCUGGUUUUUAAUUGGGACCGGGUUCCCGUCCAGUUUCCUGGGAACUUUCCUGGUGCAUUUAUUCACGCGAAAUUAACAUCAUAGAGGCUGUUUUUCAAGUGGAAAUAGUUCAUUGAGAAAAAUGGUAGAAGGUGAAACUUCCAGAAUUGGGGAGAGAUCUACCGAGACUAUUUCAGGAGACACUUCAGGUGGGAGGCGAGAUUUGUCAAAUCGCUAUUCAGCACCUGUUAUGGGAGGCCAGAAGAUCGAUGUUGAAAAAUUUGAUGGGAAAAUCAACUUCGGCAUGUGGAGGCGCGAAGUUAUGGAUGCCCUUAUUCAAAUCGAUCUUGAUGUUGUUCUGAAAAAUAAAAGACACUUGUAUGAUGAAGAAAUUUGGGAUCGUAUGAAUGAAAAAGCCUGUGGUCAGAUCAGAUCUUGUUUGACCAAGGAGGUGAAAUACUUGGUGAAAGAUGAGGAGUGUGCGAUGACUUUAUGGCUUACAUUGGAGGAGAAGUACCUGGUGAAAAGUCCUGAAAAUCGCCUUCAUGCAAUGAGCCAAGUAUAUGGUUUUCGAAUGAAGCAUGGGGUGUCAAUGCACGAUUAUGUGUCAAGAUUUGAAAAGUUACUUGCUGAUUUGAAGAAUCUUGAUGAAGAUAUUAAAGAUGAAGUCAAGGCUAUGAUUCUGUUACACUCACUACCAGAGGAAUAUAGCCAGUUUGUGACUACUUUGAUAUAUGGGAAGAGUGUGAUCGUCUUCAAAGACGUUUGCACAACAUUGACUAGUUUGGAGAUUCGGAAUAAUGAUAAAAAUUCUGAACGAGCAUCGUCUGAAGCUUUGGUGAGCAGAGAUUGGGCGAUGGAGAAAAAGAAGAAGCGUGGUGGAAAGAAUUCUCGAUCCAAAUCGAGAAGCAGAAAUCUAGCUCGUGAUGAGUGUGCCUUUUGUCAUGAAAAGGGCCAUUAGAGGAAAGAUUGUCCAAAGGCUAAAAAGAGAGAUGGGAAGAAACCAGCAGCAGCAAACAUGGCACGGAAAGAUGAGGAUUCUGAUUAUUCACUAAGUAUCACUCCUGCAGCAUGUGUGGCUAAUUCGAGCGAGUGGAUACUUGAUACUGGAGCAACCUAUCAUUUGUGUCCUAUUAAGGAAUGGUUUGCAGAUUUUCGUAAUCUAGAAUCCGGUGCAGUUGUGAUGGGGAAUGAUAAACCUUGUCGCACAAUGGGGAUAGGAACAAUUCGGCUCAAAAUGUUUGAUGGAAUGGUCAGGGAACUCAAAGAGGUUAGAUUUGUUCCAGAGAUAAAGAAAAAUCUAAUUUCUGUGGGUGCUUUGGAAGAUAAAGGCUACAAGGUUACCAUUGAAGAUGGUACAAUAAAGUUUACACAUAGAGUUAUGGUGAUUCUGCAAGGGGUUCGGCGUCACAAUCUGUACUAUUUGAAGGGAGGUACACCUGAUGAAGCAAAUGUUGUUGAGGCGCACAGUGACACCACCAAGCUAUGGCAUGUACGACUGAGACAUGCAGGAGAGAAGUCUUUGCAAAAUCUGAUGAGGCAUGGACUCUUAAAAGGUACCAAAACCUGUAAAUUAAAUUUCUGUGAGCAUUGUGUAGUAGGCAAGAAAACAAGGGUCAAGUUUGGUACAGCUAAUCACGAAACUCGUGAGAUCCUUGAAUAUGUUCAUAGUGAUGUAUGGGGACCAACCAAGACUGCAUCAAUUGGUGGAAGCCAUUAUUUUGUUAUAUUUGUUGAUGAUUUCUCUAGAUGUGUAUGGGUGUACACCAUGCGAGCAAAGGAUGAGGUUCUAGAGAUUUUCGUGAAAUGGAAGAAAUUGGUGGAGACUCAAACUGGCAAAAAGAUCAAAGUAUUACGAUCUGAUAAUGGGGGUGAAUAUACUUCUGAUCCAUUCUUGCAAGUAUGCCAGAACGAGGGUAUUAAAAGACAUUUCACGGUGAGACAUACUCUGCAACAGAACGGUGUGGCUGAGCGUAUGAAUCGUACUUUACUGAAGAAGGUACGGUGUAUGUUAUCUAAUGCUGGUUUAGAUAAAAAGUUUUGGGCUGAAGCUGUGAGCUACGCAAGUCACUUGGUAAACCGAUUGCCUUCUGCUGCAAUUGGAGGUAAAACUUCUAUGGAAAUGUGGUCUGGAAAGCAUGCACAAGACUAUGAUUCCCUUCGUAUAUUCGGGUGUCCAGCUUAUUAUCAUGUCAAAGAUGGUAAACUGGAUCCUCGUGCAAGAAAAGCUAUCUUUGUGGGAUUCAAAGGUGGAGUAAAGGGCUUCAAGCUUUGGGAUCUCGAAGACAAAAAGUUUGUGUGUAGUAGAGAUGUCACAUUUGAUGAAGCUUUAAUGAUAAAAGCUUCAAGUUCUCAGCAGGUGGAGAACAAGACCACAGAGGUAUUGCAGCGGGUGGAGUUUGAUGCAACUCCAUAUGUACUAGUUAGUUCUACAUCAAAGAAUAGUUCAACUAUGGAGGUGACACCUAGAGUUAAAGAAGAGGUUGUUUCUUCUGAUGUCCCACAAAAUGAAGAAACAAUUGAUGAUGAUUUUAUAGCAACAAGGAGGCCAAGAAGAGAGAUAAAGAAACCCGGAUGGCUUACUAAAGAUAUGGUGGUAGCCUAUGCACUUCCAGUUAUUGAUGAUGACAUCCCCAACACUUUCGGUGAAGCAUUACGCAGCAGUGAAAGUGAUCAGUGGAAGCUAGCCAUGGAGGAAGAGAUGAAAUCUCUCCAUCAAAAUCAGACUUGGGAACUUGUAAAGUUACCAAAGCGGAAAAGGGCUAUUGGCAAUAAAUGAGUCUACACCAAAAAGCAAGGAUCUCCGAAUCAAACAACUCCUCGAUAUAAGGCAAGGCUCGUGGCAAAAGGUUUUGCUCAAAAGGAAGGUAUUGACUACAAUGAAGUUUUCUCUCCAGUUGUAAAACAUACUUCCAUUCGUAUCCUACUUGCCUUAGUUGUAGAAUAUGAGUUAGAGUUGGCUCAGUUGGAUGUGAAGACGGCGUUCUUACAUGGAGAUUUGGAGGAGGAAAUCUAUAUGAUUCAGCCUUGUGGUUUCAAAGUUGCUGGAAAAGGAAAAUCGUGUUUACCGAUUGAGUAAAUCUUUAUACGGAUUAGUAUGAACUACGGUUGGCUUGAUCCCAAACUUUGGGUACGUAGGCAGUCGGAUAGAUGCAGCCAAUGUGGAUCCUUUUGAGGAUCAUGUGGGGGAUGUUUGGAACUACGGUAGGCUUGAUCCCAACCUUGGGGUACGUAGGCAGUCGGAUAGAUGCCAGCCAAUGUGGAUCCUUUUGAGGAUCAUGUGAGGGUUCGUUGGUAGUCGGCUCAGAUUUGGCUAAAUCUUCGCCGAGGUGGAGAAUUGUUGAAAAGUCAGAAGCAAAUGCCAACUUUGCAACUGUUAGCAUGAAGGCUUUGAAGAAGCAAAAUCCAAUUCGGUUUUUGUUAGCCGAAAAGAAAGAAUGGAAAAAGGGGAUGUAUUGAAAAUAAUAAUAAUUAUUUAUUAUAUUUUCAAUUAUUUUAUUCUUUGCAUAGUGCCAACAUUUUCCCUAUAAAUAGUUAAGGAUUUCAUUCAUUUGAAAUCAUCCCAAAAUUGUUAAGCUUAUAAGUUUCUAAGCUUUUGAGAGAAGUGAGAGAAGGGUGUUUGGGGAAUGUAUUUUUCCUGCAGAGUGUGAGAGUACUGGGUAUAUUUGGAUUUUUGGAAAGUGAGAUUCGUUACUCAAAUAUUGUAUUCUAUUAAUUGUUAAAUAAACAAUUAUUCUUUCUUGCCUCCGUGGAUGUAGGUUUAAAUUACCGAACCACGUAAAAUUCUUGUGUCCUUUAUUUUUCAGUAAUUAUUUGGUGCGCUUGAUUCCGCAUUCCGCGCGCACAACACAUCUCUCAUAUGAACAUGAUUCUGAAUUUGAAUUUCCAUGAAUAAUUGUUGGGCUGGUGCAGAUAUUCUUAAAAGGGCAUUAAAGCUACCUCAUGAAAUUGGAAGUUAUCAUUGUUGAAUGAAAGCACCAUCUUCUGUUUNNNNNNNNNNNNNNNNNNNNNNNNNNNNNNNNNNNNNNNNNNNNNNNNNNNNNNNNNNNNNNNNNNNNNNNNNNNNNNNNNNNNNNNNNNNNNNNNNNNNNNNNNNNNNNNNNNNNNNNNNNNNNNNNNNNNNNNNNNNNNNNNNNNNNNNNNNNNNNNNNNNNNNNNNNNNNNNNNNNNNNNNNNNNNNNNNNNNNNNNNNNNNNNNNNNNNNNNNNNNNNNNNNNNNNNNNNNNNNNNNNNNNNCCAAAUAGAGCCCUCCAUUUUGUAAAAUAACAUCCUCAAAUUUGAAUUGUUGAGCACAUGAAGUGAUGAUAAAGCCUUGAUAAUAAGACCUUCCAAUGAAAGUUUCAUUUGAGUGAAUUAUGGGAGAAUGAAAGUUCUUGGAAUGAGUGAGAAAUUAAGCAUAUAUCAGCGAUUUGGGUUGUCAGUGAAUGUUUUUCUUUAACAUUAGUACACUCUUAUUUCUUAGUAAAAUUCUCUUCACGUCUUUGACUGUGACGUAGACCAAAAGCUAAACAAUGUAAAAUUAUAUUGUUAUUUCCUUAUGCUUGUUUUGCUAUAUAUCAUUUCUGUGCAAUCAAGAAUGUAAUUUUGUAAUUAUUCAACUCUGCUUCCGCGAACAUGCGGUAUCUUGCAGAUUUUUUUUCUCCCUUUUUCUUUCUGCGUUAAAACUGCAACAAAUGGAAGUGACUGGCUUGAUUUUAGCUCCUGUAAAAAAGUGCCUGGGGCAAUGUCUUUUGUAUCAGCAAGUUAUCAAACAUCAUAGUUUAAAUAUAGAAUCCUGAGUUGCUAUCGAAAAUUCCAGGUCUUUCACCUCUCAGUUUCUUAAAAGCUACAAAGCUUGAUAGAUAUUGACAAAGCAAACCGUCUGCGGGCUGAAAUGCUUCCACGGAUCAGGAAGGAAUUUGGUGUUGACACUAUAUGUUAUGCGGAUAACUACAGUUGAUAGUUUUGACCCAAAAUAUGUCACAGUUGACAAUUGACUUACAGUGUUUCCUUGUGUUACCAGGCUCUCAUGUGUGAAUUGAAAGAUUAAGAAAGAUUAAUUCUUACUGACUUAUGCAAUUGAAGAUUAUGAAAAAGCAUUUGCACUAAAGUUCCCAGCUUGUUUAAUUGCUGUGAAGAGGCACAUUCAUUCUGAGUACUUGAGUUUCAGAUUUCCAAGAUGUGUAAUUUUAGUUGCCAUUGAAGUAUUUAGUCGCUCAUUCUUAAAAAUCUGUUCCAAUUUUCCUGUUAUUUUGGGCCAUAAACAGUUUAACAAGUCUGCAUGUGGUUUCUAAAGAUUGAUGGUUAUGAUAAAUAUUGUGAGGUAUGAAAUAUUAAAUUGCUAUAAAUAUGUGUACAAAUUUUUCCUAUUACAUUGGGAAUGAAAUUGUAACUUGCGGGUCAAAAGAAAUCCUAAUUUGCUUUAGGUAAGAAAUCUUAAUUUGCUUAAGUGUCUGCAUUUGUGUACAAAGGAAAAAUAAGAAAUUCUGCUACAUGGGGACCGAAAAUUUAAUUGGCAGGGUCUUCAUCAAAUGUUUGUUAUCAAUACUGAUCCCGGAAUGUAUGGAACACCGUGAAAAGUUUUUCAUAGUUUCGUGAAGAAGGCUGAUUUAUCUGAUUCAUAGAUUUGUUAAAAGCGCAUCGGGCGGGGGACAAAAGAAGUGUUGAAAUUGAAAAGGUUAAUGGUUGAAGCAUGCAGUGUUGCAAUUAAGUUAUUAUUGUCUUGAAAUAACAGGAGAUGAUAAGAUGCUGCUUAAAGCAUGCAGUUUCUGUUACAAUUGUAUUGGCCUGGGUUUAGGGAACUGUCAGAACUUUCAGAAGAAGAUGGAGUUUCUCAAACCAAAUCUAAGAAGAUAUCUCACAUUCCCCACAUGGUCUCAACGCACAGGUAAGUUUCUUCUCGAGCUCUGUUUUUCAUUGUUCGUUAUUUUUAAUGUAAAUAAGGAGCAGAGUUAAUCUCUUAUCUUGACUUUGCUUUGAGAAAACUACUAUUAUAUCUAUUUUUAAUUCACAUGUCCACAGUAAUUUCAUUCUAGUUUGAGCUGAGUGAUAACUGUUCAAGGCUCACUUACUCAUUGGGAGAAGCUCCAUGAUGCAGGCUGCUAGGAUUAGCUUGUACAAUUGCUGUGAAGAGGUACGUUUGGUUGCGAUCAAAAUUAUUAGUCUCUUGUUCUUAAUGUUUUCUGAUUUUCCAGUUCUUUAGGGGCCAUAAACAGUUUUCCAAGUACUGCAUGUGGCGGCAAAAGAUUGAUGGUGAUAAUUCUAUCUUGUGGCAUGUGUGUUGCAUUUGAGCACACGCAGAAACAGAGCUCAAGGGAAAGAAAUUGGAAGAUGCUCUAAAUAUAACAAAAGUAUAUCUCUACUUGCGGUCAAUUUAUAUUUGUUUCUUGUGUCAUUAUGCAGAUUAAUUUAUUCGAAUUUAUCCUAUCUCAUUCAUUUAUUUUGGACAUAAGUUCGAAAAAAAAAAAUUUUAAGCAUACAGUUUCCAAUGGAUUUGAUAGAGUGGUCACAUGGCAUUUUGAUGUUGUUGGAGUAGCACUGUUCUUAAGCACGGCUUUGAGGUAUCUCCCUCUCUCUUUUACGUAUUUGUUUAUCGAUCUACAUCUCUAUAUGCAUUGAUAGACUAUUCUUGCCGUACAAAAUUACUCUUGUUUUAGUGUUUUGUUUGUUGAACUUUGACUGGGGAAUCUGUCUCUUUGUCUGAUAUGAUGUUAGUGUAUUGAAGUGUGUUAGAUCUAUCACCGAGUAUUAUUUCAAUUUUUCUUUACUUAAUCAACUUGCAUCCUUUCCAAGUCCAGAUCCUUAACAAUAGUGAGACUUCGCUACAGAAGCACAAUUUCUCUUGUUUUACAGUUAAAUAUGCAAGAAUGGUUUUAAAUUAACAGAACGCUUGAGAUAGUUCUCUGAGGAAAUGCAAGUGGUGAACAUGGUUCCAACUUUUAAGAGCCUUAAUAUACCCAUUUGUUCAGCGCUGUGUGUAAACAAUCAGUAUUGCGGUUUACAUUCUUCUUUACUGCCUAUAUGUCUUGGACUUUGUCUCAAAUGGAUUCCAUGCGGGGUUUUGAAUGUCCAAUUAGGAGAAAAAUCAAGGCUUGCUUGGCCAGGAGUGGAAGCGGAUCCGCUACUUCAGUCAGAUGAACUUUUGAAGAAGGCUUACAACAGGCCAUCUCGGGAUGUCAAUGGCUCAACUCAAAAGUCAUUGAUGUCAAAGAAUGCCAUUGUCUCCGGGCUUGGGCUCCUUGGCAUCAAACAAGGGAAUGUCGACUCUGUUGAAGGGGAAACAAGGGCUCCUAAAGUGCGAAGACAGAGGAUAGUCCGGAAGAAUUAAGGUGACCGCAUAAAUUUCUUGGAGUUAAUCUUGUCAAUUGCCCAAUUUUGCUGCCUGCCGAACAGAUACAACGCGGAAGUCCUCAUCAAACCUUUGAGACAUCCAAGAACUAGUAGGAGGAGGUGGUAUUCACCCUGUUUCCUGGCAAGUAUAGUUCACUACUUCACUGAUAGAGGGAUUCUUUUCUUGAUUUCUAAAUACCAUAUGUGAUACAACGUGGUAUAUUCCAAUUUUUCUCCAGUUAAAUUCUAGUAAGUUAAAAAAGUUAAUUUUGUUUUUGCGACGAAUUGUUCUCUUAAUAAUAAUAAUUGCAUGUUGCUUUGGAAUCUUAUUCACUCUCAGUAACCCAAUUAAAUUUUGCAAAAUUUACUGCAGAUUUGUCAAACAGUGUCUUUGUGAUGACACUUUUGAUCGCAAAUUUCAAUUUGAAGUAUCAUGUAACACCAAAAAACCAUAACUUGUAAUUACUUGAUCAUACUUGACUUCCUAUUUAGGUUCUGUUUGGAAUUGAAGUGUUGUAGCUACAACUAUCUUGUGGAAAAAAAAAAGUUAGAAUUAUGAAACAAAAGUUAAUAAUAUGUAGUAAAUAUAAAUUUUAAAUAAUUAUUUUGAUAAAAUUAUUAAAGAUAUAAUAGAUUUUCCAUCAUAUAAGUGAAAAAUUAGAUCAACAUAACUUCUAAAUUAUAGCAAUUAGUGUUUACCAAAUACUUUAGUACUGUAACUUUUAAGUUACAGUUGUACAAUUUCAAUUCCAAACACGCCCUUAGUACUACUGUGUUGUAGUUAUAGUUAUUGUGAAAAAAGAACUAAAACUAUAAUAUAAAUGUUGAUCGUGUGUCAUAUAUAUGAUUUUUAAAUAAUAAUUUUGACAAAAUUAAUAAAUAUAUUAUUGAUUCUUUUAUACUCCCGGUUUAAUUUUUAAGUCACAAUAUUAAAUAUUUAUUAAAUAUUUUGAUACUGUAACUUAAAAACUAUGCUCUACGACACUCUUAUCUAAUUUUAUUUGUACUUUCUAGCUCGAUUAUACAAAUCCUUACUUGAUGUACUUGACCAUACAAGAUGUUACUUAACUUCACUUAAUCUUACUCGACUUUAAUUGUAUAUUUUAUACCGAAAUUUUUGUCAAAAAAAAUUGGUCCCAAUUCCAUGCUCCUUCGGGGAUCCCAGCAAAACAGUAACUUCCAUUCAAAAGGGUUCCAUGUUGAGUGCAUGUAAUCUACACAAGUUUGAGAAGAAAUAACCAAAAUAAAUAAAUAAAAGAAACCCACGUCCAAAGAUGCCGUUGAAAGUUGAAACAAAAAUUUAUUAUUGAUACGAGAAAAGAGUUUAUUAUUUUCUUAACAAAAAUUUAAGCUAAGACAAAAAUAAUGCCCAAAACACCCUUCUCAUGAUCCCAAACUUUCUAAACUCCCCCAUUCCUCUGAGCAUCAUCUCUCCCAAAUCUUUCUUCCCCCACAACCAGCCAUGGCUUCAAAUUCAAUUAGCUCAACACUCCAAUGUUGCUUGUAAGCCACCCACAAAUCCUCAACUUCACAUGGACUCAAAACCAAACCCUAGCUUCCUUCCCACACAUCCUCAUUAUCUUCAUCGUUACUUACCUCCCUCACAUCCAUCCUCUGCCACACAUCAACAUCAACAUCAACAUCACCAUCAUCAUCACCUCUCAUUGGACCCCACAUUCUCAGAUCCAUCACAGCCAUCCAUAAUCUCACCCUCCUCCUCUUCUCCCUCAUCAUGGCCGCUGGUUGCACCCUCUCGAUCAUCCUCCACUCACCUCACCUCCACUACUUCCCCUGUUUCCCCCCUACCAUUUCUCCCUCCGGCCCCCUCUGCUUCUACGCUUACGUUUUUAACUCUAAAAAAUACUCGAAUUCCCAGACACCCUUUUGAUCAUUUUGUCAAACUCCAUCCAACGGCUCACGUUCCUCCACGUCUACCACCAUGCAACCGUCGUUGUAAUGUGCUACAUUUGGUUACAGACGAAGCGGUCUUUGCUUCCUAUUGCGCUUGUUACCAGUGCAAGUGUGCAUGUGAUCAUGUACGGGUACUAUCUAUUGUGUGUUCUGGGGUUGCGGCAGAUUGGUCACUGAUUGUCAGAUUGUUUAGUUUUGCUGUUUUGGUACUGAUGCUGAAUUAUCAUUUCACGGGAUUUGGUUUCCCUGGGAUUUGGGGUUGGUGCUUCAAUGCUGUGAUUAAUGCCUCCCUUUUGGCCCUUUUUGUUAAUUUUCAUUACAAGAGCAUAGAAGUAAAUAAUUGAAUUAACUAUUAUUAUCUACAUUAAUGUGAUGGAACACAAGCCACAUCAACUAGAAUUAGAUUAUGAAUUUUAGCAGCCCCAGCAAAAAACAUUUAUGAAAGANNNNNNNNNNNNNNNNNNNNNNNNNNNNNNNNNNNNNNNNNNNNNNNNNNNNNNNNNNNNNNNNNNNNNNNNNNNNNNNNNNNNNNNNNNNNNNNNNNNNNNNNNNNNNNNNNNNNNNNNNNNNNNNNNNNNNNNNNNNNNNNNNNNNNNNNNNNNNNAUGGGCCUAAGUCUUUGAUUUUUUAUUUUGUUAAUUUUUUUUUAUUUUUUACUUGCAAUAGUAACUUCAAUUAUGAAUCAAAGUCGCCAAAUCAAAAUCGCUGCAGCCUGUAGCUACAAGCAAAAUUCUCAAUUAUUGAUCAGAAAGCUAGCCCCAGACGGUGACUCCUGUGGGGACUCCUUUAAUUUGCAGCACAAAACAACGUUCACAUUGACAUUGACUUGAGGGUAAAAAUUAAAUAUCUCCUAUUAGUAUAAGAAGAAUGCAAACAUGCUUGAAUCAACAUUCUCACAGAAUCACUAAAUUCUCAAAUUUUGAAAUACCUAACAAUUACAUACUAGCUAUAAAUAAAUAAAUAAAAAAUUGUCUAAAAUUAAUUCCCAGCUAACACUUGAAAUUUGAAUUUGGGCCUCAUGAAGAUUUACCCCGAGCUCUACCCCUGGAUAUGGAACAAAAUAUUAUUAGUUUUGCUAGUGAAAUUGCCAAUUAUGUUUUUGUUUUGUAUUUUCCGCUUAGGGAAGAAGAAAUUUCCUACAAAUUUUGUGGUGAAUAUCUUGUGAAUAUAUGACAGUUUAAUCUUUAGUCACCACUUGUUUAAAAUAAAAAAGAGAAAAGGAUAUCUAUAUCCCCAUGGUUUGGAGAAAUAGUCACCAACACCCCAAGUUUUCUAAAAAUGACAUCAAGACUCUCUUUUGACCAUAAUACUCUUUACCUUUAGUAUCCCGAAAAAUUUAACUUGCAAAUUUUUAGUAAACACAAAUAUUAUAUAAAUAAUGUAAUCUAUGUAGUAGAUUAAUAAUAUUAAAAUAAAUUUAAAUAUGUAAAUUAUUAUAUUUAUUUUAAUAAUAUAUUUGUAUUUAUUGUAGAGAUUUUAAAUAAAUAUUUGCAUUAAAUACAUUUUACAAUUAAAAAAGUCUCACAUACUAAUAAUAUUAAAAUUAUUAUUUUUCAUAAUAAUUUAAAUUUUAAUACAUUUAUUUUAAUAUUAUAUUUCUAUUUAUUAUAAAAAAAAUUAAAGUUAACUUUUGGGAUAAUAAAAGUAAAGGGUAUUGUAGUAAAAAAUGAGUUUUAGUGUCUCUUUUUGAAAACUUAGGACUUGGAAGCGUUGGUAACUAUUUUUCCAAAAUUUGGAGAUAUAGAUAUCCUUUUCCUAACAAAAAAUGACAUUUUUGAUAGGAGAUAUAAUAAGUUUUGUUCCUUAAAAAAAUCCAUCAGAUAUAUUAUGCCCCCGGUUGCUAUUGUUAAAAACAAGUAAUUCUUCUUUUUGUAUAUUAAAAUAGUAAAAGGGUGGAUAAUAUUUAAAAUAUUUUUUUAACCUUUUAUCUUUUUUGACAUUCGAAUUUUAAACUCGAGAAGUCAACCAAAUAGACUUCUUGAGAGGUUAACUAAAUUCUUAGUAAUUUAAUAUAAUAUCAUAACCGUUCUUCAAAAGCAAUUUUAUAAAUCAUUGUGGAAAAAUUUUAUUCCUUAGUUAUCUUUCGCAUAUUUUAAUUCUUUGUAAUAUGAGGUAAGUCCGUAGACAAUAGUAUGAUAUUUAUUAAAAUCAUUAUGGGACAGAUUUUAUUCUUUUUUUUUUUCUCAACAAAGUAUCCGACUGUAGAUAUAAUAAAUUACUAAUUAAAAUUAUUCGAGUCACACUCUAAAUUAGAUUUUAAAGUUUGUCAUGACAUAAUAAAGUUACAUUCUCAAAUGACCAAAUCAAUUAAUGAGAUAAUGGCUUUUGCUUUUGCCUACCUGACAAAAAGAUGUUGUCGGCCAAGUUGAAAAAUAUAGUAAAUAAAUUUCACUUGCACGUUCCAGAUCGAUCACAUACAAAUUUGUACUGAAAUUCAUAAUGGAUUAAUAUGAUUGGGCGAAAUUACUCCAUAUAAUUUCAUCAAUACCUAUUAAACGAUAAAAAAUUUAUUAAUAUUUAUAAUUAAAAAAAUCUAUCCACUAAGACUAUUCUAGAUCAACAAUUAAUAUAUUAUAUAUAACUUCAAAAGGUUCAUCGGUGGAUUGAUUUAAGCCCUUUGUUGUAGUUUAUAAAUAUUUUGUUGCUUAUAAUGUAAGAAAUUUUAUAGGAGCUGAUGCUGAGUAGUCUGAAUAAGAAAAUUAAUUAUAUUUAUAAGUUAUUGGGUAUCCAUAAUAAAAUAAACAAAUAAAAAAUGAAUAAAAAUUUAAAUACUUAAUUAAUUUUUAUCAAAUUCUUAUCAAAUAUUUAAAAAAGUAUAUAAAAUCAAUUAAUUGAUGGUAUUAUUAAUUUUCAUGAUGAUUUUUAAUAUUAUAUUAGUGAUUAUUAAAUUUAAUACAAUCAAUAAUGCAAGAAAUGAUUAAAUGGUCAAUUUUAUUGACAAAUUAUCAAAUAUGCAAAGUAAUGAAAAAUUAAUCUCAAGAGUUAGUAGAAGUAAAGUUCCAAUUUAAUCAGAUGAUAGAUAAUAAAGUUCCACUACUGUGUGAUAUCGAUGAAGUCGCAAAAUUAGUCUAAUUCCAUACUUAAUCCUAGUAUCCGAACAUGGCCUGAUAAAAUAGUUUAGGUAAUAUACUUCUAUGACUCACAAUUUAAAUAAAUUUGAGAAUUUAUAUAAGGGAUGGAAAAUUCACAAUAAUCAUAACAUGUGCUAUCUUUUCUUCCUUUUCUUAAUUAAACACGAUGAAGUCGCAUGAAGUCGAUGAAGUCAAUAACCACUGCUGUGUGAUAUCGAUGAAGUCGCAUUCGCCUACCUAAUAUUGCGCAAUUAGAUAGAAAAAACGGUCGGCUGCAUGAUUUUUCCAACUUUUGUCUUAUUUUUCUCUUUUCCACGACAAAUUAAUUUGAGAAUGUUACAUUUUCCAAUUCUCUUUUUGUCGUGACCUAAUAGACUAAAACGGAAUCACAUACUUUUUCAAAUGACCAAAUGGCUUUGGCCUACCUGAUAAUAAAAGGAAUGGAUCCAUACGUUAGUAUGGAUAAAUUGAAAAAUAUAAUAAAUAAAUUGUCAGGAGACGAUUUUAUCAAAAAUUUCACUCGCACGGUCCCGACCAAAUACAAAUUUGUGAUGAUAUUCAUAAUGAAUUACUCUAUACAGUUUCAUCGAUAUAUAUUAUACCAUUAAAAAUAUACUACUAUUUAUAAUAAAAAAAAAUUAUGACUAUUCUAAAUCGACUGUAUUAUAUGUGAAUUCACAAGAUUCAUAGAUAGAUUGCACUGAGCUUUUUGUUGCAGUUUACAAAUAUUUUGUUACUAAUUAUCUUAGGAGCGGCAAGUAACUAAAUACAAAUGUAAGAAAUUUUACAAGUUGCUGAUGCUGUGUACUCCGCAGAAAGCUAGCCCCAGACGGUGACUCCUGUGGGGACUCCUUCAAUUUGCAUCACAAAAGAACGUUCACAUUGACAUUGACUUGAGGGUAAAAAUUAAAUAACUCCUAUGGUACGUAUAAGAAGAAUGCAAACAUGUUUUUUUUUUUUUUUUGAUUACAUGAGACUAUUGCUCAAAUUACAGUUCAAAUUACAACUCAUAUUACAUGAGAGUAUAAUUGAUAUGUACAAUCAUAUAUUUAUACUGAGCCCUAUUGAUAUGAAUACUGAUAUGACAUCGCUCAGAUUUUUAACCCUCUCAAAUAUUCGAGGGAUGUCAAACUCCCAUCCUGGGAGAAAGACUGUCUUCACUCGAGCUCAAGGGCUCCAAGAAAGAAUAUUUAAAUUAAACCCCUACAAUGCGACUGCGGAGGCUCGAACCCCUUCCCUCACAUUUGUGAGGGAGGGGCUCUAGCCACUUGGGCUAAGCCCAAGUGGUUAGAAUGCAAACAUGCUUGAAUGAACAUUCUCACAGAAUACAUAAAACCUACUUUCCUCUGAGCAUUUUAGCAGCAAGAAAAGCAAUUGCAGCAUUUACCAUUUGAUCUAAUAUCAGAAUGGCUCAUGCGAUCGUUUCCUCUCUCCUGGACCAGCUGAAAUCCAUUGCUCAAGAUCAGGUGAAAGAAAAGUGGAGGCUUGUCACGGGUGUCGAACAUGAAGUGGGAAAGCUUACCACCAAUCUUCAAGCCAUUCAAGCUGUGCUGGAAGAUGCAGAGCAGAGGCAAAUGAAGCAGGACAAAGCUGUUACUUUUUGGCUGGAUCAGCUCAGAGACGCAUCCUACGACAUGGAAGAUGUGUUGGAAGAGUGGAUCACUGAAACACGGAAAUUGCAGCUUGAUGAGGGAGGCGAUGAUGAUGAUGAUGAUGAUAACGACAGUGCUUUUGUUACUUUUUUGACGAAGGUAUGUUCCUUCUUUCCUGCUGCCUCAAACUGCUUUGGUGGUUUCAAACAACUCAGUCUUCGUCAUCAUAUUGCUGUCAAGAUUAGAGAAAUCAGUAAAAGGCUAGAUGAAAUUGCCACUCGAAAAGAUAGGUUUAAUUUUGUUGAGAAUGUGAGUAACAAUGUUAGGAAUCCAGAGCGAGUGCGAACCAUCUCCUUGAUUGAUGAGGGAGAGGUUUGCGGUAGAGUUGAGGAGAAAAAUGAGCUCUUAAGCAAGUUGUUGUGUGAAAGUAGUGAACAACAAAAAGGCCUUCAUGUCAUUUCACUAGUUGGGUUGGGGGGUAUAGGUAAAACCACUCUUGCACAAUUGGCGUAUAAUAAUGAUGAGGUGAAAAGAAAUUUUGGCAAAGUUAUAUGGGUGUGUGUAUCAUACACUUUUGAGGAGAUUAGGGUCGCCAAAGCAAUCAUUGAAGGUCUAGGCGUGUCAGCUUCUGGUUUAAGCGAAUUCGAAUCUCUUAUGAAACAGAUUCAGAAAUAUAUUACGGGGAAGAAAUUUUUUCUUGUUUUAGAUGAUGUGUGGGAUGGAGAUUACAAAAAAUGGGACCCAUUCUUUUCUUGUCUAAAGAAUGGCCACCAUGAAAGUAAAAUUCUAAUUACCACACGUGAUAGGUCAGUUGCACUGCAGUUGGGAUCAAUAGAUAUUAUCCCUGUCAAGGAGUUGGGUGAAGGGGAAUGUUGGUUACUGUUUAAGCAGAUAGCAUUUCUACGUAGGUCCUUUGAGGAUUGUGAAAAAUUAGAACCAAUCGGGCGAAAAAUUGCAUGUAAGUGCAAAGGCCUGCCUCUUGCUGCAAAGGUAAUAGGGAAUCUCUUGCGCUCUAAAAGUACAGUAAAAGAGUGGCAAAGAAUUUUAGAGAGUGAAAUGUGGAAAGUAGAAGAGAUUGGGCAAGGUAUUUUGGCUCCUUUGUUGUUGAGUUAUAACGAUUUACCCUCCAAUUCUAUGGUAAAACGGUGCUUCUCAUAUUGUGCUGUCUUUCCAAAAGACUACAAUAUGAAGAAAAGGGAAUUGAUUAGUCUAUGGAUGGCUCAAGGUUACCUUAAUGCAGAUGAAGAUGAAGAAAUGGAGAUGAUUGGAGAAGAGUAUUUCAACAUCUUAGCAACACGCUCUUUCUUUCAAGAGUUUGAAAAAUAUUAUGACAAUGAUGAUAUUAUGAGUUGCAAGAUGCAUGACAUAGUACAUGAUUUUGCUCAAUUUGUAAGUAGCAAAGAAUGUUUGUGGCUAGAAAUUAAUGGUACCAAGGAAUCAGUCAUAAACUCUUUUGGUGACAAAGUCCGUCACUUAGGGUUAAAUUUUCAAGGAGGCACUUCAUUUCCUAUGUCCAUUCAUGGACUUAAUAGAUUGCAUACCCUAUUAAUUUAUGACCAAAGUCCUGUCAAUUCGUCUCUUAACAGUAGCAUCCUUCGGGAGUUAUUUAGUAAAUUGGCAUGUUUAAAGGCAUUAGUUAUAAGCCAAUAUAACACUUUAGGUUUGCAUCCUGAGACAGAAAGGAUUAGAGAAAUUCCAGAAAAUGUUGGAAAAUUGAUACAUUUAAAAUAUCUUAAUUUGUCUGAAUUAGUCAUAGAGAGACUACCUGAGACUUUGUGUGAAUUAUAUAAUUUACAAAAGCUAGAUAUUAGGCUGUGCCGAAAUCUUAGAGAAUUGCCAGAGGGGAUUGGGAAGUUAAUGAACAUGAGGAGUUUACUGAAUGCUGAAACUCGUUCGUUGAAGUACAUGCCAAUAGGGAUUUCCAAAUUAACCAGUCUUCGAACAUUAGAAAAGUUUGUUGUGGGUGGAGAUGUUGAUGGUGGCAGCACGUGUAGGCUUGAAUCUCUGAAAAAUCUUCAACUCCGUGGUAAAUGUAGUGUACAAGGGCUGAGUAAUGUAUCGCAUGUAGAUGAGGCUGAGAGGUUACAACUUUACAAUAAGAAAAACCUCCUUCGUUUGCAUCUUGAGUUUGGUAGAGUCGUAGAUGGGGAAGGCGAAGAAGGGAGGAGGAAGAAUAUUGAGAAAGAUAAACAACUUCUUGAAGCCUUACAACCGCCUUUGAAUGUAGAGGAAUUAUGGAUUAUAUUCUACGGAGGCAACAUUUUUCCCAAAUGGUUGACUUUGCUAACCAAUCUAAGGGAACUAAAACUCUUCUCGUGCGUUAACUGUGAGCAUUUGCCUCCACUGGGAAAAUUGCCUCUGGAAAAACUCGAACUAUACAAUUUGAAAAGUGUAAAAAGAGUGGGUAAUGAGUUUUUGGGAAUAGAAGAAAGCAGUGAGGAUGGCCCGUCUUCUUCUUCAUCAUCACCAUCAGUUAUUGCCUUCCCCAAAUUGAAAUCACUCAUAAUUGAGGAAUUAGAUGAAUUGGAAGAGUGGAAUUACAGGAUUACGAGGAAGGAAAACAUCUCCAUCAUGCCACGUCUUUCUUCCUUGCAGAUUUCUUAUUGCCCCAGAUUAAAGGUGCUGCCGGAUUACCUUCUUCAAUCGACGACACUGCAGGAAUUGAGGAUUGAGCGAUGUCCUCUUCUGGAAAACCGUUAUAGGGAGGCGAAAGGAGAAGAUUGGCAUAAGAUAUCUCACAUUCCCCACAUCCAUAUAUCACCCCACGGUAAUUUCUUCUCCUCCUCUGAUUUACUCUAUUGUUGCUUGCAAUGAAAUUAAUAAAAAUAAUUAUAUUUUGAAUUAAAAUUCUGUAUAUUGCCAAUGUGUGACAGGAAUAUAUAAUAUAUUUCUAAUAUUUUGAUUUGCAUAUUGAAUUUAACUAUUUACUUCAGCCAUUAAUUAAUGGGUCACUCUAUGAUAUUGUUAUAAAAAUUAUAGAAUCAAUCGUGUUAUAAAUAUGUACUGUUAGAUUUAAUCAAUAGUUCAUAAAGUUAAAAGUUAGUUACGAUAAUAUUUAAUUUCAGUUAUUUAAAAUUUAAACUUCCUAGUUAUCAAAUCUCUUAAACUUGUUUUCUAAAGAUUAAAUAAUUAAAAAAAAAACAAGUGUAGUAUGUUGAAAUUUCUAUAUUUUUUAAAAAAAAAUAUGUAGUCUUUUGUAAAAUUUCAUACAACAUCAUAGAAAAUCCUAAUGUAUUUUAUUUUUUAAUGCACGAAAAUUUGUUAUGUGCAACUUCCUGAGAGACAAAAUCUCUGUGAUACAUUUGCGGAAAUGUUGAAAACUAAAUCAUCAAUUUUAUCUUGUAUAAUGAUAAUCGUAUUUUUUUAUAUAUAAUUUAUGUGACAUUAAUUCUUUAAAGUAAUGGGGUAAUUGUUUUUACAACAUUAGCCCACUUUGUUUUAUUUCAUACGAGUUUAAUUAUGUUCACCAGGGAUUCGAGAAAAAAUCAGAAUAUCCCUCCUUGUUGUUCAGGCGGGAUCUGCUCUAUUGGGUGAGUUUAAAGCAGUUGAUACGUCUUGAAAAUUGUUAUUGCGGAUGAAUUCAUUCCUGAAGACGGGUAUCCAAAGGCGUAUUUUCAUAAACUUCCUUUUUUAACAAAUGUUCCAACGCUUGCAUCUCUCGGGUGCACCAUGUUCACGGGUUAGAAAAAGCAUUUGUGGUGAAGCUUCAAAGCUUGUAAAAUGGCUGUGAAAAGGCACAUUCAAUUCGGUAUGCUUUGGUGCGGUCUCCUAAUGCUAAUAUUAUAUUUUAUAUAGCAAUCUUAAUAUGCAAUAAAUCAUUGUGUCCAAAGUUUUCUAUUAAUUAUAUGGUGACUGAAAUUUUAAUUAUCAUAUCAAUCUUAAAAUUUUUUGUAACCCUAUUUUACUUUGCUUGUACAGAGUACCUGUUUUAGCUGAUAUGUCUAAUUCCUAGAAAUUCAUUUCCAUCGGUUUCCAUUGGUUUUAGUUCAAACAGAAACAGAGAGCCCUGGGAAAAAGUUUUACUUUUUGUGGUAUUAUGCCUUUGUUUCUUCAUUCAUGAUAUUUGUUUCGAAUUCAUGCUCUCAUUCAGAGAGUAAAGCCUUUUCCAGGCUGCUUUGUAGCCAAAUUUUGAUGCCAUCGAUGCAUGAUUGUCAUUUAGAUUUUCCAAAUAAUUGUUAGAUUGGAGAAGAAUAAGAAUAUAUUGUUCAAAGGCUAUUUAAUUAGCACCCUCUGAAUUUAGUUGGCAAUAAUGCAUUGAAAUGGUUGGGGAAAGUUAUUGUCUUAAUUAAAUUACAGGUGAUAAGAGGCUGCUUCAAUUUUGCAAGCAUCUUGUACUGCGAAGAUUCUGCCCACAUGAGAUGCUGUGAUUCUUGACGUCAGGAUAACACAGGUCAAAUUUUAGUAUCAAUAUAUAUCAUCUUCUUUACUGUUCUGCCUCUAAAUAUUAAACUUUAAUCAAGUUGUUUUUGUUUGUGUAAGUUAUCAGGUUAAGGAUACUAAGCCGCUUAUUAAGGCAAAUGUCAGAAUGAAGAUUGCUCACCACACCUGGUAUGCAUGAUGGUCAGGAAGAUUAAUUGUUCACAAGCCAAUUUGAUCAGUGUUAGAUUUUUUGCCUCCUUUCGAGGGACAUCAUCAUCAAAUUUGAGUAGAGAAUCUUUGAAGGAAUUUUGUUGAAAGAGUUUCACAGUAGUGAAUUCUGGGAGCUCGAACUCACUUGAGUGAGAUAUUAGGGAGUGUUGGGGAUUUGGGUUAUGAGUAAUCAUUAUCCUUCCAAUAUGUGUAAGCACUCACUUGUUAGUAAAAUCAUCUUCGUAUAUUGACUAUGUUUCUUUGUUAUCAGGUAGAGUGUGAUCUUCAAGGGUUUGAGAAAGUCCUUGCAGUAAAGUUUCCACCACAAGCAAUUGCUGCGAAGAGGCAUAUACAUUUGAGAAGUUCAGUUUCAGAUUUUCUAGGCGUGUAUGUUUAAUUAGUUUCGAUUAUAAUAUUUAGUCACUCAUUCUGAAUCUUUUCUAAUUUUCAAGUUCCUUAGGGCCACGACCUGUUUUUCAAGUCUGCAUGUGGCUGCAAAAAGAUUGAUGGUCAUAAAAUUAUCUUGACCCUUGAGCCAUUGCGUUUGAGCACAAACAGAAACAGAGCUAAAGGAAAAGAAUUUGACGCAAGAAGAUGCUCUGAAUAUAACAAAAGUAUAUUUCUACUUCUUGUGGUUAUUUACUUUUGUUUCUCCUGUCAGCAUAUUUGAUUAAUUCGUUCGAAUUCACACUCUCACACAUUAUUUAAAACCAUUUGUAGGUGGCUUGCAAGCUAAUUAAGUUAAUGCAGAAGCAAUACUCUAGACAAAGAUGAGCAAAUUGAAGGUGAUAAAUGCAUAUAUGGCGGCCAAAUCGCUUAUUAUAUUUCAUCUCUCAAUCUAAUAUGAUUCUGAAUUUUAAUUUCCAUGAAUAAUUGUUAGGCUGGUACAGAUGUUCUUAAAAGGGCCAUUAAACUACCUUAUGAAAUUGGAAAGUUGCUAUUGCUUGAAUGAAAGCACCAUCUUCUGUUACCAAGGCAUUCCCCACAUGAUGAGAUUAUGUGAUUGUUACCGGCUUCUUAAUUAUUUGUUAAAUCAGGUUUUUCUUAUCAAGUACAUCAUCUUAUUCACCAUUUUGGCUAUAUCAGAAUCUGCUAAUUCCAUGAUGUCAAAGCAAGCUCAAGCACUAGAUCCCUAAUAAUAAUGCAUUGCAUUUUCAUUUUAUUUUUAGGUUGACUUUUAAGACCCUAUGGAGAACAUUGGGGUAAUCAAGGAUUAGGCUGGUGAUGGAACUACUUCCACUGUGGUGUUGUGUGCAACGUUCAGUUGCUGGACUUUGAAGAAGAAAGUGAUGGCCAGGUCUGCUCUGUUUCAAUUCAGGAUGGAUAGCUGCCUGGAAGGCAUGAUGAUUAUUAUUGCAUGAUAUUAAGGUACUAAGAUCAUCAUUUCUGUCUUGUUUUUUUCUUUGAUCGGUUUAUCCUCUAUAAGCAAAUUCAAUUAUGCUAAUAUUACCCUUUUUUCACCCAAUUUUCACUGUUGGUUGUAAUAACAAUUUCAGGUAUUCAAAAGCUACAGAGCAAAGCACAUGUGGGCUGAUCACAUGCUUCCAUGGAGGAAGGAAUUCGGUAUUGACACUAUUAUGCAGGUAACCGCAGUUGUUAAUUUACACAAAUUUGCAUUGUCAGAAUGCCCUUUAAUAUUCACUGUGUUUCUUUUUGUUACUCAGGUUACCAUGGUAGAUAGAGUAUCAUCUUCGAGAGUUUGUAAGAGCCUUUGCAGUAAAGUUACCUGCUCGAGCAAUUUUACAUUCAUCGAGUACAAUUUUGGAUUUUCAAGGUUUGUAUGUUUAGUUGCGAUUAGCAGGCUUAGUCACUCAUUCCUAAUCUUUUCUGAUUUUCAGGUUAUUUAGGUCCAUUAACAGUUUUCACACAUGUUUCAAUGCUAGUUGUAAUAACAAUUUCUUAUCUUGCACCUCUAAGGUGCAUCACGUUUGAAACAGCUUUUGCGGUAAAGUUUCAAUGCUUGUACAAUGGCCGUGAAGAGGUACAUUUAAUUCGGUACGUUUUGGUGCGGUCUUCUAAUGCUAAUAUCAUGUUGUGUAUAUUUAGUUUGCAAUUAAAACUUAGGUAUACAAUCUUAAUCUCCAAUAAAUCAUUGUGUACAAAGUUUUCUAUUAAUUAUAUGGUGACUGAAAGUUUAAUUAUCUUAAAAUUUUUUGUAACUCUCUUUUACUUUGCUUGUACAGAGUACCUGUUUUGGCUGACAUGUCUAAUUAGUAGAAAUUCAUUUCCAUGGGUUUCCAUUGGUUUGAGCACAUACAGAAACAGAGCUUUACUUCUUGAGGUGUUAUGCCUUUGUCUCUUCAUUCACCAUAUUUGUUCGAUUACGUUGUCUCAUUAAGAAUUUAAAGCCUUUUUCUAGGCAGCUUUGUGGCCAAUUUUUUAUGCCAUCAAUGCAUGAUUGUCAUUUAGAUUUUCCAAAUAAUUGUUAGGUGGGGAAGAUAUUGUUAAAAGGGCAUUUAAUUAGCUACGUCCCCUAUGAAUUUAGUUGCCAAUAUUACAUUGAAAUUGAGAAGGAUCAUAGUUGAGGAAAGUUAUUGUCUUAAUUAAAUUACAGGUGAUAAGAUGUUGCUUGAAUUCAGCAUCUUGUAUUGCGAUGAUUUUGCCCACAUGAGGUUCUGUGAUUCUUGACAUCAGGAUAACUCAGGUCAAUUUUUUUGUAUCAGCAUAUAUCAUCUUCUUUACUGUUUUGCCUUUAAAGAAUAAACUUUAGUAAAGUUGUUCUUGUUUGUGUAUGUUAUCAGGUUAAGGAUACUAAGCAGCUUAUUAAGGCAAAUGUCAGAAUGAAGAUUGUUCACCACACCUGGCAUGUAUGAUGGCAAGGAAGAUUAAUUCUUCACAAGCCAAUUUGAUGAGUGUUAGACAUUUUCAGAUUUUUGGCUUUAUAUAUUAUUAGAGCUCUCCCAAUAACUGCAAGCUUUCAUUUGUUUGUAAAAUCAUCUUCUUAUAUUGAUUGUGUUUCCUUGUGUUAUCAGGUAGAGUAUCAUCUUCAAGGGUUUCAAAAAGUCUUUGCAGUAAAGUUUCAACCAAUUGCUGUGAAGAGGCAUAUUCAUUUGAGUAAUUCAGUUUCAGAUUUUCAGGGCGUGUAUGUUUAAUUAGUUUUGAUUAAAAUAUUUAGUCACUCAUUCUGAAUCUUUUCUAAUUUUCAAGUUCCUUAUGGCCACAACCAGUUUUUCAGGUCCGUAGGAACUAUCUUGAGCGUUGAGGAAUUGCGUUUGAGCACACACAGAAACAAGGCUAAUGGAAAAGAACUUGACAGAAGAAUUAUGCUCUAAAUCUAACAAAAGUAUAUUUCUACUUCUUUUGGUUAUUUUACUUUUGUGUUUUCUGUCAUCAUAUUUGAUUGAUUCGUUCGAAUUCAGACUCUUUCUCAUCAUUUAAAACCAUUUUCAGGUGGCUUGCACGCUAAUUAAGUUAACGCAGAAGCAAUACUCUAGACAAAGAUGAGCAAAUUGAAGAUGAUAAAUGCAUAUAUAGUGGCCAAGUCGCUCUUUACAUUUCAUCUCUCAUACGAACAUGAUUUUGAAUUUGAAUUUCCAUGAAUAAUUGUCAGGCUGGUGUAGAUAUUCUUAAAAGGGCAUUAAGCUACCUUAUGAAAUUGGAAAGUAAUUUUGUAAUCAUUUCUGUGCAAUCAAGAAUGUAAUUUUGUAAUUAUUCAACUCUGCUUCCGCGAACAUGCGGUAUCUUGCAGAUUUUUUUCUCCCUUUUUCUUUCUGCGUUAAAACUGCAACAAAUGGAAGUGACUGGCUUGAUUUUAGCUCCUGUAAAAAAGUGCUUGGGGCAAUGUCUUUUGUAUCAGCAAGUUAUCAAACAUCAUAGUUUAAAUAUAGAAUCCUGAGUUGCUAUCGAAAAUUCCAGGUCUUUCACCUCUCAGUUUCUUAAAAGCUACAAAGCUUGAUAUAUAUUGACAAAGCAAACCGUCUGUGGGCUGAAAUGCUUCCACGGAUCAGGAAGGAAUUUCGUGUUGACACUAUAUGUUAUGCGGAUAACUACAGUUGAUAGUUUUUACCCAAAAUAUGUCAGAGUUGACAAUUCACUUACAGUGUUUCCUUGUGUUACCAGGCCCUCAUGUGUGAAUUGAAAGAUUAAGAAAGAUUGAUUCUUACUGACUUAUGCAAUUGAAGAUUAUGAAAAAGCAUUUGCACUAAAGUUCCCAGCUUGUUUAAUUGCUGUGAAGAGGCACAUUCAUUCUGAGUACUUGAGUUUUAGAUUUCCAAGAUGUGUAAUUUUAGUUGCCAUUGAAAUAUGUAGUGGCUCAUUCUUAAAAAUCUGUUCUAAUUUUCCUGUUAUUUUGGGCCAUAAACAGUUAAAAAGUCUGCAUGUGGUUUCUAAAGAUUGAUGGUUAUGAUAAAUAUUGUGAGGUAUGAAAUAUUAGUUUGCUAUAAAUAUGUGUACAAAAUGUUUCUAUUACAUGGGGACUGAAAUUGUAACUUGCAGGGUCAAAAGAAAUCCUAAUUUGCGUAAGUGUCUGCAUUUGUGUACAAAGGAAAAAUAAGAAAUUCUGCUACAUGGGGACCGAAAUUUUAAUUGGCAGGGUCUUCAUCAAAUGUUUGUUAUCAAUACUGAUCCCGGAAUGUGUGGAACACGGUGAAAAGUUUUUCAUAGUUUUGCGAAGAAGGCUGAUUUAUCUGAUUCAUAGAAUUGUGAAAAGGGCAUCGGGCGGGGGACAAAAGAAGUGUUGAAAUUGAAAAGGUUAAUGGUUGAAGCAUGCAGUGUUGCAAUUAAGUUAUUAUUGUCUUGAAAUAACAGGAGAUGAUCAGAUGCUGCUUAAUGCAUGCAGUUUCUGUUGCAAUUGUAUUGGCCUGGGUUUAGGGAACUGUCAGAACUUUCAGAAGAAGAUGGAGUUUCUCAAACCAAAUAUAAGAAGAUAUCUCACAUUCCCCACAUGGUCUCAAUGCACAGGUAAGUUCUUCUCUAGCUCUGUUUUUCAUUGUUUUUUAUUUUUAAUGUAAAUAAGGAGCAGAGUUAAUCUCUUAUGUUGACCUUGCUUUGAGAAAACUGCUUUUACAUGUAUUUUUAAUUCAGAUGUCCACAAUAAUUUCAUUUUAGUUUGAGCUAAGUGAUAACUGUUGAAGGCUCACUCACUCAUUGGGAGAAGCUCCAUGACGCAGGCUGCUGGGAUUAGCUAGUGCAAUUGCUGUGAAGAGGCACAUUCAUUGGGAGAAAUUAAAUUUUAGAUUUUCUUAGUGUGUAUGUUUGGCUGCGAUUAAAAUGAUUUCUCUCGUUGUUAAUGAUUUCUGAUUAUCCCGUUCUUUAUGGCCAUAAACAGUUUUCCACGGGCUGCAUGUGGCGGCAAAAGAUUCAUGUUGAUAAGGCUAAUGCUAAGUUACAUGCAUGUAACUUAGGGAGAUCCUGUUGAUAAUUAUAUCUUGUGGUAUGUGUGUUGCAUUUGAGCACAUGCAGAAACAGAGCUGAAGGAAAAGCAAUUGACCCUAGAAGAUGUUGCAAAUAUAACAGAAGUAUAUUUCUACUUGCGGUCAAUUUACAUUUGUUUCUUGUGUCAUCCUAUCUCAUUCAUCAUUUUGGACAGAGUUUGGAAAAAAAAAAUUAUACGUAAAUCACUUUCCAAUGGUUCAGUGAUUUUUGAUUGGUUGUAAAAUGUUGAACCUCUUUUCAGAUUUCCAAAUAACUGUUAGAUUGGAGAAGAAUAAGAAGAUAUUAUUAAAAGGAUAUUUAAUUAGCGCUCUCUGAAUUUAGUUGCCAAUAAUGCAUUGAAAUAGUUGGGGAAAGUUAUUAUCUUAAUUAAAUUACAGGUGAUAAGAUGCUGCUUCAAUUUUGCAAGCAUCUCGUAUUGUGAAGAUUUUGCCCACAUGAGAUGUCGUGAUUCUUCUGCUUCAAUACAGGUCAAAUUUUAGUAUCAAUAUAUAUCUUCUUCUUUACUGUUCUGCCUCUAAAUAUUAAACUUUAGGCAAGUUGUUUUUGUUUGUGUAAGUUAUCAGGUUAAGGAUUCUAAGCAGCUUAAUCAAAUUUGACUAGAGAAUCUUUGAAUAGAAUUUUGUUGUGAGAGUUUCACUGUAGUGAAUUUUGGGAGCUUGAACUCACUUGAGUGAGAUAAUAGAGUGUAUUGGAGAUUUGGGUUAUGAGUAAUCGUUAUCCUUCCAAUAUUUGCAAGCUCUCACUUGUUAGUAAAAUCAUCUUCGUAUAUUGACUCUGUUUCUUUAUUGCCAGGAAAGUGUGAUCUUCAAGGGUUUGAGGAAGUCUUUGCAGUAAACUUUCCACCACGAGCAAUUGCUGCGAAGAGGCAUAUACAUUUGAGUAAUUUAGUUUCGGAUUUACAAGGCGUGUAUAUUAAAUUAGUUUCAAGUUCCUUAGGGACACUACAGUGUUUCAAGGCCGCAUAUGGCUGCAAAAGAUUGAUGGUCAUAAAAUUAUCUUGAGCCUUGAGGCAUUGUGUUUGAACACACACAGAAACAGAGCUAAAGGAAAAGAAGACAGUAGAAGAUGCUCUAAAUAUAACAAAAGUAUAUUUAGAGCAUUUAAUUAGCUACGUCCCCUAUGAAUUUAGUUGCCAAUAAUAACUUGAGUGUCGAGGAAUUGCGUUUGAGCACACACAGAAACAAGGCUAAUGGAAAAGAACUUGACAGAAGAAUUAUGCUCUAAAUAUAACAAAAGUAUAUUUCUACGUCUUGUGGCUGUUUUGCUUUUGUUUCUUCUGUCAUCAUAUUUGAUUAAUUCGUUCGAAUUCACACUCUCACACAUAUUUAAAACCAUAUGUAGGUGGCUUGCAAGCUUGCUAAGUUUACGCAAAAACAAUACUCUAGGCAAAGAUGAGCAAAUUAAAGGUGAUAAAUGCAAAUCGAAUUUCCAUGAAUAAUUGUUAGGCUGGUGCUGAUAUCCUAAAAGGGCAUUAAGCUACCUUAUGGAAUUGGAAAGUUAUUAUGCUUCAAAGCAAGCAGCGUCUUCUGUUGCGAAGGCUUUCCCCACAUGAUGAGAUGCUGUGAUUGUUACCAGCCCCGUAUUUAUUAACUCAGGUCAGUAUUAUCAACUACAUUAUCAUUUUGGCUAUAUAUAAAGAUUAAAAUUUUGAACACUUGUCUCGGUUUCUUGUGUAAUCAGGCUACUAGAGCAAAUGUUUACUGUCUAAGCACUAAUGCGACAAUCCCAUCUGUAAAUUUGGGCCAUCUUUGAUGUCUGACAGGUUAGCUGUGACAAUCCCAUCUGUAAGUACUAAAGCGCCUGGUUAUGGUGCUUUCAUUGGACUAUAUGCAAACGUGAGAUAUCAGCUAUUGUGUGGAUUUGAUAGAGCGGUCACCAACCAUUUUGAUGUUAUUGGAGUAGCACUGUUCUUAAGCACGGCUUUGAGGUCUCUCCGUCUCUCUUUUACGUAUUUGUCUAUUGAUCGACAUCUCUAAAUAUACAUUGAUAGACCAAAUUACUCUUGUUUUAAUGUUUUGUUUGUUGAACUUUGACUGGGUUAUUUGUUUAUUUGUCUCAUAUGAUGUUAAUGCGGUUCCUAUAAAAGUGGAUAUAGAUCUAUCACCUCAAAGUCUGAUUUCAAUUUUCCUUUACUUAAUCAACUAGCAUCCUUUCCAAGUCCAGAUACUUACCAAUAGUGAGACUUUGCUACGGAAGUACAAUUUCUCUUGUUUUACAGUUAAGUAUGUAAGAAUAGUUUCAAAUUUACAGAAUUCUGAUAUAGUUCUCUAAGGAAAUGCGGGUGGUGAAUAUGGUUCCAACUUUUAAUAGGCUUUAAUAGGCCCAUUUGUUCAGCCACAGUGAUUGCGGUCUAAAUUCUUCUUUACUGUCUAUAUGUGUUGGAGUUUGUCUAUUGUCCAACUUCUCCAAUGGAUUCCAUGCAGGGUUUUGAUGGUCUAAUUAGGAGAAAGAUCAACGGAUGACCUUUUGAAGAAGGCUUACACAACAGCCCAUCUCAGGAUGUCAUGGCUCAGCUCAAAAGUCCCCAGGUGGUUGAUACCAAAGAGUGCCAUUGUUUCUGGGCUUGGGCUCCUUGGCGUCAAACAAGAUAGUCCGGAGUAAGGUGACUGCAUAAAUUUCUUGGAGUUAAUGUAGUCAAUUGCCCAAUUUUGGUGCCUGUCGAAGAGACACAGCAUGGAAGUCGUCAUCAAACUCUGAGACACCUAAGAACUAGUAGGAGGUGGUGGUAUUCACCUGGUGUCUAAAUACUAUAUGUGAUACAACGUUGCAUAUUCCAAUUUUUCUCCAGUUAAAUUCUAGUGAGUUAGGAAAUUUAAUUUUGUUUUAGCUAUGAAUUAUUUCCUAGAUAAUAAUAAUUGCCAUGUUCCUUUAGAGUCUUAUUUACUCCAACUUUAGGAAAUUCUAGUGAGUUAGGAAAUUCUAGUUAGGAAAUUAUGUACCAUCAACCAGUUUUUUCUAACUUUUUUAAAAAUACACUAUUCUUAUUUGACUGACUUGAUUUUACUGACAUAAUUUUCUCCCAUUUCUAUAUUAUCGACGUUGAGUGCAUCUAAUCCACAAGUCUGAUUGAGCCAAAAGUCUAAUGACAAUCACGUCCAAAGAUGCCGUUAUCACAAAGCCCUGGAUAAUUAAAGAGGUCAUUGUUCGAAAGAAAGAAUGAUUUGUUGGUAUGAAAUUACGUUAAAAUGAAUAUAUCACUUUUUUUUUUUGGCGUGAGUGAUGGCUUCGUUUAAUGACAGUUGGCAGACAAUGAGUCAUCUUUUAAUUUUAGUUUUGAUUUAUUAUAAAAUAUUAAUUUUUGUAGUUUCAGUAGAUGAAAUUUCGAAUCAAAUAUUAAUAUCGUUAAAGUACGCAACUCAAUAUUUGCUUAAAUCAUAAAAAAAAUAAUUGCUUUACAUUAAAAAAAAUAACAAGUGAUCACUUGAUUUAACUUCCUUUACUAAAUUUACGAUUUAAAAUCCAAAAUAGAAAAACGAAAACAAUUUUUGAAAUCACACUCGAAGUUUUAAAUUGACAUGAAAAAAGAGCUUAUUAUUGAUUAUCUUUUUCCUAAAAUUUAAGGUAAGAUAACAAUAUGUCCAAAAUACCCUCCGCAUUAUCCCAAAACUUUAUAAACUCCCCCGUUCCUCUGAACAUCAUCUCUUCCAAAUCUUUCUCCCCCAAAAAACCAGCCAUGGCUUCAUAUUCAAUUACCGCAACACUCCAAUAUUUGCUAUAAACCACCCCCAAAUCCUCAACUUCACAUGGACUCAGAACCAAACACUAGCUUCCUCCCCACACUUCCUCAUUCUCUCCAUCCUCACUUACCUCUCCCUCACAUUCAUCCUCUACCACACAUCAACAUCAACAUCACGACCAUCAUCACCUUUCAUUGGACCCCACAUCCUCAAGCCCAUCACAGCCGUCCAUAACCUCACCCUCCUCCUCCUGUCCCUCAUCAUGGCCGUUGGUUGCACUCUCUCCAUCAUCCUCCAUUUACCCCACCUCCAUUGCACCCUCUGUUUCCCCCCUACCAUUUCUCCGUCUGGCCCCCUCUUCUUCUACCCUUACAUCUUCUACCUCUCCAAAAUACUCCAAUUCUUAGACACCCUUUUGAUCAUUUUGUCAAACUCCGUCCAACGGCUCACGUUCCUCCACGUCUACCACCAUGCAACCGUCGUCGUUAUGUGCUUCCUUUGGUUACAGACGAAGCAGUCUUUAGCUUCUUCCCAAAUUCAUCAAUGAACCCCAAAACCAGUCUAAUCAUUAAAAUUAUUAACAACCAUUUGCUUGGAUCAAUGUACACUUGGCAUGUCUAUGGGCUUACUUGGAAUGGUCGCUGAUGGCCAUGGGCUUGCUUGGAUUGGCCGGGUACAGCCAUGGGCUUGCUUGGAAUGCCCGUACCCAGCUGCCAUGGUUUUGCUAGCGUAUCCAUGGGUUUUGUUGGACAUGGCAGUGCGAGGCCAUGGGUGUUGCCGGGCAAUGGACAUGGGUUUUGCUGGGCUGAUUUGGAAUUAACGGUGGCUAUGGAGUUGUAAGUGUGUGAAAGAGAAAAAAAAAAUGAACGAAGAAGAAGAUGAACAGGGAAUAGAACGAAGAAGAUGAAGAAAGUAGAAGAGAGGGAAAAAAUAUUUUACUUUUUUUAUAAAUUUUCCGAUUUUUAUUUCAAAAUUUAAAAUUUUUGUUUAAAUUCGAGAAUCUUAAGGGUAAGAUUUUCUUUGUAUCUAUGUGUAGAAGGAGGUUUUUAGAUGGUUUUUGGUUGGGCUAACAUAAAAUAUGCUUGUUUUAUGAAAUAUUAUUAUUGAGGUUUUGUUUUAUUUUCUAAAAAAUAGAUUAGAGGAUGAUUUUCAUUAAUGACACACAUAAAGUUUGAAUUAGUUAUAUUUUAGAAAUAGUACGGAUAUAAGUGAUAUAUCUUUCCAACAUAAAUAUAUCAGUAACAUAAGUUAUUCUAUAAUUAACAGGGGUAUUAUCGUAUUUUAGUGAGUCAAUAUUUUUUUUAUUUUGUAUCAAUAUUGGUUGAUAGUUAAAUUUAACAGAUUUUAGAGAGUAAAUUGAAGUUUUUAUUUUUUAUUUUUGAGUAAAUUAAAAUAUGUCAAUAUUGGUUGAUAGUUAAAUUUAACAGAUUUUAGAGAGUAAAUUGAAGUUUUUAUUUUUUAUUUUUGAGUAAAUUAAAUUGAAGUAUUUCGGUUCUACCCGAAAUACUUCUUUGUAUUGAAAUCAAUGAUGAUUGCUUGUUUAAAUAAUGAAAGUUGAAAUAAUUUUGUAAAUAAUUUCAUUCUUUAAUUUACGGUAUACAAAUAAAUUCAAAAAAUGUUAAUUUCUCUCAUACUAAUUUUAGGACUCAAAAAAUAACAAAAAGUCUUAACAUAUUUAAUGGUUAUAUAUAAAUCAUCCGUACGUAUUUUAUUUAAGCUAAUAGAGUAAGAAGUCCCAAAUACAUGUACAUCAAUUCGAUAGACAAUGCUCCCCUUAAUUUUCUUUUCUAAUUAGAUAAAAGAACAAGAGAAAUUGAUUACAAUAAUUCACGGCGAAGUCACCUUGGUCUACCUGAUAUAUAUUACAGAGGUUAGCUUCUUUUUAAUGCCAAACUUGAAUAACAAACAUUAAUUUACUUCUUAAAGGGUAAAAACCUCAAUUUGUCCUUAUAUUUGUUCAAAAGAUACAUUUUGUCUUCUUAAUAUAAACAAGUUAAAUUGAUGUUUCACAUCUUUUAGAAAUAAAUUAAAGAUUGUUAUUUUAAGUAGGAGGUAAAUUUCAAAUAAAACAUGUGUUCAUAUGAUAGAUGUGCAUUUUACAAUAAUUAAUAAACAAAAGGGUAGUGAUAUUUUCAACCUGUAAUUUUUGUAAAUCCACCCCCACUCCCAAGAAAUAAUUACAAUAAAUUCACAUAACUUUUUUAAAACUCAAAUAAAGAAAAAUUUUGGAGAUUUAAACUAUUGUAUACAAGAGGAUAAGAGUAAAUAUUUUUCAUGCAGUAUAAAAAGAAUGCGACAGCUCCUUUUCUUUCGGUAUUUUCACAACAAAAGCACACUUAAUAACUCAUCAAAUUAUUUCUCCUUUUCUUUGAUCGCUUCCCCUCUCCUGGAGCUGCUGAACUCCUUUGUUGCUGAUGAAGGGAACAAGUGAGGCUUUUCAAAAGAGGGCAAAGAGAUGGUGAUUCGAUUUGAUUCGAUAAUAGUAGUUUAUUUUAAUUGUUAUUCAUUUGAUUUCAUAGAAGUAAUUUUUAUUUUCAUUUUUUGUUGAAAAUUGGUAAAAACGAACUAAAAUGAGAUAAUUACAUUAAAACAAUCUUCAAUGACUAAAGUAAUUUGAAAAAAUAAAAAUAAAAAUAAACAAGCUCAAAAUUUACCCCUAAUCCGAACAUUAUCCGAAUUCAGCCUAAUUGACCCAAAUCUAAUUGUAAUCCAAACUUGACAUGACCCGCAUAUAAUUAUAACUCGAUCAGAUCCAAACUCGACCUGAAUUUUUAAUUCAAUACGAUCCAAUCCAAAUAUUCCAAUCCCAUCAAAUUGAAACUUGAUCGGGUUGAUCCGAACCCGAAUUUGCCACUUCCGGAGGAGACCAUGACCCUAAAGGCUUUGAAAUAAUCUUUGCGGUUUCUUAAUGAAAUAUUAAAAGUUAUGUGCAAAAAGACUGAUUUGACCCUAGAAUACAUGAUAUAUAAAUUUCAGACAUUAUAUUCUGUGAAAUAAAGUCAAAGUAAACUGGUCGUUUGAUUUUUUUAUUAAUUAUUUUCCAUUAAGACAAAAUGACAAAUAGACUUUUUUAAAAGUUUAAUAAAGUUUGGGCCUAACUCCUUGAUUUUUAUUUUUUAAUUAUUUUUCAUUUUGUUUUUUACUUGCAACAUUAGCUUUAAUUAUCAAUCAGUCUCCAAAUCAAAAUGACUGAAACCUGUAGCUACAAGCAAAAUUCUCAAAUUUUGAAAUUUCUAACGACUACAUAAUAGUAAUAAAUAGAAAAAUCAUCUAAAAUUGAUCCUCCUUCAGAGGCAGAUUAAAUUCUUAGUAAUUUCAUAUAAUUUCAUUUCAUCAGAACAAUUUUCCAAAAGCAAUUUUAUAAAUGGUUGUCGAAAGCUUUAUCCCUUAAUUAUAUUUUAGUUAUUUUCUUUGUGAUAUGAGGCGUGUCCAUAGACCAUAGUAUGAUAUUUAUUGUAAUUAAAAUCAUUAUGGAACUGAUUUUAUUCUUUUUUCUCAAACAAAGUAUCUAACUGCAGAUGUAAUAAAUUACUAAUUGCCAUUAUUUGAGUCGCGCUCUUUGAAUUAGAUCUUGGAGUUUCAAAUGACCAAAUGAAUUAGUAAGAUAAUGGCUUAUCGUUCCAAGAGCUAUGCUAAGAAAAAGCAGGGAUGAUCAGAACAAAUUCUGUUCAUUGCAAUUGACAGAGAUGUUUUCAGUUGCCUAGACUUCGUAUUUUCAGUUUUAGUAAUACAUGUCGUUUUUCACCACAUUUGUUUAGUCUCUCCCUUUUAAAUCCCCUCACACACAAAAAAUUAGGAUUUGUAUUUUGUAAACUAAUAUUUUUCAUUUUGUUAAUGUAUUAAUUAUUAUUAUCUACAUUUAUGUGAUAGGGCACAUGCCACAUCAACUAAAAUUAAGUUAUAAAAUUUUGCAGCCCCUGAGCACUCAAUGUUUGUUGGCACAAGUUCAAGUCCCACCAUUUGUUAGGAUUUAAAUAAAGAACAUUAUAACCAUGCGUCCAAGAACUUAAAGUUAGCUUAAGUGCAUGGAUUUUCGAGUCCUAGUUAUUGUUGGAAUUCGAUUUCCUUUCUAAUUAAAUUGGGUAGGGGUAAAAUUAUCUCUCAAUUAAUAAGGACAAAGUAGAUAUCUCUCUCGAUUUUCCUCCCAAUUAAAUUAGUUAGAAGUAAAAUUAUCUCUCGAUUAAUAAGAGUAGAAUAAAUAUCUCUCUAGUAUUAUGCAAGGGUAGAAAUUUGGGCUGUACCAUGUUAGAAUUAUCAAGGAUAGUUUUGAUAGAAUUCUAAUUGUAAUAUAUGAGUGUAUAAAAAAAAUGAACAUCAAUGAAAGAUGUUUAGGUAAGGACUAUCUUGGAAUGGAAUUUUGAUUGUAAUAUAUCAGUAUAUAAAAAAAAUUAUGAAAAAUGUUUAACAAGGACUAUUUUGAUAUUUUAAUGAGUAGUAAAAAUUAAUGUUAAAAUUUGAUAAACGAGUGUAUAGUAAGAUGUUCAAAGUGUUAGAACAUAUAUAAAUAAUCCUAGCUCUAAUAAAAUUUUGCUACAUAAUUAGUUUAUCCCUUAAAGAAACAUAUCAAAAAAAUAUACAAAAACACAAUGCAUGAGUACAUGUCAAUCACAAAUGAAAGCAAUUAAGAUAAAGAAUAUGAUUUAUUUUAUUUUAUUUUAGUUAUUUUUUUAAUUAUUUUUUGUUUCUUUUGAAACAAGACCAAUUAGAUCAUGCAAGAAGUAAUUUUUUUUUUAAAAUAAAAAAAAGGAGAAAUGAUGAAACCCACGUCCAAAGAUGCCGUUGUCGCGGAGGCCUAGAUCUCACUACACCCCAUCCCCUUCUACCAUAUUUUAUAAUUGAAGAGGCCAUUAUUGAAUUGAAAAAUUAUGAUUCAAAAACCCAAAAAUAGAAAAAGAAAAGCAAUUGUUGGAAACACACUCGGAGUUUUAAAUUGACAUGAGAAAAGAAUAUAUUCAUCAACCUCAUACGUUAAUGAUGCGACGAGUUUGAGAUUAUGAGCCAAAUUCCUAACGUGUGGGAAUUUAAAGAUGUUACUACAAAACAUGUGUUCGUCGGUGGAGUAGAAUCAGGGAAAUUAAAGAUGCUACUACAACCACUAACGUGUGGGUGGGGAUAAGCAUAACUUUUUUCAUCAAAUGCCAAAUCCCCCCAGGUGGAGAGUGGGGACUCCUUUGCAUAAAUGUUCAUAAAAUUUUGACUAUGAUGUUAUUAGAAAUUGGGGAAACAUGUGGUGCAAUUGUGGUAUCGUGUCACAGUUACAUCCAGCCGUUGGAUGUCAGUGGACCCUACUCAUGCAAGUGUAUCCAAUGGCUAGAUGCAACUAUGGCACGGUACCACAGUUGCACCGUAGUCGGGUCCUAGAAAUUAAGAUAUUCUCUCUCUACGUAUGUCUACACGAAAUAAUAUGCAAAUAUAAUAUUUUAGUUUAUUAUUAAUAGUUUUACAAUAAUAAAAAUCAUUUUGAUAGACUGAAAAAUGUCGUAUUCACAUUUUAUUUUGUACGGACGUCUGCGAGAAAGAAUAUAUAUAUAUAUAGAGGAACGUGUAUUUAAGAUUUAGCUAGUGUGAAGUUGGGAAACUUUUUUUUUUUUUUGAACCCAGGCUAAAAUUAUUUCAAUAAAUUUUGAUCAUGGAGACUAAUAAGAUUUUUUUAGUUAUAUUUAUUAAUUUUUUAGGGACUAACAUGAAUAUUAAUAAUUUUCUUGAGAUUAUUAAAAAAACAAUGUGCUAUUUUACAUCUAUGACUUUUCCAAUCUUUUUUUCUUUCGUUAUUUAAUCCUUUGUGAAUUUUAGUUAAUGCUUGAUAUUAUUUUUUUGCUCAUUUUUUAAAGUAGUAAUUAAAUCUGAACCCUUACAGUAGAAGAUUAUGAAAAAGUAAAGACACAAAAAUCAUAAAAAUCAUUAGUAGGUCCAAAUUUGUGCUAUUUUCAUACAUAACUUGAGAAUAUUUAUAAUUACGCAUCAGAACUAGUGGAGUAGAAUCAGGGAAAUUAAACAUUCUACAAUCAUUGACGUGUGGGUUGGGGAUAAGCAUAAACCUUUUCUAUGCAGUAUAAAAGAAUGCAAUAACUCCUUUCUUUCAUAUCUUCGCAACAAAAGCACAUCUAAUAACUCUUCAGAAUUCUCGUUUUCUUUGUCACAAUGGUUGAUGCGAUCGUUUCCUCUCUCCUGGAGCAGCUGAGCUCAGUUGCAACUGAUGAACUGAAACAACAGGUGAGGCUUGUUACUGGUGUACGACAAGAAGUGAAAAAGCUUACCAUCAAUCUUGAAGGCAUUCGAGCUGUGCUGGAAGAUGCAGAGAAAAGGCAAAUGCAGCACGACAAAGCUGUUACUCUUUGGCUGGAUCAGCUCAAAGACGCAUCUUACGACAUGGAAGAUGUGUUGGAGGAGUGGACCACCUCAAGGCUCAAAUUGCAGAUUGAGGGCGUUGAUGAUGACAAUGCUCUUGCUCUUGCUCCUCAUAAGAAGAAGGUACGUUCCUUCUUUUGUGCUGUAUCAAACUGCUUUGGUAGUUUCAAACAACUCUGUCUUCGUCAUGACAUUGCUGUCAAGAUUAGGGAAAUCAAUGGAAAGCUAGAUGAUAUUGCCUCCCAAAAAGAUAAGUUUAAAUUUGUGGAGAAUGUGAGUAACAAUGUCAAGAAACCAGAGCGAGUGCGAACCACGUCCUUGAUUGAUGAGGGAGAGGUUUGCGGUAGAGUUGAUGAGAAAAAUGAGCUCUUAAGCAAGUUGUUGUGUGAAAGUAGUGAACAACAAAAAGGCCUUCAUGUCAUCUCACUAGUUGGGUUAGGGGGUAUAGGUAAAACCACUCUUGCACAACUAGCCUAUAAUAAUGAUGAGGUGAAAAGAAAUUUUGAAAAAGUUAUAUGGGUGUGUGUAUCAGACACUUUUGAGGAGAUUAGGGUUGCCAAAGCAAUCAUUGAAGGUCUAGGCGAGUCAGCUUCUAGUUUAAGCGAAUUCCAAUCUCUUAUGAGCCAUAUCCAUAGAUCAAUUGAAGGAAAAAAGUUUUUUCUUGUUUUAGAUGAUGUAUGGGAUGGGGAUUACAAUAAAUGGGAACCAUUCUUCCUUUGUCUAAAGAAUGGUCUGCAAGGAAGUAAAAUUUUGGUUACCCCACGUAAUGAGUUAGUUGCACGUAUGAUGGGAUCAACAAAUAUUAUCUUCAUUAAGCAAUUGGCUGAAGAGGAAUGUUGGUCGUUGUUCAAGCGGUUGGCAUUUUCCAGUCGCUCUUUCGAAGAUUGUGAAAAAUUAGAACCAAUCGGGCGAAAAAUUGCACUGAAGUGCGAAGGCCUGCCUCUUGCUGCAAAGGUAAUAGGGAAUCUCUUGCGCUCUAAAAUUACAGUAAAAGAGUGGCAAAGAAUUUUAGAUAGUGAAAUGUGGAAAGUAGAAGAGAUUGGGCACGGUCUUUUAGCUCCUUUGUUGUUAAGUUAUAACGAUUGGCCCUCUAAUUCUAUGGUAAAACAGUGUUUCUCAUAUUGUGCUGUCUUUCCAAAAGACUACAAUAUGAAGAAAAGGGAAUUGAUUAGUCUAUGGAUGGCUCAAGGUUACCUUAAUGCAGACGAAGACGAAGAAAUGGAGAUGAUUGGAGAAGCGUAUUUCAACAUCUUAGCAACACGCUCUUUCUUUCAAGAGUUUGAAAAAGAUUAUGACGAUGAUGAUAUUAUGAGUUGCAAGAUGCAUGACAUAGUACAUCAUUUUGCUCAAUUUGUAAGUAGCAAAGAAUGUUUGUGGCUAGAAAUUGAUGAUAACAAAGAAUCAGUCAUAAACUCUUUUGGUGACAAAGUCCGUCACUUAGGGUUAAAUUUUGAAGGAGGCGCUUCAUUUCCUAUGUCCUUUUUUGAAUUUGAUAGAUUGCGUAGCCUCUUAAUUUAUGAUGAAAGUCUUUCCAAUCCGUCUCUUAGUAGUAGCAUUCUUUCGGAGUUAUUUAGUAAAUUGGCGUGUUUAAGGGCAUUAUUUAUAAGGCAAUCGUCCUUUCAUUUGCGUACAGAUCCAAAUAAGAUUAGAGAAAUUCCAGAAAAUGUUGGAAAAUUGAUACAUUUAAAAUAUCUUAAUUUAUCUAAAUUAUGCAUAGAGAGACUACCUGAGACUUUGUGUGAAUUAUAUAAUUUACAAAAGCUAGAUAUUAGGGGGUGCGAAUAUCUUAGAGAAUUGCCUGCGGGGAUUGGAAAGUUAAUGAACAUGAGGAGUUUACUGAAUGAUAACACUCGUUCGUUGAAGAACUGCCAAUUCUAGAAGAUCGCAGGACAACAGACAUACCGCGUCUUUCUUCCUUGCGAAUAUGGUUUUGCCCCAAAUUAAAGGUGCUGCCGGAUUACCUCCUUCGAACGACGACGCUGCUGGAAUUGAAUAUUAUGGAAUGUCCUCUUCUAGAAGAACAUUAUAGAGAGGGGAAAGGAGAAGACUGGCAUAAGAUAUCUCACAUUCCCCACAUCCAGAUAUCUCACAUCACGUGGCAUUAGUGGUAAUUUCUCCUCCUCCUCUGAUUUACUUCGUUGUUGCUUGCAAUGAAAUUAAUAAAAAUAAUUAUAUUUUGAAUUAAAAUUUCUAUAUUUAUUUACUUUUAAAAAAUAUGUGCUCUUUUGUAAAAUUUCAAGCAAUGUACGAAAAUUUGUUGUGUGUAACUUCCCGAGAGACAAAAUCUCUGUGAUACAUUUGCAGUAAUGUUGAAAACUAAAUUAUCAAUUUUAUCUUGUAUAAUGAUAAUCUUAUUUUUUUAUAUAUAAUUUAUGUGACAUUAAUUCUUUAAAGUAAUUGUGUAAUUGUUUUUAGUAGUACAUUAGCCCACUUUGUUUUACUUCGUACGAGUUUAAUUAUGUUCACCAGGGAUUCGAGGAAAUGUCAGAACCACACUAGCAAUUCACAGGUCCAAUCUAAUUUCUCUCAUACUUUUUGGGCUAAAAAAUAAAUGUAACUCCAACAUAUUUAUUAUUUAAUGGUUCUAUAUAGAAUCAAUCGUGGUAUAAAUAUGUAAAACUUCCUAGUUAUCAAUUUUGUCUUGCAUAAUGAUAAUCGUUUUUUUUUAUAUAUAAUUUAUGUGACAUUAAUUCUUUAAAGUAAUUGUGGAAUUGUUUUUACUACAUUAGCCCUCUUUGUUUUAUUUCAUACGAGUUUAAUUAUGUUCACCAGGGAUUCGAGGAAAUGUCAGAACCACACUAGCAAUUCACAGGUCCAAUCUAAUUUGGUUUUAAUGAUGCAGGCAGGAGAGUAUGCUAAGAAAAUGAAAAGUUUAGCCAAAGGAUUGCUAAAAUGUUCUGCUGGUAAUUCACUUGCUUUAUUUUAUAGAAUUUCAUUUCCAUCUUCUUCUAUUGAUAUCUUGUUGUGAAUAAACAAGAACAGAGAAGUAAAGAUAUAUCAAAAUUUACUAUUACGAUGAUGCUAAAGCAAGCUCAAGCUCAAGCAUUGCAUUUUUAUUUUAUUUAAUUUAUAGAAUUUUCAUUUCCACCUGCAUUGCAUUUUUAUUUAUUUUUAGGUUGACUUUGAAUACUUCAUGGUGAAAAUGACGAGUACAGCCAAAGGAUUGCUAAAUGUUCUGCUGGUAAUUCACUUGCUUUAUUUUAUAGAAUUUCAUUUCCAUCUUCUUCUAUUGAUAUCUUGUUGUGAACUGUGAAUAAAGAAGAACAGGGAAGUAAAUGAUUGGACCACAGAGAAGUAAAGGUGUAUCAAAAUUCGCUAUUAUGAUGAUGCUAAAGCAAGCUCAAGCACAAGCAUUGCACUUUAUAUUUUAUUUAGUUAAUAGAAUUUUCAUUUCCACCUGCAUUUCAUUUUUAGGUUGACUUUGAAGACUCUAUGGAGAACAUUGGGGUAACCAAGGAUUAUCACUGUGGUUAUUGUGCAACGUUUGGCUGCUGGACUUUGAAGAAGGAAGUGAUGGCCGGGUCUGCUCUGUUUCAAUUGAGGAUGGAUAGCUGCCUGAAAGACAUGAUGAUUAUUAUUGCGUGAUGUUAAGGUGCUGAGAUCAUCAUUGCUAUCUUGUUUCAUUCUUGGAAUCAUUUAUCCUGUAUAAACAUUUGUUUUAACAAAUGUUUCAAUGCAUGCUGUAGUAACAAUUUCAUAUCUUGCAUCUCUCGGGUGCAUCAUGAUCACGGGUUUGAGAAAGCAUUUGUGGUAAAGCAAUUCAAUUCGGUACGUUUGGUGCGGUCUCCUAAUGCUACUACCAUAUUUUGUAUAGCAAUUAAAAUUCAGGUAUACAAUCCUAAUAUGCAAUAAAUCAUUGUGUACAAAGUUAUCUAUUAAUUAUAUGGUAACUGAAAUUUUCAUUAUAAUUUUAAUUAUCAUAUUAAUAUUAAAAUUUUUUGUAACCCUCUUUUACUUUGCUUGUACAGAGUACCUGUUUUGGCUGAUAUGUCUAAUUCGUAGAAAUUCAUUUCCAUCGGUUUCCAUUGGUUUUAGCACAAACAGAAACAGAAAUCUGGGGAAAAGUUUUACUUCUUGUGGUAUUAUGCCUUUAUUUAUUCAUUCAUCAUAUUUGUUCAAAUUCAUGCUCUCAUUCAGAGAGCAGCCUUUUCCAGGCUACUUUGUAGCCAAAUUUUCAUGCCAUCGAUGCAUGAUUGUCAUUUAGAUUUUCCAAAUAAUUGUUAGAUUGAAGAAGAAUAAGAAGAUAUUGUUAAAAGGGCAUUUAAUUAGCACCCUCUGAAUUUAGUUGCCAAUAAUGCAUUGAAAUGGUUGGGGAAAGUUAUUGUCUCAAUUAAAUUACAGGUGAUAAGAUGCUGCUCCAAUUUUGCAAGCAUCUCGUGUUGCGAAGAUUUUGCCCACAUGAGAUGCUAUGAUUUUUGACAUCAGGGUAACACAGGUCAAAUUUUAGCAUCAAUAGAUAUCAUCUUCUUUACUGUUCUGCUCGAAAUAUUAAACUUUAGGCAAGUUGUUUUUGGUUGUGUGAGUUAUCAGGUUAAGGAUACUAAGCAGCUUAUUAAGGCAAAUGUCAGAAUGAAGAUUGCUUACCACACCUGGUAUGCAUGAUGGCCAGGAAGAUUAAUUGUUCACAAGCCAAUUUGAUCAGUGUUAGAUUUUUUUCCUCCUUUCGAGGGACAUCAUCAAAUUUGAGUAGAGAAUCUUUGAAGGGAAUUUUGUUGUCAGAGUUUCACAGUAGUGAAUUCUAGGAGCUCGAACUCACUUGAGUGAGAUAUUAGGGAGUAUUGGGGAUUUGGGUUAUGAGUAAUCAUUAUCCUUCCAAUAUGUGUAAGCACUCACUUGUUAGUAAAAUCAUCUUCGUAUAUUGACUAUGUUUCUUUGUUAUCAGGUAGAGUGUGAUCUUCAAGGGUUUGAGAAAGUCCUUGCAGUAAAGUUUCCACCACAAGUAAUUGCUCAGUUUCAGAUUUUCUAGGCGUUUAAUUAGUUUCGAUUAUAAUAUUUAGUCACUCAUUCUGAAUCUUUUCUAAUUUUCAAGUUCCUUAGGACCACGAUCAUUUUUUCAAGUCUGCUGUGGCUGCAAAAAGAUUGAUGGUCAUAAAAUUAUCUUGACCCUUGAGCCAUUGCGUUUGAGCACAAACAGAAACAGAGCUAAAGGAAAAGAACUUGACGCAAGAAGAUGCUCUGAAUAUAACAAAAGUAUAUUUCUACUUCUUGUGGUUAUUUACUUUUGUUUCUCCUGUCAGCAUAUUUGAUUAAUUCGUUCGAAUUCACACUCUCUCACACAUUAUUUAAAACCAUUUGUAGGUGGCUUGCAAGCUAAUUAAGUUAAUGCAGAAGCAAUACUCUAGACUUUAGGAAAGUUGUUUUUGUUUGUGUGAGUUAUCAGGUUAAGAUUACUAAGCAGCUUAUUAAGGCAAAUGUCGGAAUGAAGAUUGUUCACCGCACCUGGUAUGAAUGAUGGCGAGGAAGAUUAAUUGUUCACAAGCCAAUUUGAUCAGUGUUAGAUUCUUUUGCCUCCCUUCGAGAGAUAUCAUCAUCAAAUUUGAGAAGAGAGUUUUGUUUUGACAUUUCACUGUAGUGAAUUUUGGGAGCUUGAACCCACUUGAGUAAAAUAUUAGGGAAUACUGGGGAUAUGGGUUAUGAGUGAUCGUUAUCCUUCAAAUAUUUGUAAGCUCUCACUUGUUAGUAAAACCAUCUUCGUAUAUUGACUUUGUUUCUUUGUUGUCAGGCCGAGUGUGAUCUUCAAGGUUUGAGAAAGUCUUCGCAGUAAAAUUUCCACCACGUGCAAUUGCAGUGAAGGGGCAUAUACAUUUGAGUAAUUCAGUUUCAGAUUUUCAAGGCGCGUUUGUUUAAUUAGUUUCGAUUAUAAUAUUUAGUCACUCAUUCUGAAUCUUUUCUAAUUUUCAAGUUCUUUAGGGCCGCCAACAGUUUUUCAUGUCUACAUGUGGCUGCAAAAAGAUUGAUGGUCAUCAAAUUAUCUUGAGCCUUGAGGCAUUGCAUUCGAGCACAAAGGGAAACAGAGCUAAGGGAAAUGAAGACAGUAGGAGAUGCUCUGAAUAUAACAAAAGUAUAUUUCUACUUCUUGUGGUUAUUUUAAUUUUGUUUCUCCUGUCAUCAUAUUUAAUUAAUUUGUUUGAAUUCACACUCUCACACAUUAUUUAAAACCAUCUGCAGGUGGUUUGCAAGCUAGCUAAGUUAAUGCAAAAACAAUACUCUAGACAAAGAUGAGCAAAUUGAAGGCGACAAAUGCAAAUUGGAUUUCAAUGAAUAAUUGUUAGGCUGGUGGAGAUAUUCUUAAAAGGGCAUUAAGCUAUCUUAUGGAAUUGGAAAGUUAUUAUUGCUUGAAAGCAAGCAGCAUCUUUGUUGCGAAGGCUUUCCCCACUUGAUAAGAUGCUGAGAUUGUUACCGGCCCCUUAAUUAUUUAUUAACUCAGGUAUUUAUUAUCAGUACAUCAUCUUAUUCACCAUUUUGGCUAUAUAUGAAGAUUAAAAUUUCUAACAGUUGUUUCGGAUUCUUGUGUACUCAGGUUAAUAGGGCAAAUGUCAGAAUGAAGAUUGCUCAGUGCAACCGAUAUAGCAAGGAUGAUAGUUGUGAGGAAGAUUGUUGGCA
rnacentral:lncRNA from 1 species